rnacentral:lncRNA from 1 species
UUUUUAAAACCAAACCGUAGGUAAUCAGAUCAAGAAGCAGAAAUAUAGUUCCGUUGCAUGAUUUCGCUUGUACAUGUUAUUUCUCUUUAAAUGUAUGGCUUAAAAUAAGGCAGAUUGCUGCUAGAAUGUACUGUACAAAUUGAAAUUUUUAGUCUGUUGUUUCACAAUAUUUGGGUUAACCAUCAAUGAUUAGACUAAAAAGAUCCUUAUAACAAAAUGCUACUAGUUAGUACUAGGAAGUAGUAACAAAAGUAUACCAGAUGCUGGUAGGGGCACUUUUCACAGUUCUGCGCAUGGUAACACGACCACCAUGGAAAGCUCCGACUUUGCGUAAGAGCUCAUUGGACUGCUUCAAAGCGGUCUGGCCAACGAAAGCAGAUUGUUGGAUAGCAGAGGUUGCCAUGGUGCCUAAGGCUUUAGGUUGACUUGGUUUGUUUGCCGAUGGUUAUUGUAGUCUAUUUUGGUUUGGAGGAGAGAAGGGGUUAUAAUGGAAAUGAGAAGAUGUUGUGGAUCAGGAAAUGUACAUGUCAGCAGCAGUCUAUUGGUUGCUGCAUUGGUGUGGAUUUGCAAUUGGAUUUUUUGGAGAGUUGUAUAGGUUGAUUUUAUGCCGCGUGGAUUUGGAAAAAUCUUCUUGAUGUUUUUGGUGGUGAAGCUAAAGCCAUAUAUAUAGCCACUUAACUCUGCUAAUAUUUCUCAUGUUCUAGUAUCUCUUGUAUCAUCCGUAUAGAUAUAAGCAGCUAUUAGUGAAUAAUAAAAAUAUCUUUUAAAAGGUUAAAAUAAAUAAAAUUAUUCAAUUUAAAUAUAUAUAAACAUAUAUAUUUAUUUAGAUUUAAAUUAAUAAAUAUGUAAGAAUAGAGUUUGGCAUAAUAAUUUUAUUAAUUUAUUUAAAUAUAAAUGGACUAAAUAUACAAAAAAAAAAUAAAGUUGGUUAAUAUUAAAUUUUGAACCUUUUAAUUGAUUUUUUUAAUAAAAUUUACUAAUUUAUAGAUAAAACUAUAAUAAAUUAAUAUAUAAUAGAAAAUUUAUAUAUAACUUUUAAAAGUUGUACACUUAAAAACAUAAUCAUCUUUCUUUAGGAUACCACUAUUAAUACAUAUUUGAGUUUGAAAUUAUGAUAACUUAAUAGGGUGACUCACAAUCAUGUCUACAUUAUAUUUUUUAAAAUAAAAAGAUGUUUAUCAAAAUAGAAUUAUAACUAACAUUUGUAUAAAAUUAAAUUAAAUUAUUGACAACGUAAUAAUAAAUUUCAUAGUUAGAAUUAUAUAAAUUAUAUAAUCUAUUAGUAAAAAAAUAAGUAACUUCUAUAUUUGCAAAUAUCAUUUUUUUUGUAAUAUGAUAUUUUAAUUAUACUUUUAAGUUUUGAAAUUAUUUUAAUUUACAUGUUAAAGCACAAUUCACUUAACGUCCUAAAUAAUUAAUAUUACAAAUAAUAUAUAAAAUAGUCAAUAACAAUUCAUGAUAAAUUAGCAAAUUAUGAUAGACAAGACAAUGAUCACAAGUUUCUUCUUCAAAAUUUCACUAUUUUCAUACAUAUAAGCAGCUAUUAGUGAACGAUAAAAAAAUAUCUUUUAAAAUUUUAAAAUAAAUUAAAUUAUUCUAUUUAAAUAUAUAUUUUUUAAAUUUAAAGAAAUAUUUAAUAAUAGACUUGACAUAAUAAUUCACUUUAAAGAUAAAAUAAUAUAAAUAUGAAAUCUUAUUAAUUUAUUUAAAUAUAAAGGAAUUAAAUAUAUGAAAAAUAAAAUUCCUUAAUUUAAUUAAUAUCUAGUAGGUUAACUUACAAUUAACUAAUUAAAUUUUAAAAUUUUUAGAUUAAAUUCUUAAUAAAAUUCAUUACAAGAAAGUUUUAACAUUUAAUAAUUUAUAGAUAUUGGUGGAGCAUAUGGAGCCUGUGACGGUUGCUAGAUAUGGGAACGGGGUGGAGGAUAGGUACUGGCGAAGCAGUCUCAAUUUGGCAAGAUAAGUGAUAAUGUGCUUGAUCAAUAUAUUUUUAUUAUUUAUUGUAACAUCUCAUGCUCGGUUCGGUAACCGGAGUCGAACAAAAUAAUGUUAUUACCAAAUAUUUAAAUGAUUUUGAAACAUUCAGCUAAUUGGAAUAUGCAACAACAUGAGUUGAUAGCUUAUUUUGUUUUUGGCACUUACUUAAAAGUUUACAAAAUAUAUAUUUAAUCCAACCGUACAUACUGCCUUGUGUUUAAAAGAGUUUCGACUAAAUAUAGUAAAAUCAGAUUCUUAGUUUACUAGCGUGUGGACUACCACGAUAUGUACAUGUUACAAAAAUACAAUUAAAAGGCUCACAACUAAAACUUCAGCUUUUGGCUUAGUCCUUUUCCUAUCGUUCAAAACGGCUAUUGAUACCUGAAGAGAUAAAUCAAGAAGCAUGGUAAGUUCAAAAUGAUCUUAGUGAGUUCCCAUGAUGUUUACUUGCCCCCACAUACAACUUGCGUGGAAUAUAAGAAACGCAUAAGGACAACUAAUACGUUAAACAUUUCACGAAAGAAUAUAAGCAACAAGCAUACAAUACACUUCGCUCAAAUAAACAGUUCACUUUCACUCUCUGCAAACAUAUGUGUUACGGUAAGUAUAGUUGAAUUUACCCAAUGCAACCUAUACAGGUGAAAGAUCUUAGUGGAGUCAUACUCUGCUAAUACACACCAGACACAUGCCUGUGGAUUCAUGUCCACGGAUACAUACCUGCAGACUCAGGUUUGUGGAUUCAUACCUGCCCUCGUAUAUACAAAUCUAUUCUUAAAGAUAAUUCUUGCGGGCUUACGUCCGAUGAAUAUUUCUCAUGCAAUUGUGCUUGGAGAACUUAGACUCCCAGACUCACACUAUGCGAAUUGUUCGUGCAGACUUAUUUUCAUUAAUUUUCAUAUAACGGAGUCCCAGAAGACCGACUUAGCCUAGGAGCUUGAGGACAAGUCCUACAGACUAUCUUAGAUUGUAUUAUAGUCCUUAUGGACUCAUACUUGCAGUUGAUCCGGUGAACUCAUACUUGGAUGGUAAUCCAGGCGGACUCUUGUUUGAAUGAUGGUCUUGGUGGACUCACAACCAAGGAUUCUCUUUUAGAGAAACCAUUUGCGAAUACAUACUUAGUGAAUUUGUACACGUAGAUUCAUUCUGGUGCAGACACAUGCUUGUACACUUAAAGACAAGUCCUGGGGACUAUCAUAAACCUGUAUAUGUAAGGACAACUCCCAACGGAUUGUCAUAACUUGUGACUUGGAGACAAAUCCCACCACAACGCCACUCAUCUUUCAAUUAACAUCCUUCCACAACACCGAAACUUCUCUUUCAAUUAAAAUCUUGCCACAACGCUGAUACUUCUUUCAAUUAACGUCCCGCCACAACACCGAUACUUCAUGUAACACCCCUCACCCAAUCUGAUCGCUGGAUCCAAGUUUCAGGAUGCUACUACAAUUAUCUGAACAUUCACACGCAAAUCAUAACAUUGAAUUCAAUUUAAGUCAACAAGUUGUCACUACAACAAAACAGGUUUUUAGCGGCAUUUUUUUGGCCCUUUAAGCGUUGCUAUAAUUUUGUGGCGUUUAUGUGGACAAAAGCCGCUAUAGAAUAUGAUAUUUAGCGGCUCUUUUUUUACAAACGCCGCUAAAAAGCAUGACCUUUAGCGACGAUUUUCCCAAAAACGCAGCUAAAAAAUAUGACCUUCAGUGGCACUUCUCUCGAAAACGCAGCUAAAGAACAUAUGCUAAAAAAUAUAACCUUCAGCGGCGUUUUUGGGUGAAAAAUAAAAAAAAUCAAAAUAUCAUAAAAACGCCACAAAUCCAUUCCUAUCCCUUUACCUGCUUUAAGCAAAUCCUUUAGAAAUGUUGUUAUUAUUACAUACAUCACUCCAUUCUUUGGUUAGAGAAUGUAGCAGAAGUGGAAUUCCACCAAUUUAGAAAUGCAUAAUUUAAUUUGAAGACGUAUUAAAAUGGAAAUUCAUGAACAAGAAGAUCAAUGUUUUUCACUAUAUCUCAUGUAACGAGUCAAACUGCCUUUGAUUACAUAAGAUUCCUUUAAAAUUAAAAAAAAUUCAAACUAGUUCAUAUCAACUUGCUCAAGUUGUAUGUAUGACUUGCAGAUCAACACCUUAUUUGAACUUACAAUUCUAGGAAAGCAUAAAAUGUAGUUCCAUGAGCAUGCAUUUAAAGUGGCAAAAAAAAAUUUACUGAUUACAGUGACAGUCUAAGCUCCAAAUCUAGCUCUUGUGUGUCACUUGAUUCUGAAUUCUGACUGCCCGAUCCCAAUGAGUUGCUGCAAUGUUUCUUGCUCCUUGAAUGUGAAUCCUAUAAGAAUGUAAGGAACUAAAACAAGUCAAAUUUUAAAACACAAUCAUCACAUGGCACAUAAACUAAAAAAAGGAAGGAUAAUAAUUUAGAAGAUAAAUUAAAUAAUUUAGGAGAUAUUAAAAAUUUAGACUUAAACCAUGAGUCUAAAGAAAUAUUAACUAGUGUUAAUAAUAAAUUAGAUCAGGUUAUUAAUAAUAAUAAUAUGGAGUCUGAUAUAGAUUUAGGUCAUUUAUAUUAUGGUAAUGGUAAGGAUAAUAUUUUAAUUUUAUCUGAAGAAGAAAACACUUCUUUUGAUGAGUCGUCAUCUCUGUUAAAAAAUUAUAAAAAAACAUAAAAUAAAAAAAAGAUGAUAAACAAAAAGAAUAUGAUUUCCAGCCCUAUAAAACCCUUAUAGAACAUUGGAAAGAAAAAUUUACUACUACUAAUGAUCAACUAGAAAGAGUUGAAUAUUUAAAAUUAAUUAAAGAACUUUAUGAAAAACAUAAAGAUUUUUUUAGUAUGUUUAAUUAUCAUUAUAUGUUAAAAUAUGAUGAUAGUAGCAGUUCAAGUAAUUCUGAAAAAACAGAAUUAUUUAAGAAACAAUCUGAUGAAGAAAAAACUUCAACCGAUCAGGACGAAGACAUAAAAGUCUCAACUUAUAAUUCUGAUGAAGAAACCACUUCAUUUGAAGAUGUAGACGAAGUAAUAAAUAUUCCUGAACCAAUGGAUACUGAACCAACAGAUCCUUAUGGAAAAAGAAAAAUUGAGUCAGAUAUUCAAACAAAUGAUUAUCUGAUUAAAGAUUUAAGUAAAGUUCAAUAUACAACCAGUAUGUUGACUAGUAAUAUAAAAAAAAUUAAUUGAUGAGAAAGAUCCUAAAAAUAUAAGAGAAUUUAUUAAUAGAACUUUACUAGGACGGUUAGGUGUAAAACGUAAUACUCAUCAUAGGCAUAAAAAGAAAAAAUAUAAUAAACAAGUCAAAGGGAAACUAGAAAAUAAAAAAUUUUCUGGUCAUAUUAAGAGUCAGUUUUCUAGAAGAAAAACUUCUAAAGAACUUAAAGAUAUUUUAGAUAUUAAGAUAGGUCAUAUAGUCAAAAACUUUUCUAACAAAAGAAAAGAAGUUAGAAAAAGAAUUAAUAGUCUUGAAAAACAAGAUUUAGAAGUAUGUUUUCAAAAGAAAAUAAAUCCUGAAGAAAUGUUAUAUGAGUUAAUAUCAGAAACAGAUUCUGAUAAUAAUGAUGAAUAUAUAUUAAUGUUUAAUAUAGGAAGAAGUUCUAAUAAUUAAUUAGAAGAAAUUCCGAAUUCUGAAAAACAGGAUAUUAAAUUAGGUAAUUUAAUCGCAGAAGAAAAAGACUUUUCUGAUGAAAUUAUAGAAAAAAUUAAUAAAAAUCAUAUUUCUAAAGAGGAAAUAUAUAAGAUCUCUAAGUUUAAAUAUGGACUCAGAGACAUAUAGAAAAAAUUAGCGGUAACACUGACGCUAAGGAUACAAGAGAAGGAUUAACAGAAAUCCCUCUCUUUACUAAAGAGAAAAUUAAGAGGAUUAGAAAGAAAUAUCCUCAGGUUAGAUAUAUACAUUUAGGUAUAAUCAUGAUUACUAUUAGAGCCUUAUUUAGAAGAGGUCAUGAUAUUCCUAUAAUAGCUGUCCUUUUAGGUAAAAGAUUUGAAAAUCCAAUAAAAGCACUUAUUGGAGGUAUUCAGUCUAAUUUACAUACAGGUGUAAUAGGAUUUAAAGUUAAACCAAAUUAUUUUAUUUCCAUUUCAGACCCUCUAAUAGAAGAGUGUCUUUGCCUUAGGAUUCAGACAAAAAAUUCUGAUAUCAAUGAUUUAGUAGAAGAUCUAGCAAUUAGUUGGAUUUCUAUUAAUGAAUAUACAAAUACAGCAGAAGUAGAAAUAAAAGAGAUUAAUAACAAAAUUAUUGAAAUCUUUGAACCAAACAAGUUCACUACUGAAAUUCAGCCGAAAUUAUUAGAUCUAAGAGAUCUGUCAAUUCCAAGAGAUCGGAUGAUGGAAAGAAUCAAUAGUUCUAGUACUUCUAAACCAGUUAGUACUAUAGAAUAUAUGUCAUCAGGCAAUAAAUUGUAUUUUAAAAAUAAUUGUAUAACAAAUACAAAUGAAAAUUUAGUUUUACCCUCUAGUUCUCAACCAGAAGAAGAAGAAGAUAAUAUUAGUUCAAAUAGUACACCAAUAGGAAUUAAAACUGUUCAAAUUCCUAAAUUUCCUACUGAACCUAGUAAUAAUUCUAGAAAAACUAGACUGGAAGAAAUUCAAACUUCAACAAUUGAUAAAAAGUCAAAAGUUGGAAUAAAUAUCAAAGUUACAUUUCAGUUUAGAAAAUAUAAAAAAACAUUCUCUAAAUGUUUUGAUUGAUACUGGAGCUACAAUCUGUAGUUGUAGAGAAAAUGCGAUUCUUGUAGAAAAAUGAGAAAUAAUGAAAAAACCCAUAAAAAUAAUGGGACUAGAUGGUAGUAAAACUAUUAUAAAACAUAAAGCUAAAAAUAUACCAAUCUACAUAAACAAUGUUAGAUUUGUGAUUCCUAAAAUAGUAUGUUUUCCUAACAUGAAGGGAGAUAUAUUAUUAGGUAAUAAUUUUAUAUGUAAGUAUUUACCUUUUACUAUUGAAAAACAUUCUAUUUGGUUAUCAGUAAAAAAAGAUUUUUUAGAAAUACCUCUUGAUAAUAAUAAUAAGAUUGUGUGUAAUAAAAAUUUUACACCAAUUAAACUACUAGAUAAUUAAUAAUUAUUACUAAUGAUUGUUGAUUAUCUUAAUAAGUUCUAUGGAUAGAGGUAAACAGCCUCUAAAAGAAAUACUCGAUGAAUGGACUACUGCUCACAAAAAACCCAACAAAGGGAAAGCAGUAUCGAACUCCAAAAAAGAAUUUGUACCUGCACAACUACCAUUUUAUCCUAAUCAAGGAUAUUAUGUGUCAUAUCCAAUGGUAAACCAACCACUUGGACCAAAUGUUUUAAAAUAUUCAAUGGUAAACCAACCAGUUGGAACCUCUUUUUCAAACAUGGUGUAUCAAUCACCAAUGUUUCAUGAUAUGAAUUUAGCAUCACCAACCAAUUAUACUGAAAUCAUCAAAAGUUCGGAAAAUUUGUUGAAAAAACAACAAAUUGAAGAAGAAAAAAAUCUUUCAAAAAUAAAAGAUUUUUAUAAUCCUGGUUUAUCACCAGAAAAUUAUGACUUUAUAAACGAGAUAUGGAAAACUCAUAUUUCUAAUCAAAGAGUCAAUUUCAGAAGAGCUCUUACCAGAUAUUCAUUAUUUUUAGUUGAAAAAACAACUAAAGAAAAUGAAGCUGAAGAUUUAUUAUUAAAAUCUAUUUUAUACAGAGAUUGGGAUGAAUUCCAACUCUUUGUUAUGGAUAUUAAGGAGAUAAACAAUCUUCUUGAUAUUAUUCAAUAUUUUAUUCAUAAAAAGAAAAACAAUUCUAUUAUGAAUAAAGUAUUUAGAAUAUGUAUGUUUAAUAAAGCUAGGAAAUUUUUACCGGUAGAAAUAUUCACAAAAAUAAAUGAAAUAAUUUGCAGACAGCAAAUUCAAUUUCAAAAAGCUUUUUCAGAAUAUUUUCUACAAGCAUAUGUUUUUAAUGAUUAUUUAGAUAAUGAAUUUCCUACUUUAAAAUACAGAUUAGAUCAUGAACCAUUUGAUAUAACCAAUAUUGAAUGGGGUUUUACUAAAGAAAUAGUUGUGCAAAAUCUCUCUUUUCAUCUUUUAAAAGAUUUUCCAGCUAUUGUAAAGUCAGUUUUACAAAACAUCAUAAACAAUGAUGAUUUUUAUUACUAUUUUUAUAUUGAAAUUAGUAGUCUAAUAGGUAUAGCUGAAUAAGAAAAAAAUUAUCAACCGUAUCAAAUUUGGGUUAUUAAAAAGAUGAUUGGAACCCCCCAAUUAUCUGCUGUUAAUGAAGAUAAAGAACAUUUGUCAAAAACUAUUGAUAAAUGUUAUAAUAAAUUUGAUCAUUAUCAAGUCCAAACAGGAAUUGAUUUAUUAUCACAAGCCCAUUAUCUUCUCCAUGAUGAUGUUUAUAAAUUAUGGACGGAUGGAAGGAGGAUAUUGGCAUUUCCCAAUGGAAACAUCCAGGAGGAAAGAGAUGAAGAAUCUGUGAAGCUGUUAAGAAAGAUUGUUGAAAUGGAGAUAGAAGAAUUUCCAUCUCAUAUUACAGAAAAAAUAAAAAAUAUAUGGGAGACUUGGAACUCACCACCAAGACUUUCAUCAGAUUUUUUACAUUUGGACGAGAUUGAAGAAAUGAAUCUCAAUAAUAUGCAAGAAGGUUGAAGUCAAAAAAGAUGGCAACCUGAAAGAAAGGCAAUCCACAUACCAACAAAAAAGUUUGGCAACGUGGAUAUCAUGAUGACAUAAGCCAUGAUGGAAGCAACCAUGAAGGCUAAUCAAUGACACCCAGAUGCAGACAAAAAGUCUUGCAACGUGGAAGAUUUCAUCAAACCAAUGAUGAUGCAAGCAAUGAUAAAAGCUACAUGACACAAGCAAGUGAUGGAAGCGGUCAUUAAUUCAAGCAUGCAACGUGGAAACAACCAUGACCAUGCAAUUAAAAUUACAAGAAGACAAAUGAGACGUGGAAGCAGCCACAUCCAUUUGAAGCCGAAUCCUUAUCAGAAACACUGUUCGGGAUUCAAAAUACAAUUGUAUAGAAUUUUUAAUCUCCUUUAUAAAUAGGGAGGAAAGUUCAAUUGUAUAGGCAUCAUUUGUUUAUAGUUUACUCUUUAGUUUUCUUCUAGUUUUCUUCUUUGUAAACAUUUUCUUUUUUGUUAAUAAAAGAGUCUAUAUUCCCUUCCGCUCAUACUCUUUAAGUCCCUUCUCCCCCUAGAAUUGGUAUCAGAGGUGCCGGUGUAACGACUUUCUGGAGAAAUAAUAUCGUAAUAUUCAUUGUAUGUUUUUGUCUUUGAUUUACAUUUCUGUUUGUUUCACUGUUGUUUGUUUCAAAACUCAUAUAUCUAUUAUUAUGUCUUCUUGUUGCCGUUGAGUCCAGGGAGGACGUUAAGCGUUGUGUGAAGACGAUAUAGAUAAUAGACGGUCUUAGGUACCCGAGACAAACAUUAUGGAGCAAAUUGAGUGUCAAUUUCAAGAUAAAACUUGUAAUCAUAUUACGCAUAUAGACUCUAGAAAUGAAAACAACAUUUCAUCUCUGAGUAAGGGUAUAAAUAGUCUUGUUGAUAUGACUUCUUUUUAUUUUUCUAAGUUAUGUAAAAAGGUCAGUAAAGUAGAAGAAAAGAUAAAUAAUUUAGGAGAUAUAAAAAAUUUAGACUUAAACCAUGAGUCUAAAGAAAUAUUAACUAAUAUUAAUAAUAAAUUAGAACAAGUUUUUAAUAAUAAUACUGAGUUUGAUGUAGAUCUAGGUCCUUUAUAUUAUGGCAAUGGUAAGGAUAACAUUUUAGUUUUAUCUAAAGAAGAAAAUACUUAUUCUGAUGAGUCAUCAUCUCUGUUAAAAAAUUAUAAAAAAACAUAAAAAAACGUAAAAAAAGAUGAUAAACAAAAAUAAUAUGAUUUCCAGUCCUAUAAAACCCUUAUAGAACAUUGGAAAGAAAAAUUUACUACUACUAAUGAUCAACUAGAAAGAGUUGAAUAUUUAAAAUUAAUUGAAGAGCUUUAUGAAAAAUAUAAAGAUUUUUUUAGUAUUUUUAGUUAUCAUUAUAUGUUAAAAUAUGAUGAUAGUAGCAAUUCAAGUAAUUCUGAAAAAACAGAAUUAUUUAAGAAACAAUCUGAUGAAGAAAAACUUCAAUAGAUCAGGAUGAAGACAUAAAAGUCUCAACUUAUAAUUCUGAUGAAGAAACCACUUUAUCUGAAGAUGUAGACGAAGAAAUAAAUAUUCCUGAACCAAUAGAUACUGAACCAACAGAUCCUUAUGGAAAAAGAAAAAUAGAGUCAGAUAGUCAAACAGAUGAUUAUCUUAGGUCUUUAAAUAAACAGAUGAAAUUUUGGUAAUAAAAUCGAUAAUAUAGCAACUAAUGAAGUAAAACCUGAAUAUCCAGGAGAAACUUCUAACCAACCUGUUCAACAAAGAAUAGAUGAUUUAAAUAAAAGAAAUGUGGCCCAAGGAGGAAUUUAUUUAGAUCUAACUAAUACUCCUAUUUCAAAUUAUGAAAAAACUAUUGAUGAUUGGGCACAAUCUAUGACUAUUGUUGUAAACAGCAACACGUGGUCAAAAGAAAAUUUUUUAAAUUACUUUGUUGGAACAUUUCAAGGAGAUGUUCUACAAUUUUUUAGACGUUGAGAAGAGUCUAAGAAAGGUAAAGAACAAAAGGGGCAAUUAAUCAACCAAAUAGGAACCCCUAAGGAUCUUUUAAAAGGAUUAACCUUAAUUCUAAAAAUAGAAUUUUGUGGAUAUUUUGAUAAAAAAGAUCAAGAUAGUACAUCUAGUUAUAUCCUUUCUAAGAUUAAAUUAUGUGAUAUUAGACAUUUAGAAGAUUUUUCUAAAAAAUUUCUUCAUGAAUAUCAAAAGUUAAAAAUGAAAAUAUAGAAUUUUGGAAAAACCAAUAUUUUCAUAAAUUACCCCCACCCUGGGAUGAGAUAUGUAUAAACAAAUAUGUCUUAUUUAGAGAAGCACAGUAAAACAUCUGGACUUCCAGCAGAAAAUUUGGAUACUAUAGGAAAUAGGAUAAACUUUGCACGUGAAAGAAUAACUUUACAUUGUUUGCAAAGUAAAGCUGCUAAACAAGUCAAACAUAAAUUAAGUGAUAAAUAUUGUAAUAAAAUACUAGAAAAUGAAUGUGAAUUUGGAUGUAAACAAAUAUAUCCUAAAAAGCAGAAAAAAUAUAAAUUAAGAAAAUGGAAACCAGGUAAUAAAAAGUUUUUUGGUAAUAAUAAAACAGUGGUUAGGAAAAAGACUUCUGAACAAAGAAACAAAUUUGUAAAUGUUUUAUUUGUGAUGAAGAAGGUCAUAUAGCUAGCAAUUAUCCUAACAAAGGAAAAAAUGCUAGAAAAAUGAUAAAAAGUCUUGAAAAACAAGAUUUAAAAAUAUGUUUUCAAAAGGAAAUAAAUCCUGAAGAAAUAUUAUAUGAGUUAGUUUCAGAAACAGAUUCUGAUAAUAACGAUGAAUAUAUAUUUAUGUUUAAUAUAGAAUAUAUGUCAUCAGGCAAUAAAUUGUAUUUUAAAAAUAAUUGUAUAACAAAUACAAAUAAAAAUUUAGUUUUACUCUCUAGUUCUCAACCAGAAGAAGAAGAUAAUAUUAGUUCAAAUAGUACACCAAUAGGAAUUAAAACAGUUCAAAUUCCUAUAUUUCCUACUGAACCUAGUAAUAAUUCUAGAAAAACUAGAAUGAAAGAAAUUCAAACUUCAACAAUUGAUAAAAAGUCAAAAGUUGGAAUAAAUAUCAAAGUUACAUUUCAAUUUAGAAAAUAUAAAAAAUAUUCUCUAAAUGCCUUGAUUGAUACUGGAGCUACAAUCUGUAGUUGCAGAGAAAAUGCGAUUCCUGUAGAAAAAUGGGAAUUAAUGAAAAAACCCAUAAAAAUAAUGAGACUAGAUGGUAGUAAAACUAUUAUAAAACAUAAAGCUAAAAAUAUACCAAUCUACAUAAGCAAUGUUAGAUUUGUGAUUCUUAAAAUAGUAUGUUUUCCUAACAUGAAGGGAGAUAUAUUAUUAGGUAAUAAUUUUAUAUGUAAGUAUUUACCUUUUACUAUUGAUAAACAUUCUAUUUGGUUAUCAGUAAAAAAAAGAUUUUUUAGAAAUACCUCUUGAUAAUAAUAAUAAGAUUGUGUGUAAUAAAAAUUUUACACCAAUUAAACUACUAGAUAAUUAAUAAUUAUUAUUAAUGAUUGUUGAUUAUCUUAGCAGGUUCUAUGGAUAGAAGUAAACAGCCUCUAAACGAAAUAGUCAGUGAAUGGACUACUGUUCACAAAAAACCCAACAAAGGGAAAGCAGUAUCAAACUCCAAAAAAGGAUUUGUACCUGCACAAAUAUCAUUUUAUCCUAAUUAAGGAUAUUAUGUGUCAUAUCCAAUGGUAAACCAACCACUUGGACCAAAUGUUUUAAAAUAUCCAACGGUAAACCAACCAGUUGGAACCUCUUUUUCAAACAUGGUGUAUCAAUCACAAAUGUUUCAAGAUAUGAAUUUAGCAUCACAAACAAGUUAUGCUGAAAUCAUCAAAAGUUCAGAAAAUUUGUUGAAAAAAUAAAAAAUUGAAGAAGAAAAAGAUCUUUCAAAAAUAAAAGAUUUUUAUAAUCCUGAUUUAUCACCAGAAAAUUAUGAUUUUAUAAACGAGAUAUGGAAAACCCAUAUUUCUAAUCAAAGAGCCAAUUUCAGAAGAGCUCUUACCAGAUAUUCAUUAUUUUUAGUUGAAAAAAUAACUAAAGAAAAUGAAGCUGAAGAUUUAUUAUUAAAAUCUAUUUUAUACAAAGAUUGAGAUGAAUUCCAACUCUUUGUUAUGGAUAUUAAUGAGAUAAACAAUCUUCUUGAUAUUAUUCAAUAUUUUAUUCAUAAAGAGAAAAACAACUCUAUUAUGAAUAAAGUAUUUAGAAUAUGUAUGUUUAAUAAAGCUAGGAAAUUUUUACCGGUAGAAAUAUUCACAAAAAUAAAUGAAAUAAUUUGCAGACAGCAAAUUCAAUUUCAAAAAGCUUUUUCAGAAUAUUUUCUACAAGUAUAUGUUUUAAUGAUUAUUUAGAUAAUGAAUUUCCUACUUUAAAAUACAGAUUAAAUCAUGAACCAUUUGAUAUAACCAAUAUUAAAUGGGGUUUUACUAAAGAAAUAGUUGUGCAAAAUCUCUCUUUUCAUCUUUUAAAAGAUUUUUCAGCUAUUGUAAAGACAGUUUUACAAAACAUCAUAAACAAUGAUGAUUUUUAUUACUAUUUUUAUAUUGAAAUUAGUAGUCUAAUUGGUAUAGCUGAACAAGAAAAAUUUUACCAGCCGUAUCAAAUUUGGAUUAUUAAAAAGAUGAUUGGAACCCCCCCAAUUAUCUGCUUGUUGAUAUGACUUCUUUUUAUUUUUCUAAGUUAUGUAAAAAGGUCAGUAAAGUAGAAGAAAAGAUAAAUAAUUUAGGAUUUAUAAAAAGUUUAGACUUAAACCAUGAGUCUAAAGAAAUAUUAACUAAUAUUAAUAAUAAUAUUGAGUCUGAUGUAGAUCUAGGUCCUUUAUAUUAUGGUAAUGGUAAAAAAAAUAUUUUAGUUUUAUCUGAAGAAGAAAACACUUCUGAUGAGUCAUCUCUGUUAAAAAAUUAUAAAAAACAUAAAAAACGUAAAAAAGAUGAUAAACAAAAAGAAUAUGAUUUCCAGUCCUAUAAAACCCUUAUAGAACAUUGGAAAGAAAAAUUUACUACUACUAAUGAUCAACUAGAAAGAGUUGAAUAGUUAAAAUUAAUUGAAGAACUUUAUGAAAAACAUAAAGAUCUUUUUAGUAUGUUUAAUUAUCAUUAUAUGUUAAAAUAUGAUGAUAGUAGCAGUUCAAGUAAUUCUGAAAAAACAAAAUUAUUUAAGAAACAAUCUGAUGAAGAAAAAACUUCAACCGAUCAGGACGAAGACAUAAAAGUCUCAACUUAUAAUUCUGAUGAAGAAACCACUUCAUCUGAAAAUGUAGACGAAGAAAUAAAUAUUCCUGAACCAAUGGAUACUGAACCAACAGAUCCUUAUGGAAAAAGAAAAAUUGAGUCAGAUAUUCAAACAAAUGAUUAUCUGAUUAAAGAUUUAGGUAAAGUUCAAUAUACAACCAGUAUGUUGACUAGUAAUAUAAAAAAAUUUAACUAUUGAUGAGAAAGAUCCUAAAAAUAUAAGAGAAUUUAUUAAUAGAACUUUACUAGGACAGUUAGGUGUAAAACCUAAUACUCAUAAUAGGCAUAAAAAGAAAAAAUAUAAUAAACAAGUCAAAGGAAAAUUAGAAAAUAAAAAAUUUUCUGGUCAUAUUAAGAGUCAGUUUUCUAGAAGAAAAACUUCUAAAGAACUUAAAGAUAUUUUAGAUAUUAAGAUAGGUCAUAUAGUCAAAAACUUUUCUAACAAAAGAAAAGAAUCUAGAAAAAGAAUUAAUAGUCUUGAAAAACUAGAUUUGGAAAUAAGUUAUAAAAAGGAAAUAAAUCCUUAUAAAAUUGAAUCUGAUAAAAAUGAAAAAAUAUUUUUAUUAGAAAAUUCUAGAAAUACUAGAAUUGAAAAAUUAAAAACAGUUCUUCAGCAAAUAAAAAUUGGGAAAAAUGAUAUAAUCACAUUUUCAAAUUUUCAAGCUAAGAAAUAUUAUACUCAUAUUGAAAUCACAUUUCAGUUUAGAGAAUAUAAAAAAAUAUUCUUUACACGCUUUGCUUGACACUGGAGCUACAACAAGUAGUUGCAAAAAAAAAUGCUAUUCUUAUAGAAAAAUAGGAAUUAAUGAAAAAUCCUAUUAAUGCAAUUGGAAUAGAUGGUAAUGAAACUAUAAUCCAAUAUAAUGCAAGAAAUAUACCAAUCUACAUAAACAAUGUUAGAUUUGUAAUUCCUAAGAUGUUAUGUUUCUCUGAAAUGCAUGGAGAUAUAUUACUAGAAAAUAAUUUUAUAUAUCAUCAUCUACCAUUUUCUAUAGAUAAAUAUUUGGUUACUUUGUCUGUAGAAAAAUUCUCUAUGGAAAUACCACUGGUAGAAAACCAUAAGUUUGUGUGUAAUAAAAACUUUACACCAACUAGAAAAGAACAAAUUAAACAAAUAGAAACUAAUCAUUGGUUGUUUAAAAUAUUAGAAAACAAUUUUAGUGAUGAACCACUAAAGUUAUGAAAAAAUAGUCCAAGAUAUUGUGAAAUAAAAUUAAAUAAUCCUAAUAAAAUAAUUAGGGUUAAGCCUAUGAUCUAUACUAAACAAGAUAUGGAUGAGUUUGAUGUUCAAAUAAAUGAACUAUUAGAAAAAAAGAUUAAUAGAAAAAACUAAUAGUCCUCAUUCAAGUCCUGCUUUUAUGGUAAAAAAUCAUGCUGAAAUUAAAAGAGGAAAAGCUAGGAUGGUUAUUAAUUAUAAGAGAUUAAAUCAAAACACUAUUUUUGAUGGAUAUUUUAUCCCAAAAAAAGAAGUAUUGAUCAAUCAGGCUAAACAAGCCAAAUAUUUUAGUAAAUUAGAUUGUAAAUCGGGAUUCUGACAAAUCAUGCUAAUCGAUGAGUCAAAACCUUUAACUGCUUUUAGUGCCCCUAAUGGUCAUUAUCAAUAGAGGAUAAUGCCAUUUGAAUUAUGCAAUACUCCACAAAUCUUUCAAAGAUGGAUGGAUUCCAUCUUUAAUAAGUAUAAAAAGUUUUGUGUAGUAUAUAUAGAUGAUAUUCUAGUCUUUUCAGAAACACUAGAAAAGCAUAGAAAACAUCUAAAUAUUUUUUCUCAAAAAUUCCUAAAACAUGGAAUUAUAUUAAGCCCUAAAAAGAUAGAGCUAGAAAAAAUGGGAAUAGAAUUUUUAGGUUUAAAGUUAUCUACAGAUGGUCUUAAACUCCAAGAUCAUAUUAUUGUAAAAAUAAAAGAAUUUCCUGAAAAAAUAGAAGAAUUUCCUGAAAAAAUAGAAGAUAAAAAACAUCUUCAACAAUUUUUAGGAAUUGUUAAUUAUGGGAGAAACUUUUUUCCAAAAUAAUCUGAAAAAAUAGGUAUAUUAUAUGGAAAAUUAAAAAAGAAUAUUUCUUUUUGCUGGUCUAAGAAAUUAUAAAAAAUAUAAAAGCAGAAAUAACUUACAAUCUAAAAGUUUAUUUACCUAAAAAAUGUGAUAAACUAAUUUUAGAAACUGAUGCAUCACAAUGUUAUUGGGGAUGUAUUCUAAAAGCUAAAACAACUAAUAAUAAUGAAGAACUAAUAUGUGGAUAUAAUUCAAGAAAAUUUAAGCCUAAUGAGGUUAAUUAUAUUAUUUAUGAAAAAGAACUUUUAGCUAUUAAAAAAGGAAUAAAAACUUUCUUAUUUAUUUAGCACCUGAAAGGUUCAUCAUAAGAACUGAUAAUCAGGCAGUUAAACAGUUUUUAACUAACAACAGUUUGGAAACUGUACCAAGAAGAAUUAGGUGGUAGAAUGAUUUAUGCACUUUUAAUUUUGAAGUUAUUUAUAUAAAAAGUGAUGAAAGUCUUCUUGCUGAUUAUCUUAGCAGGCCUCAUGGAUAGAGGUAAACAACCUCUAAAAGAAAUAGUCGGUGAAUGGACUACUAUUCACAAAAAACCCAACAAAGGGAAAGCAGAAGCAAACUCCAAAAAAAGAUUUGUAUCUGCACAAAUACCAUUUUAUCCUAAUUAAGGAUAUUAUGUAUCAUAUCCAAUGGUAAACCAACCACUUGGACCAAAUGUUUUAAAAUAUCCAAUGGUAAACCAACCAGUUGGAACCUCUUUUUCAAACAUGGUGUAUCAAUCACCAAUGUCUCAAGAUAUAAAUUUGGCAUCACAAACCAGUUAUACUGAAAUCAUUAAAAGUUCAGAAAAUUUGUUGAAAAAACAACAAAUUGAAGAAAAAAAGAUCUUUCAAAAAUAAAAGAUUUUUUAUAAUCCUGAUUUAUCACCAGAAAAUUAUGAUUUUAUAAACGAGAUAUGAAAAACCUAUAUUUCUAAUCAAAGAGCCAAUUUCAGAAGAGCUCUUACCAGAUUUUCAUUAUUUUUAGUUGAAAAAACAACUAAAGAAAAUGAAGCUGAAGAUUUAUUGUUAAAAUCUAUUUUAUAUAGAGAAUGGGAUGAAUUCCAAUUAGAAUUCAUGGAUAUUGAGGAGAUAAACAAUCUUUUUAAUAUUUUUCAAUAUUUUAUUCAUAAAGGAAAAACCAGUCCUAUCAUGAAUAAGGUAUUUAGAAUCUGUUUAUAUAACAAAUCUAGACAGAUUUUACCAAUGAAAAUAUUCAACAAAAUUAAUGGACUUAUUUGUAAUCAACAGAUUAAAUUCCAAAAAGCUUUUUCUGAAUAUUUUCUACAAUCUUAUGUUUUUACUAAUUUUAUUGGUAAAAUUUAUCCAACUAUAAAAUUUAGAUUGGAUCAUGAACCAUUCGAUAUAACAAGUAUUGAAUGGGGUUUUGUUAGAGAAAUAGUAAUACAAAAUUUCUCUUUUCACCUUUUAAUGGAUUUUCCAGCAAUAGUAAAAUCUUUUUUACAAUCCAUCAUAAACAAUGAUGAUUUUUUCUAUUACUUUUAUAUCCAAAUUAGUACUCUUAUUGGUAUUCCUGAAAAAGAAAAAAUUUUUCAGCCAUAUCAAAUUUGGUAUAUUCAUACUAUGAUCGACAGCCCUCGAUUAUCAGCCUUAAAUGAAGAUAAGGAACACUUGGCAACAACAAUUGACAAGUGUCAGAAAGAUUUUAGCUAUUAUCAAAUCCAAACUGGAAUUGAUUUAAUGGCUAAAGCAAGAUAUCUUCUUCAAGAAAAAAAUUAUCGACUUAGAACUGAUGGAAGAAGAAUAAUGGCGUACUAUUCAAGAAUUAGUGAUAAAGAUGAAGAAUCCAUUUGUCUACUAAAAAAGAUAGCAAAAAUAGAUAUAGAAGAUUUCCCAUCUCAUAUUUUGCAACAAAUCAAAAAUAUAUGGGAAAAUUGUCAUCAAGAUAUAUCUACAAUUCAUCACUAGGGAUGAUGCCAACAAAGAUGGCAACCUGAAAGAAAGGCAAUCCACAUACCAACAAAAACGUUUGGCAAUGUGGAUAUCAUGAUGAUAGUAGCAGUUCAAGUAAUUCUGAAAAAACAGAAUUAUUUAAGAAACAAUCUGAUGAAGAAAAAACUUCAACAAAUCAAGAUGAAGACAUAAAAGUCUCAACUUAUAAUUCUAAUGAAGAAACCACUUCAUCUGAAGAUAUAGACGAAGAAAUAAAUAUUCUUGAACCAAUGGAUACUGAACCAACAGAUCUUUAUGGAAAAAGAAAAAUUAAGUCAGAUAUUCAAACAAAUGAUUAUCUGAUUAAAGAUUUAAGUAAAGUUCAAUAUACAACCAAUAUGUUGACCAGUAAUAUAAAAAAUUUAACUAUUGAUGAGAAAGAUCCUAAAAAAUAUAAGAAAAUUUAUUAAUAGAACUUUACUAGGACGGUUAGGUGUAAAACCUAAUACUCAUCAUAGGCAUAAAAAGAAAAAAUAUAAUAAACAAGUCAAAGAGAAAUUAAAAAAUAAAAAAUUUUCUGGUCAUAUUAAGAAUCAGUUUUCUAGAAGAAAAACUUCUAAAGAAUUUAAAAAUAUUUUAGAUAUUAAAAUAGGACAUAUAGUCAAAAACUUUUCUAACAGAAGAAAAGAAGUUGAAAAGAAUUAAUAGUCUUGAAAAACAAGAUUUAGAAAUAAGUUAUAAAAAGGAAAUAAAUCCUUAUAAAAUUGAAUCUGAUAAAAAUGAAAAAAUAUUUUUAUUAGAAAAUUCUAGAAAUAUUAGAAUUGAAAAAUUAAAAACAGUUCUUCAGCAAAUAAAAAUUGGGAAAAAUGAUAUAAUUAUAUUUUCAAAUUUUCAAGUUAAAAAAUAUUAUACUUAUAUUAAAAUCACAUUUCAGUUUAGAGAAUAUAAAAAAUAUUUUUUAUACGCUUUACUUGACACUGGAGCUACAACAAGUAAAAUUUUAUCAGCCGUAUAUAGUAAUUUGUUACUUGAUUAGAUAAGCUAUGUCACUGCAGCUUGAGUUUUGUCCUUUCAAACUCACAUAUCAUAUACAGUCAAAAAGUUGAUGAACAAAAGGCUAUUACUUUUACAACUUAAGAUAUUGACUUUAUCUUUAUUGACAAAGCCCUCUUAGUUUCCAUUAGCAUUUGUUCCUGCAUUUAAAAGCCGGUUAGUAUUUUAGAACAUGUAAAAACUUUAGCAGUAUUUUUUUUUCUUUUUUGUUACCCAAAAUUCAGUUUAUUACCUUAUUCUGAAGUUCAGAAAGCUGGUCAAGCAUAUAUUGGGUCUGCAAAAGAAGAUUGAAAUAAAACAAAGUGCUAGAAUUUGUGAAAGUUGAAAAUAUUAGGAGCUAAAAGAGAAAUCAAGAAAGAGGUGGACUGGCAAGUUAAUUAUACCAUAAAAUUACUACAGGUAUGAUUAAUCUUUUCAUGGAAAAAAAAACCCACUAUAACUGCUCUAUGAUAUCUCUUAAAGCCUAACAAAAUGGAUUAUGAUUUUGCUUCCACUAGUAGAUAUAACUUGCUGUUAAGUUUCAUCUUCUCCUGGAAACCUCUAAUCCAUAAGGAUUUAAAUGGCAAAUUCAACCAAAAACUCAUCUACAACCACAAUCUAAAUCCUUAAUUCAUGUGUACUUAUCAUCUAAAAUGAAUGCUAUGACCAGUAAAAAGAUUGAGGCUGCAAGCUUUAGGGUUUUUCUUAAUAGUUGAAAUGGGAAGAGGAAACCCACCGACAAGAAAAGGUAUUAAACUGACCAAAACAGUAUAGCCUACUUUCACAUUUUUUUUAUCCUGGUUUAAUAUUGAAUUUUAUCCCUCUAUUUUAAUAAAAUUUAAAAGUUAAUCCCUAUAAUUUGUCAAAUUUUGAUCAUCAUACUUUAUAAAAAUUGAAAAAUUAGUCCAAUUGGAUAACAUUGUUAAAUAGCUAAUAUGAAAAUUAGUAAUUUUCAAUUUAUAUCAACUGUCUAAUAAUUUAUAGGCAAUAAAUUAGCAACGGUUAAUAAUUUAAAUUUAUAUGUUUACCAACUAAAUCAAAUUUAAAUAAAUUAGAAAAAAAAAGGACUAAUUUUUCAGUAUUAUUAAAGUAGAAAUGAAAUUAUUCUAAUAAAGAUGUUAUUAUAUAGUACUGUUUCCCUAAUUCCUCUAGCCACUUCUAAUAUUAUUUGUGGUUAAUGAGCUUCAAUAGACAGUUUUUAACCCCCUCCAUUAGAUUUUAAGCAAAGCUAAUAAUAAUAAAUUGUAAUUUAAAUAAAUUACUGAUGAAGAAAAACUCUUCUAAAAAGAACACAACUUUUGUAAAAGAUAGAUUUGCUGACAAGUUGGGUCUGGUUAAAUUGGAUGGGAUUAAAUCAGAAAAAAAAAGUUUAUUUACCAUAACAUUCUAGUUUCAUAUUUAUUCCUAGCUAUCUUAAAAAUUCAGAAUAUAACAGAUGUGCAACAAAUGAUAAAAAAUAAAUAUACUAUGCUGAACAAUUGUAUGAAAUUCUCACUUGUAUAAACUCAAACAUAUCAAAGAUAUAUGUAAGCAGUAAUCAAAACUUACCCUUGGUGGAGCGGACAUGUUUCAGGGAUGACUCUAGUUGAUGCUCAAGCUGCUCAAGCUCCUUUGAGUUCAAUGGACCCAAGUCUUCACCAAGGAGAUUCCUGUUGAAUCAAAGGACCAAACCAGAUAGCACAUAAAAUUGCUCUUAUUCAAAUACUUUUAGUAAUUACAAUCAAAUUAAUAUACACUUCUAAAUGGACUAAUAGCCUAUCAAAUUAAUAUGGAAGUCCAAAGCUAUGGUAUGGUUGUAAGACUAAACACCUCUGAGUUCGAUUUAGUUCCUCAUAUCUAGCUUUCAGUUUUAGGUACUGUAAUAACCCAAAUUCGCCCGGCCCAAAUUAAAUAAUAAAUACAAAAAACAAAUAAAAAUUAAAAGUCCAUUUUUAAGGUCCAUUUACAUCCAGCCUAAUAAUAACUAACACGUUUAGCCCAAGACCCAACUACAAUAUGACCCAAACUGUUUUAACCUAAACUAUCCAAAUUUAACAGACCCUAAACCCAACUUUCUAAACUCGGAUCUCCUAGGCCCAAAACUCGGCCCAAAUCAAUGGAGCACCCUAGAGGCUUCUAGGGUUUUCACCAGCGCGCAGCCACCGAAGCCACCCUCCGCGCGUGCCAAGCCACUCCCCACGCAUGCAGCGCCUCCACGCCACGUUGGCCUCCAUACCACCAGCUAGAAUCCUCCGUACCUGCACACAAGCAGACAAACAAAAAAACAAGCAGAAAACGACAGCAAAGAAAAAAGAAAAAAAGGAUAUUAGUUGUAUUUUGGAUUCAUUUUUUUUAUCUUUAUCUUCGGCUAUAAAGCCAUUUUCCAAAUUUUGUAAACGUUACACACGCAUUUGAUAUUCAUUACGAAUACAAAAAUCAGAGAAAAAGGUGAUUUCCCCAGUUUUCCUCCUGUUUUGAUUUCAGUUUUCCUUUUCUUUUCUGCAUUCAAUCGUUAGAUUUUUAGGCGAGAAAGUAAUAAAGAAAAGAGGAAAGCGUACCUGACGUUAGGAUUUCGGCCUCCUCCGUCGUCAUCGGAGAGCAGGUCAGAAUCGGAGACUAUUCGCCUGCCUUUAGUACGCAGAACGGCGCAGAGUCUCCCUUAGAUUAGGUUUUUUCUUUUUACUAAAAUGAUAGGUGUUAGGGUUAUCUUAGUUUAAAGAGUAAGAAUCAAAACGUCGCCGUUCAGAGCCAAUACAAUGGCAUUGAAACUGUGUUGUUUCGAAGACUCGAUCCGAGCGGUGACCCGAUCCGGGAAGGAUCCGUGCUCCAUGGAUCGUUUGGUUUAUUUAUUCACCAAGCCCCUCUUAGUUUUGAUUAGUCUCAAUUUGGUUACUUUAGUUUUUUUUUUAAAAUUUAUACUGCGUAUUUAACUUUGUUUGCAUGUCGAUCCAAGGUUAAGCGACACCGUUUUACACCUGAUUGCUAAUGAAAUUGCUGAUUGAGUCCCAUAAGAUUAAAAAAGAUUUCAUGUUGGUACAAAUUUAGUUUUUUUUUUAAAUUCAAUAAUAUUUGUAAAUGCAAAUUAACCAUACUUACAUGUAUUAUAAAACUUAAUACUGUAUUUAAUUUUAAUAGUAUCUAAUUUUAUUAUAGUUUAAAAUAUAACAAAUCAUUAUUUUAACUUGUAUUUUAUGUCUUAAAUUCGUUGCACUAAUACUUGGGGUUUAUUGUUUUCUUUUAUUUUAUUUUUAUCAUUCUAAGUUUUACUUAAACUUUGAUUUAAAAUCCAUUAAUUAUUGUUUUCAAUUAUAAAAAAGGUCUUUACAUAAUAAAUUUUGAUUUCAAAAGUUUUUUUAAUAAAUCGAUUUUAUAUUCAUUAUUUUUAAUAUUAUUUUAAUAUUUAGCUUAAUACUAUUUUCGAAUUUGCUUUUAAUAUAUUUUUUAGAAAUGAUACCUAAAUUCCUUCAAAUUAUUAUAUUUUAAAUACGUUUUAAAUUCACUAAAUAUUAUUUCAAUUUUUUUAUAAUUAUACUUUUUUUAAUUUGAUAUAUUAUUAUAAAUUUCAUCAUUUAUUAAUACACAUUGUGGUAGAUUAAACAUAAUUAUAUAUUUAGAUGUUGUAUACUGUGAGUAAAAUUAUUGUUGCUAUUGUAUUUGUAUUUAUUUAUUGCUUAUUUGGCUACAUCUUAGUUUAGGUUUGAAUUAUCAUUUAUCGUUUUACAUUACGUUUUUUAAAACUUUGCACCUUUAUCAUACUAUUUCAUAUUAAAAAAGCCUAGCAUUUAUAAUCUUCGAAAAAAUUGAGCCCUAAUGUAUUGGGUUCCAAUUUUCCUCGUUGAAUCCAAAUAAUCGAAAUUUUUCUUUAAUCAAGAUAUAUAAAACUCACUCUCGGGAAUUCGAUAAGUCGUGUCCUAAUGUAUUGGCUGUGAUGCAUCGAUUUCUCGAAAUAAGGUUUUUUUUAAAAAAAAUAAGAGCAAUAUUCAAUGCUCAGAACUUUGAGAAAUCGUGCCCUAACGUAUUGGGUUUCAAUUUUUUUAUCGGACUUAAAGCAAUUGAAUAUCCUUUUAAAUCUCACCACGCAAAUUUUGAAAAUCAAAAGAUAAACUUAUUCUCGAGGACUAAAAAUGUCGUGCCCUAAUGUAUUGGAUGUGUCAUUUUAUUACUCUAAGAUAAGGAGGUUUUUGGUAUUCGCAUCGAUUUAUCCAUGCAUCUUUUAUGAAAUUAAUAAGAAGAAUCGUAUUUUAAAGCUUUCUAAAGUUUUAACACUAAGACAUAAAAUGAUCAAUUCAGUACCAUUUUUUUGGGUGUUUCGAAAGUGCUAACCCUUCCUCGAGCAUAACCGACUCCCGAACCUGUUUUCUCAAAAUUCACAGACCUAAAAUUAUUUUCUAAGUGAUCCGAUCACACCUUAAUAAAAGAUCGGUGGCGACUCCCGUUUUUUAUUUCCAAAGUCAAUUCUUUUUUUUUUCAAAUUUAAAAAUGGUUUUCUUUUCAAAUUUAAAAAUAGUUUCGACAGGUACUCCCUGUAGCUGCUCCGUGGCAACAAAGAUUCUUGCAUAGAGCAUGUUCACAUAUUCAAUUCUCCACUAUGCCAUCUUCUCUUUUACUUGACAUUCCCCAACAUCAAACACGUUCAGUUUCUUCCCCCCACAUACACAUCUUUAUAAACAUUUUUGUUAUGGGAUUUAAUUUGUUAAUUAAGUGAGUUUGGGGGGGAGAUUCUUGUGUUUUUAUUUUAAUGAAGGUAUAUAUUAAAAGGUGUUUUUAACGUCCCAUCCAUGGCCAUGGGACCUUUUGGGGGGGGGGGGGGGGUUAGAACAAAGUCUGAAACACUGCAAUAAAACUGGCAAAAGAUUGUGUCCUUCUCUGCAAUAGUGCCAUGUUAAUAACCACUCCUAACUUGUUCUCUGCUCCCCCAUCUUCCAUUUUUUGCUUUUCAAUUUCUUUUUUUAUUUUUUCAAGUACCAAAUAUAAAAGAAAAUUAAUAAAGCAUGCGAUUAUGAGAGAUUGAGAUUAUGUACUAAGUAAAUAUAAAGAGAAUGAUAAAAGCUUGAAGAUGAAGAGGGAUUAAAACAGGUAAUUAUAAAAUACUGAAUAAAAUAAUAAUAAUAAUAUGUUGAGUUGGAAGAAGAGUUUGGCAAAAUGUAGGUUUGAAAGAAAUUAAUGCAAGUGGGAGAAAAUAUUGCAGCCUUUGCAUUUGCAUGCCACGUUUUAGUUGGACUUGGAAUGACUCUCCAAUAUGGAUCCUUUGAUGAUGAAUUUAUGAUCAUCAUCACAUGUUACUAUGACUAACUUACAAAACCCUUAAUUACUUCAUCAGCUUGAGUUUUUUUCCCCUUGAUCUCCUUGCAACAGUAAAAAGUGCAGUUUUUUUCGUUUGUCACAGAGAAUUGGAAGUAUAUAUAUGUAAGAGAUGAAGAGAUGGAUUAUAGCAUUAAUUAGUGAAAAAAAAUCAAAAAAAACCUGCAGUUAGCAACAAUGUACUCAUCAGAAACUUUCAGAUCAUAUCAUCAUCAUCAUCCUACACUGAUCGGCAUUGAUAAUAAUACCAUAAACUAAAUCAAAAUCAGAAUAUUGAAAAAAACAAUCCAUUGGAAGUUAAUAUGAGCUCUAUGCAUGAGGUGAGAGAUCAUAAACAGUGUUUGAGAGACGCAAGGCCUAGAAAUACCAAUCAAUCACGAUGUUUAGUUAUCACAUUCUUUUUUACUUCUAAAAUGAACAAUUAUUUUAUAGGUACUCAGAAAUUUGAAGGGAGUGUAAGUGCUGGCAGAGUAUUUAUUUCUUUUGCAGUUAGAAAAGUGAAUCAGAUAUAAGCAGAAAGUAGCCAACUCUUGUGUCAUAAGAAAGAAGAGUGGACUCCUAAUUAGCAUCCAACAACAAAAGCUCGUUAUACUACGUGUUGUGCUUUUUUGAACAUGAUAAGUAUAUAUUGUUACAGUCAGUACAAUCUAAUUCAAUUCCAUAACAUGUGACCAUUGACCAACACGCAUCUAUACCAGUGCAUGAUAAUGAAUAAACACAAGAAAACACAACAUGAAUGAAUAAACAUACAGCAUAGAAGGUAGAAACAUUGAACUCUGAAUCUGGAUGACUCAAAGGGAGAAGGUCAAUUGAGAUUCCAAGGACUCAUCUAUUUGAUGGAAACUUGUCCAAGUUUUACCAAUGUCAACUGGUCGGAAUAAACACACAGAAAUAAGUACAAUCUCCGCAAAUAGACAAGUCCUUUAAUAAACAUAUAGAAAAUAAGUCCAAUCCCUGCAAAUAGAUGUGGUAUAUUUUGCUAGUAAACCCAAUUUACUAGUUGACGUUGGUAUAGAAAAUAUAGCAAACUAGGAGUAGUUAUCCCACAUUGAUGGAAACUAUUGACCAACAAAGGCAGCUACUUGGUGUUCUAUGUGCAUUCCUACCUAUUCUUUUGAUUCCAUGUGUGAUUGUGGCAAAACCAAAUUGAGAUAUACAAAUGAAAAUGCUUUUUAUUUGAAAACUUACAGUGUUAAAGAAGCAAAUUGAUCAUACGAUCUACUAAUGAUUUGAGUCUUGAGUGAUCCAGCAAUACAGCUGACAGCGGCGUGGAAAUGAGUUUCAUCCUUUUGGUCAUUCUGUCAAUAUUUAAAAAUAAAAAAUAAAAACCAACAGCUAGUCAGUACAUUUCAAAUAGAAAAAGAAGAAGAAAAACAUGUUAAUCAAAAAACAUAUCCAUUACGAAAAAGCUUAAUUACGGUAUUAAUCCAUGAAAGAAAAAAGAAAACCAAUUACUGAAAAAACUGUAAAGAAAAGGAAAUGGGUAUCCUUUAUCUGUUUUGAUUAUACAUAAAAACUUACACCAGGACAUGUCGUGUUGAACAUUUUCGGAGAAGCAUCGACCAAGUAAACAACAUACUCUUUGGAACUCUCACUUUGCUGCAAAUAUUGGAUAAAAACAACACAAUUACAUCUCUCGUUUCUUAACCAUGGAGAAGAAUAUAGAAGAAAAGAAAGAGAAAGAGAGGAAACCUAUUUUGAUAAUGAAACUGUAAGUACCAUAAGAUUCAAACAUUUUCAGAACUUUAUAACACCUAAAGAAAAAAUAGGUAAAAGAAGACAAACCUAUUUUGUUCUGCUUGGACUUUGGCAUCUUCGACGAUUAAGGUUUGUCUAAAAGAAGAAGAAAAAACGCCAAAAAAGCGACUGCGUUGCUCUGCUUAUGCAACUCCAAAAAGGGGUUUUCAAUGUUACUCCGGUUCUAGAUUUGUUAGGAUUUUGAACUUUAUAUAGGGGCGGUUUUUAUUUUUAAGGAUAGAAUCGGGUCUGGCUUUUAUUUUUAACCAAAGUUAAUGAAUGCAAUUAAAACCACGCGAUUUUAAUAAAAGUAAAAAAAAAUUUGCCGCCUUUAUAGAAAAAACAACGCUAUUAUUUUACUUUUAGCGGUGUUUAUGAGAAUUAGUUAAGUGAUUUUAUAAAAUAUUUAUUAUUAUUAUUUUUUAUAAAUUGAAUUUUUAUAAUAGAAAAACUCAAUACUCUCAAAAUAAAUAUCGUAUAUUUUAAUAAGAAACCAAAUGAUUAAAUGGCUGUAAUUAAUUAUUAAGUUAGAAUUAUUCAAUGUAAGCAAUCAAUCUCUCACAUAUCAAAUUUCUAUUAAAGAUUGAGAUGUUAAUCAUGAUUUUAUAUUAUUCUUUUCCGAUCUAAUCUCUAUUUUAUUAUAGAUAUUUCUUCCUAACUAAAAUAUAACUAUUUUGCUAGAUGUUCGAUCUGAAAUAAUUUUAGUUUUUGUAUUUAAUUUUUAUUUGUUAUCAUUUGGUCCUAUCCAAAAUAGAUAGUUUACCUAUCCAUAUCUAUAUGUUACUUUUUUUUAUUUAUUUAUCAAUGUUUUUUUAAAUCUAAUAUUUAAAUAUAUCAAAUGGUUUAGAUUAAAUAUUUUUAAAUAUAAAAGUAUUAAUUAUAAAAUUUUAUCAUUUAACAAAUAUCAAGUAAACCUUAACUCCUAAACCAUUUAAUAUAUAUAAAGUUUAUCUAUUAAAUUAAUUAUCUCUUAAAUAAUUUAAACUAUAAUCAUAAUUUUAAUAUAUUAAAAUUAAUAUUAUCUCUUUUACAAUUAUAUAAGAAAUUAUUUAAUAUAUAAAUUAAAAAACACUAAUUAAUCUAAACCUUAAACUCCUAACCUCUAUCCUUUAAACCCUAAAUCAUAAAACAUAAACCCUAAACCCUUAAACCUUAAACCUCAACCCUUAAACCAUAAACAAUAAUCCCUAAACCCAUGAUCCAUAAACCUUAAAAUAGUAACUCUUAAACCUUAAACCUUAAACCAUAUACCCUAAACCAUAAACCCUAAACUAUAAUGCUAAUUAAUUCAAUAUUUUAAAAUUAAUACUAUCUCUUUUACGAUUAUAUAAGAAAUUAUUUAAUAUAUAAAUUAAAAACAAUCAGUCAUGUACUCAAAAAACUUUAAAAUUAUUUUAAAUAAUAGUAUUUUAAUUUUUUUCAUUUUUAACAAAUAUUUUUCUAUGUUUUUACUUUCAAAUUUUUUCUACGUGUCAUUAUUUUUUUUGAAGAAUUUAAAUAUUCAAUUAAAAAUAAAUUGUAUUUUAAUUAAUAUAAAUAAACAAGUUAAAAUAGAUAAAAAAAUUUUGCGGCGUUUCUGAUAAAGCGCCGCUAAUGCUCAAUCUAUAGCGGUAUUUUUCAAAAAGCACCACUAAUGCUACUAAAGCUCAACAUAAAACGACGCGCUUAAUUUUUUUGCGGCGUUUCUCAAAAAGCGUCACUAAAGGUUGACGGUGCUUUUCAAAAAAUCACAGUUAAUGCUCGAUCUAUAGCGGCGUUUUCCAAAAGUCACCGCUAAUGCUCGAUCUGUAGCUGCGUUUUUCAAAAAGCGCCGCUAAUGAUCGAUCUGUAGUGGCAUUUUUCAAAAAAAGUCGUUAAUGUUUGAUCUGUAGCGGCGUUUUCUAUCCAAACGCAACUAAAAGUGCCGCUAAAAACCUGUUUUGUUGUAGUGUGUACAUGUAUAAUAGAAGUUAUGAACCAAACAGAGACUAAAUAGAGCAUACAAACAUAGUUUUACCAAUCAAUACAAUCAACAACAUUUUUAAUCACCUUCCAUUGUUAUACCAAUAUGCCACAUAUGACACCCAAUUCAAUCAACAUUCAAUUGAGCAUGUUAUACUAAUCAGCUAUCACUUUGUAACUAACCAAAAUGAUACCAACCAUCUAAUAACCACCUUUUUAGCAUUAUAACAAAGCAAUACCUUCUAUUCAAAUAUUCAUCAUCAUUCACUAUCACCAUUUUGCUUAACCAUUCUUUGACCACCACAUCAUAGGUACAUGUUCAUUUCAAACUUAUGUACAUAUCAUAUAAGCACUAAGAUCAACCAUUUCAUAUGUUCCUUUAAUGUCAAAGGUUCAAGAUUAUUAAGAUUUAACUCAACGACACUUACUAAACAACCCUAUAUACAUUUAAACUCUAAAAACAUGCCAAAAUAUCAUAUAUCACUCUUUCAAACCAUCUAAUACAACCCUUCCACAAUUCGACAUCAAAACAUAUCAAAAUAACUUAAAUAAACACAACCUCACCAGCCAAUUCUUUUAUCCAUAACAUGAUAUCAUAUUAUCUAAUUGCAUACUCAAAAUGCUAUUUCAUGAGUCAUUUGCACAAUUCAAAUCAUCUACUAAAUGCAUAUGGUUUCAACUAUGUAUAUUCUUUGCCAUAAAUCAUGUUAACAUAGAUUUCAAACCAUAUCACUAUACAAAGAAACCAAAACAACUCUUAAGUACAUGUCACACAUAACUGAGCCUUAAUACGAUUAAAAGACUACCAAAUCAAUAACGAAAUAGUGUGAGUUUUUUGUCGAUUAGCCUGACAUGUUCCGCAAAUUGACAAUCUACAGGAAAAAGGGAGUAAGCAUUACAAAUGCUUAGUAAGUUCAUAGCUAUUAAAACAACAACUUACCUCAUUUUAUGAAUUUAUGCAAUAAGUUAUUCAACUUGACGAUUUUGCCUAAAUCCAACAACCCUAUAUCAACAAGGUGAGUUCAUCUCGCAACCCAUUCAUAUAAUAAUAUGAACAUUUAAUAUUUCAAAUAAUUUUAAUACCAAUCGCAUGGAAAUCAACAACCCAGUACCAUUCAUAACAUUCUAAUUAACAUUUCAAUUCACAAAUACAACUAAAAAUCUCAGUGGUACACAUGUAUCAAUAUAUUUAAGCUUUAAUCGAUCAAUCUAAAGAUUAUAUUGUAUCAUUUCAUUUUGUUGUCAACCAUACAUCCAAUUUCAAUAUAAUGGCAAUCAUUAUUUCAUUUUAUUGUUUGAAUUCUCAAUCCAAUUCAUAUUAAUCCAUAUGAAUUUUAUUCCCGUGUCAUAUAAAUUAAUCUUUAUACCAAAUAGAUAUUUAAUGUCAAUUUAAUGUCAAUCACUACUUUGUUUCAUAGUACGAAUUCUAAAUCACACUCAUUGAUUUGUCACGUAUUCAUAUUAACCUUCUGUGCUUGUAUAAUUGAUUCUUAAUAUAUAUAUGUAUCAUCCGAUCAUCAUAUCAACUUAAUUUGAAUAUUAUUUAUUCCAUUUACAAUAUACAUGCCCCUAUUAACCUGACUCAGACACGGAUGGAUACAUGGAUCCACCCAACACACCAAAUUGACACCCAGUGCCUAUUGGAUAAAUCCAAAAAUAAUAAGUUACACCCUAUGCUGGUCAGUAAAAUAAAAAAAAUAGAUGUGCUCAACAUUGGUCAGUAAAAUCAACAAAUGGGGUUCCCAACACUCCCCGACACGUAGUCAUAUAACCCUGAACUCUUCCUAUCCUAUGACAUGCCAACUAUAUCCAGUUAUGCCCGACUAAUUAAUAGGGUAACAAUUUCUCGAUUUCAUUACAUAAUUUCAUCAACCAAACAAUCAAUUCUCAAAUAUAAUAGCACAUCACAUAAUCAUACUGAUUCAAUUUCAUGUUUACAACAUUAUAUCAUUCUUUCACAUAUAUUCACUUGGUCCUUAUCACUAUCAACCUGUCUAAAUCGAAUCAAUUCAACUCAUUUCAUUGCAUCAUUACAUAACAUAUCUCAUUUUAGUUCAAUUUAUGGUCAAUUCCAUAAUUAUUUCAAUUUGUAAUUCAUUGUAUUCAAUUUAAUCCUAUAUCUCACCUUUUUGUACCAAAUCGUAAAGAAUUAAAAUUUCAAUUAAAUAUAAUUAAAAUUAUAAUUCUAAAUGCAUAAAAAAUUUAACACAAACAUACCGUAUAAACUUACCAAGCCAAGACAAAAAAAAACCUCUCUAAGCACUAAUCAACAACUUUUGCCAUUUCCUUGAUUAUCUUCAAUUUGGUCUAAUUUUCGAUAUAUUCAACAGUUCGAUUCAAUUUAUCAAUUCUAAACAUCUUAUAUAAUUCUAUUAUAAUUACACAUCAAUUUAAGUUUAUUAUUUAAAUGCCCCUAAACUUUUACAUUUUAUUCAAUUUAGUCCAUAAAAUCGAACUUAUCAUAUCUUCCGAAUUUGAACUCCAAAUUUUAAACUCACUUCAAUUAUGUCCAUAUACAACCUCAUAUUAUCACAAUUUAUAAAAAUUUCAUACAUAUUUCAAGAUAUUCACAAUUUAAUCCUUAAACUCAAAACUAACAUAAUUUACUUAACAAAUUAAUCCUAUUUCAUUUCUAAGCUUCAAAAUAUACCUUAAACAUUCAAAAAAUUCAAAUAAUCAAUGGGAACUUUUUAAAUAUUUGGAAGUUUUGAAAACGGAGAUACGAGUUAGAUAAACCUAGUUGUAACUAUCUUAAAAACAUAAAAAAUCAUGAAAAAACUGGCUUAGAAAACAUUACGAUGCAAGAGAAACAUGUUGUUGAACCAUGAAGCUUCUCCCAUAGUGGUUUUUGAGUUUCUUAUUUGGUGAAGAAAACAAAUGAAAGUGAAAACUUUCAUUUUUUUUAUGUUUUAACUAUUAUAAUAUUAAUUUAACCUUAAAAUUAAAUAAAAAUUUAAUUAUAAAAUUCAAAUAAAACAUUUAACAACCGACCACCAAAAAAUAAAAGGGUAAUUUGUAACUUAAAACUCUUAUCAUUAAUUAAUUUUGCCUUUUAGCUAAUAAAAACCAAUACCGAUUAAAUUUUACUAUUUUUAUGAUUUAGUCCUUUUUCCUUAUUUAACCAUCCAAUCACUAAAAUUUUUGGACCAAAUUUCAAUUCACCUAUAUAACAGAUCCGUAAAUAUUUAAUAAAAAUAUUCAUGGGUUAGAGUUUCAAAAAUUUGGUCUCGAAACCUUAUUUUCCAAAACCACUUGACUUUUGGUAUGCACCACUUGUACCUUGACUAACUGAUCAAUUAAUAAAAUCUAUUAAAUCACAAUUUCCUAUUAUACUAUAUUUAACUCAUGAAUAUUAAUUAAAUAUAUCUAUGGACUCUCUUGUCAAAAUUGUGUUCUUGAAACCACUACUUCUGACACCAUUGAAAAACGAGAUAUUACACUUCAUUCAUUUAACGUCCCACCAUAACACUAAUACUUCUUUCAAUUAAUAUCAAGAAGGCAUAUGCAUUUCUACAUUAACAUGCAAUCCACUUCGACUUUUAUGGCUCAUCAACACAAGAGCAAUUCAUAUACCAUUUAACCAUAUUCAUUCAAUAACCAUGGACUCACAAAUAAAUAAUAGUUCACUACUAAUUAAUACUUCAACGGCUUAUGCAGAAAACAAUUAUAUACAUAAUUAGUCUUAAAUUUAGACCACAUAUUCACACUCAAAUAGAACAACAUUGACAACAGUUUCACACAACAAUGACAAAGUUAAACAUCUCCAGAUUAUAGAGUAAAUUUUCGAGCAAAACAUAACCCUGUAGCAUAUAGAUGAAAAUAAAAGUUGGAGUUCAAAAAUCACUCGCAAAACACCCAAAUGCUAGAACCCUACACUUGUUUUUUCCUUUCCUUUGUCACUUUGGCCUCAUCCUUGGUUAGUUAAAUAAAAUAACCAUUCGUCAAUAAAAAUGACAACAUUCAUAAGCAAGACAAUCGAAAUCCAUUAACAUGCAAAAUAUUUUUGUAAGCUAUCUAAGAUCUUAUGUUCACAGCCAUGAAGUUUACCAUAACUUACAAGUUUCUUACCUCUUCCUUUCAGUCAAAAGGUGUAGAAGGGUUAGAAAGGUUACCGGCUCACUAGAUUCUUAAUUUCUCAAGCUAACACGUCUAGUUUUCCUUCAUACAAACUACUUCUUACUUCCUUACAAUUCCAAAAAAAGAAAAGGAAAAAUUAAGAAGACAAAUACCAGGACAUGAGAAUCGAAGAAUAGCAUAUUUAGUUCUUCUACUUAUACUCCUCUUACCUCCGUUCACCAAUUCCAACAUUCAAUAUAAAAUUAUUUAAGCUAUAAUCAUGUUGUUCCCCACUUAAUCAUCUAGAUCUAAUGUAAUGGGACCAAAAUUGAAAUUCAAUUUGUCUACCAAUUGGUUCACAAGAUUUAGUAAUCCAGACAAAAGCCCUCAUGAACUAAGUGUUUCUUAAUUAAAUACCUCUACUUACCGUGGAUUUUUCAAAAAAUCAUUUUAAUAAAUUUCUUAUCUACAAUCAAGACCAAACUUUAAUUUAACAGUUUCGGGUGUGAUAACUCUCCACCCUUAAGAAAAAUUUAGUCCCCGAAAUUUUUUUACUUUUCAAAUAAGUGCAAGUAUUUUUCCAUCAUGGAACUUUUUCUUUUCGCAAAUGCAUCACCCCAAUAUCAGUUUAUACAUAAAUAGCUAGCAUUAAACAAAUAAGAGAUACCUGCAAUAGCGCCUAGACUCUCUGUAUCUCCCUUGGCUCGCAUCACGUAUUUGCUUCUAUCAGCUCGUUAUGGAUAGUCCCUCUUAAAGUGACCCUAUUCUCCACAUUUGAAGCAAACACCUAACACCUUCCAGUAUUACCUUUAUGGUUCUUCCCACACUGUUCGCAAGUGGGGCUGGACAUCCUCCCCGACCCUCCAAUGCUAGCUACUGACGUGGUUUGGCAUCUAUCACGAUCCUGCCUAACAAUGUGGUUUGGAAUCCCCUAUUAUCCCAAGUCCUCUUAAUUCCAGGGCCUAGAAAUGGGCUUGUAGCUCCUUGUUUACCUUUUUCUUGAUCUUCAGCUUUGUUCUUUUCUUGUAUCAUCAUCUUCAUCCACUAGGCUUUAGCUAUCAAAGCAACCAAGUCUAAGAUUUCAAGCGCUGCCAAUAACAUACGAAUCGCUUCAAUUAAACCUCACUCAAAUCGGACCCAAAGGUCCUCCUCCAUUGGUGCCAACUCCCAAGCGUACUUGCUUAGUUUAAUAAAUUCAUGCUCGUAUUCAAACACUAUCAUCUGCCCUUGAUUAAGGUUUAAGAACUCUCUUUUCAUCUGUUUAAUGAAGAAUUAGCUAAUAUAUUUUUCUUGAAACUUCUACAAAAAGAAAUCCUAGUUAAUUUUCGCAUGUGGGUAGAGUAUGCCACCACUUGUAACACCUUGUACCUGACCUGAUUGUCAGGUCCAGGCUAUAGGAUGCUACACUUAAAUUUAAAAUUUAACUUAGACCUUGAGCAUUGUUAUCCACAAAUAAUAAAAGAAUGAAGACAAUAAUAUAUUUAAUAUUGCUACUAAGUAAAUUCAAAACUUCCAAGAAUCUAUGUCAACAAUAAAACUUUAACUUAAUAUACAACAAUUUCACCAAUUAAUCUUUAACAUGUUUAAAGUAUUCAGUUUGUGCUAAAAUUUAUAUUCUAACCAUUUAUUUCUUCUACAGCAAAGACCCUGAUACUCUGCCUCUGGGUUGCCCCAUUGUAUGCAAGUUACAACUAAUAAACAUAUCUGCCGAUGUAUGGCGAACUCUGGCCUGGUCCCUUCUCGAACUUCCAAAAUCCCCUAUUCACCUACAAUGCAUAACAACACAAGUUCUAAAGAACUUAAUGAGUUUCCAUACCUUACUAACACAAUGCUAUUACGAUUGCACUUCGUGACUGGGACUUCACAACGAUUUUUGCCUGUAUUAAGACAAUACGACAUCCUCUUUUUUUUACAAUAGAUGAUUCUUUGGUGGUUUUCACUUACCAAUUCCAUUUUUAUUUAUUGCCUUCAUGACCUAUAUGCAUUUAUCUCCUCGAGAGGGAAAUCCUUGUGUAUUCCUACUUACGAACGGUAAAAGAUAAAGUGUAAACAAUACUCAUGACACUCCUUGCAUCAAUGGCUACAAAUCUUCACAUAAGACCAUUCUUGGCGAAUAGUGUCUAUCGCGAGCUAUUAAUAAUAUUUUGUCUUACCGAACUAAGACUCAUAUUAUGAUCGUUUUGGAUCAUUAAGGGAAACACCCUUACGGCAUAAUAUAGAAAGUCUACUCAUUCCUAUCAAAUGGAUAGAUCGGAGAAUACAUCAUCUUACUCUUGUUCCAUAAUCAAGUAGUCCACUCCUGGUGGUUAUCUCUUUGAAAUAGAUAACAUGUAGGCAGAUUCUUAACAGUGAAUCCUCUAUUUGCGGAAUCAUACAUAUGGGACAUUCAUGUGGACUACCGUAUCUUUCAUAUAUAAGUUCUUCAUUUUGGAAGUAUAGGAGAAUACCUUGUAUCGUCCCCAAAAGAAACUAGUGGACUGUCAUAUAUGUAUGAUAUAACUUCUAUACAAUUUGCAUGUACAGUGAGCUUGAGCUUAGGAUUUGCCACUAGCACAUGGAUUCAUUCUUGGCAGACUUGUAAAGUUAAAUUUGAAUCCUCGAAUUCUCCUGCGACUCUUACCAAAGUGAAUUCUAUAACUACUGUAGGUGCAAAUCUGUAAGAAUAAGUCAGUGGACCAUCAUAACUUAUAUCCGCUUCACCUUAUUUGCUAGCAUAUGCAUCAUAGCCUUCUCAUAAUAAUAGAUAACCCAUUUUUUAGACUCAUACCAGUGGACAUAUUGUGGAAUCAUAUUCACAAGAUAGUUUUGGUGAACUUUCCUCACAACAAUAGUCCUAAAGUGCUUUCCCCAUAUUAGAUAGUCCUCAUGGACCUCCAAAAGAUAGUCCUUAUGGACCUCCCACAUUAGAUAGUCUUUAUAGGCUUUCCACAUAUGAUAAUCCUAAUGGACUUUCCACGUUAGGUAGUCCUGAUGAACUUCCCACAUAAGAUAGUCUUGAUGGACUUUCCACAUUAGAUAAUACUGAGGACUUUCUACAUUAGACAGUUCUAACGAACUUCCCACAUAUACGGUAAUGUAAUGGCCAUGGAGUUCCAUUCGUCCCACUAAGGGCUUUCGUACAUCCCUCAUAAGGGGCUCUCAAUCUUCCUAUAAAAGGAUCUCACAUUGGUGCACACCGUUUUUUGUAUAAUUUCAAAUCUCCUUUCUUGGCUUAAUCCAACCGAACCUCCCUCAAAGCCACAUACGUAAAAUGCAUAUGCAACCAUGCAUGACCAUCCGAACCUCUGCAAAACCAUAGAAAUAAAAGGCAUAUCAUACAUACAUUCCGCCUAUAAGAACUAUGAAUCAUAUGACAUAUAUCUCGCCAAAUAUUUCAUUGAUAUGUCAUAAUAAUUCUUACCACCAACCAAUCAUAUCACUUUAAUAUAAAAUAAUACAAUACGCCAAACACUUUAUUUACUCAACAUAACUAGUUCACAACCAUCUGUAUAUUUACAUACUACACUGCUUGCAACCACCAUACACCAUUACUUUGCCAUAACAUUUUCAUAGUUCAACUAUAGAAGAAUUCAUCAUUCACAUAACACUGAAGUAAGCCUAUUCUACUCGUGAAACUGAACAAAACAUUUAUUUACUAGUUGAGUUCUGAAACUCACCUGGAAGUUGAUGCCAAAUCCACCCAUUAAAAUUUUUCCUUUGCUACAUGAGCCUCUAGUAGCUUGAUCAAUACAACUUGAUAAAUCAUCAAUUAUUUGUCCACAAUUGAUCUGUUGUAAUUCAGUGAAGUAGACUAAACUAGUUUUCAUACUUAAGGAGCUUGAAGGCGAGCAAUUUUAUCAUGUUUUAGUUAGUUUUUCUAUCUUAUCUUUAAAUUCAAUAAAAAGUUUAUAUUGAUUCAUUUUAUGACCUUAGGGGCCAAAAGAGGCCGAAAAGUACGCUAACGUACUUAAAUACUGUGCAUGAUAUCAUUCAAAGGCAUAAUAGUUCAAGACUGGUCGCUGUGUUACAACACGGGAAGUGUAAUGUCGUAACAUAGAGAGUAGAAUACAAGAAUUCCAAUACUACCUUUAGUGUCGUAACACAUGCACUGGGUGUCGUGACACCGACUCUAUAUGGGAGAAAUUACAAGUGAAGGGUGUUUUGGUCCGCACAAUAUAUUUUUAUAUAAAAACAUCAGCCAACCUAGGGUUAAGGAUGACAACCAACUCUAACUCUAUAAAUACACUUAUUAGGCACUUGUUUAGGGACAACUUUCAUAGUUUAGAAUUUCUCUGUAAUUAGUUUUUAGUUUUUCUUUUUUUAGGCUUUAGAUUUAUUUUCAUUUAUUCCCGUUCGUGUUCUUUGGAGAAUCUGAUUUGUAGAUUCGAUUAAAAUUUUGUGGAUUAUGCGCUUCAUCAAUCAAUACAAACUCAGGAUUCUUCUUAAACUAUAUUCUUGAUCUGUUAUUAAUUUUUAAUUAUUUUAUCAAGUAUAUGUUGUUUAUGGAUUCCAUGAGGAACUAAUCCUCUUAUGAGGGGUUAGAGAGUGGAAGUGGGAUUAACUAAUUGAUAUUUAAGGUUUUCUUAGACGAUCAACUAUUUAGAGAGGAAGAACUUAAACCCUAAACCUGAAAACCCUAGGAAGUCAUUUAGGUGGGAAUUCACCCAAAAUUGGUAUGACAUAUCCCUAAACACCUUAGCCUCGAAUCGAUCUGGACUAUAAGGUCAAAAGAUAAGUAGUUCUUACAGACUCGUUAGUUUAGUAGAAGAUCGAGAGAUCCUGCUAGGGUGACCAUUAGUUGAUUGAAUAGAAACCCAAAAUAGGAAUUAAUUAUAACCAUCAAAGCGAUCUAAUCACCCAUGUUUAGGUUUGGUUAAGUUUAGAUUUCAGUAUCCGAAGCUAAUUUUAUUUAUGCAGUUUUUAUUUCUUUAUUAUAAAAACCUGAAAUAUUUUAUUUAUGUUUAAAUGUAAUAUAAUUGAUUUAAAGUACUAAUUAGAUCUAUAUUCAUUUAAGUUAAAGUUAAUUUAGUAUUAGCCUCCCUUGGGUUUGACCCUUGGAGUACUCACCUACUUCAUUGUAAAAACUAUAUUCUAACCUGACUCGUAUACUUGCAGACAACAACUCAAUUCCAUUCAUUUAGUUGCAAUAUUUACACUCUUGAUGUUAGUAUGUCCGGAGGCGGUCAAAUAUUUCGUGCCAUUGCCGAGGAGGCAACGCCACUAAAUUGAUUUUAAUUUUUGAGUUUUAUAGGAUAAUUUGGAAAUUUAUAAAUUGUAUAUACAAUUUUUUUAUUGUUACUAACAUAUUUUAUUUUCUUUUUAGUUUCAAUGUAUGACUCGUAGUAGUAGAACAAUUAUAGAGCGAGUCACUGAUCUAGAGAAUAUAAUCUGUAGGAAUCGUCAAUAGCCAUAGCAGAUGCAAAACCAAUCACCUGUUGCAAGCAAUCUACCAUGCGAUAACUCGUUGUUUGAUGAGGUAAACGAACUUAACAUCCAAGACUUACCACCACUACCGCAAUUACCAGCAAACCCUUCGAUGGCAUGAGAAGAGCGAAACCUAAGGGAUUACGCACUACCAAAUCUGGUGAUGGUUCAAGGUAGCAUUACAAGGCCAACCAUUAUGGAAAAUAAUUUUGAAAUAAAAUCGACCAUGAUAUAGAUGAUCCAAAAUAAUCUGUAAUUCAGAGGCACCAUGACGGAUGACCCAAAUCAACAUCUAAAACGGCUCCUUCAAUUUUGUGAUACAUUUAAAUAUAACGGGGUCAUUGAUGAAGCUAUUGAUCUUCGGUUGUUUCCCUUAUCCUUGAUCGAUAUUCGUUUAAGUUAAAGUUAAAGUUAAUUUAGUAUCAGCCUUCCUUGGGUUUGAUCCUUGGAGUACUCACCUACUUCAUUGUAAAAACUAUAUUACAACCUGACUCGUAUACUUGCAGACACCACCUCAAUUCCAUUGAUUUAGUUGCAAUAUUUACACUCUGGAUGUUAGUAUGUCCGGAGGCGGUCAAGUGUUUGGUGCCAUUGCCGAGGAGGCAACGCUACUAAAUUGAUUUUAAUUUUUGAGUUUUAUAGGAUAAUUUUGAAAUUUAUAAAUUGUAGAUACAAUUUUUUUAUUGUUAAUAACAUCUUUUAUUUUCUUUUUAGUUUCAGUGUAUGGCUCGUAGUAGUGGAACAGUUAUAGAGCGAGUCACUGAUCUAAAGAGAAUAAUCUGUAGGAAUCGUCAAUAGCCAUAGCAGAUGCAAAACCAAUCACCUGUACUAAUUAGAUCUAUAUUCGUUGAAGUUCAAGUUAAUUUAGUAUUAGCCUCCAUUGGGUUUGAUCCUUGGAGUACUCACCUACUUCGUUGUAAAAACUAUAUUACAACCAGACUCGUAUACUUGCAGACACCACCUCAAUUCCAUUCAUUUAGUUGCAAUAUUUACACUCUAAAUGUUAGUAUGUCCGGAGGAGGUCAAGUGUUUGGUGCCAUUGCCGAGGAGGCAAUGCUACUAAAUUGAUUUUAAUUUUUGAGUUUUAUAGGAUAAUUUGGAAAUUUAUAAAUUGUAGAUACAAUUUUUUUUAUUGUUACUAACAUCUUUUAUUUUCUUUUUAGUUUCAGUGUAUGUCUUGCAGUAGUGGAACAGUUAUAGAGCGAGUCACUGAUCUAGGGAGAAUAAUCUGUAGGAAUCGUCAAUAGCCAUAGCAGAUGCAAAACCAAUCACUUGUACUAAUUAGAUCUAUAUUCGUUUAAGUUAAAGUUAAUUUAGAAUUAGCCUCCCUUGGGUUUGAUCCUUCGAGUACUCACCUACUUCGUUGUAAAAACUAUAUUACAACCUGACUCAUCAACUUGCAGACACCACCUCAAUUCCAUUCAUUUAGUUGCAAUAUUUACGCUCUGGAUGUUAGUAUGUUCGGAGGCGGUCAAGUGUUUGGAGCCAUUGCCGAGGAGGCAACGCUACUAAAUUGAUUUUAAUUUUUGAGUUUUAUAGGAUAAUUUGGAAAUUUAUAAAUUGUAGAUACAAUUUUUUUAUUGUUACUAACAUCUUUUAUUUUCUUUUUAGUUUCAGUGUAGGACUCGUAGUAGUGGAACAAUUAUAGAGCGAGUCACUGAUCUAGAGAGAAUAAUCUGUAGGAAUCGUCGAUAGCCAUAGCAGAUGCAAAACCAAUCACCUGUUGCAAGCAAUCUACCAUGCGAUAACGCGUUGUUUGAUGAGGAAAACGAACUUAACAUCCAAGACUUACCACCACCACCGCAAUUACCAGCAAACCCUUCGAUGGCAUGAGAAGAGCGAAACCUAAGGGAUUACGCACUACCAAAUCUGGUGAUGGUUCAAGGUAGCAUUACAAGGCCAACCAUUAUGGAAAAUAAUUUUGAAAUAAAAUUGACCAUGAUCUAGAUGAUCCAAAAUAAUCAUCAAUUCAGAGGAACCAUGACGGAUGACACAAAUCAACAUCUAAAACAGGACCUUCAAUUUUGUGAUACAUUCUAAUAUAACGGGGUUAUUGAUGAAGCUAUUCAUCUUCGGUUGUUUCCCUUAUCCUUAAUCCAUAUUCGUUUAAGUUAAAGUUAAAGUUAACUUAGUAUUAGCCUUCCUUGGGUUUGAUCCUUGGAGUACUCACCUACUUCGUUGUAAAAACUAUAUUACAACCUGACUCGUAUACUUGCAGACACCACCUCAAUUCCAUUGAUUUAGUUGCCAUAUUUACACUCUAGAUGUUAGUAUGUCUGGAGGCGGUCAAGUGUUUGGUGCCAUUGCCGAGGAGGCACCGCUACUAAAUUGAUUUUAAUUUUUGAGUUUUAUAGGAUAAUUUGGAAAUUUAAAAAUUGUAGGUACAAUUUUUUUAUUGUUACUAACAUAUUUUAUUUUCCUUUUAGUUUCAGUGUAUGUCUUGCAGUAGUGGAACAGUUAUAGAGUGAGUCACUGAUCUAGAGAGAAUAAUCUGUAGGAAUCGUCAAUAGCCAUAGCAGAUGCAAAACCAAUCACUUGUACUAAUUAGAUCUAUAUUCGUUUAAGUUAAAGUUAAUUUAGUAUUAGCCUCCCUUGGGUUUGAUCCUUGGAGUACUCACCUACUUUGUUGUAAAAAGUAUAUUACAACCUGACUCGUCUACUUGCAGACACCACCUCAAUUCCAUUCAUUUAGUUUCAAUAUUUACACUCUGGAUGGUAGUAUGUCCGGAGGCGGUCAAGUGAUUGGAGCCAUUGCCGAGGAGGCAACGCUACUAAAUUGAUUUUAACUUUUGAGUUUUAUAGGAUAAUUUGGAAAUUUAUAAAUUGUAGAUACAAUUUUUUUUAUUGUUACUAACAUAUUUUAUUUUCUUUUUAGUUUCAGUGUAUGUCUUGCAGUAGUGGAACAGUUAUAGAGCGUGUCACUGAUCUAGGGAGAAUAAUCUGUAGGAAUCGUCAAUAGCCAUAGCAGAUGCAAAACCAAUCACCUGUUGCAAGCAAUCUACCAUGCGAUAACUCGUUGUUUGAUGAGGAAAACGAACUUAACAUCCAAGACUUACCACCACCACCGCAAUUACCAGCAAACCCUUCGAUGGCAUGAGAAGAGCGAAACCUAAGGGAUUACGCACUACCAAAUCUGGUGAUGGUUCAAGGUAGCAUUACAAGGCCAACCAUUAUGGAAAAUAAUUUUGAAAUAAAAUCGACCAUGAUCUAGAUGAUCCAAAAUAAUUAUCAAUUCAGAGGAACCAUGACGGAUGACACAAAUCAACAUCUAAAACGGGACCUUCAAUUUUGUGAUACAUUCUAAUAUAACGGGGUUAUUGAUGAAGCUAUUCAUCUUCGGUUGUUUCCCUUAUCCUUGAUCGAUAUUCGUUUAAGUUAAAGUUAAAGUUAACUUAGUAUUAGCCUUCCUUGGGUUUGAUCCUUGGAGUACUCACCUACUUCGUUGUAAAAACUAUAUUACAACCUGACUCGUAUUCUUGCAGACACCACCUCAAUUCCAUUGAUUUAGUUGCAAUAUUUACACUCUGGAUGUUAGUAUGUCCGGAGGCGGUCAAGUGUUUGGUGCCAUAGCCGAGGAGGCAACGCUAGUAAAUUGAUUUUAAUUUUUGAGUUUUAUAGGAUAAUUUGGAAAUUUAUAAAUUGUAGAUACAAUUUUUUUUAUUGUUACUAACAUCUUUUAUUUUCCUUUUAGUUUCAGUGUAUGUCUUGCAGUAGUGGAACAGUUAUAGAGCGAGUCACUGAUCUAGAGAGAAUAAUCUGUAGGAAUUGUCAAUAGCCAUAGCAGAUGCAAAACCAAUCACUUGUACUAAUUAGAUCUAUAUUCGUUUAAGUUAAAGUUAAUUUAGUAUUAGCCUCCCUUGGGUUUGAUCCUUGGAGUACUCACCUACUUUGUUGUAAAAACUAUAUUACAACCUGACUCGUCCACUUGCAGACACCACCUCAAUUCCAUUCAUUUAGUUUCAAUAUUUACACUCUGGAUGUUAGUAUGUCCGGAGGCGGUCAAGUGAUUGGAGCCAUUGCCGAGGAGGCAACGCUACUAAAUUGAUUUUAACUUUUGAGUUUUAUAGGAUAAUUUGGAAAUUUAUAAAUUGUAGAUACAAUUUUUUUAUUGUUACUAACAUCUUUAUUUUCUUUUUAGUUUCAGUGUAGGACUCGUAGUAGUGGAACAAUUAUAGAGCGAGUCACGGAUCUAGAGAGAAUAAUCUGUAGGAAUCGUCACUAGCCAUAGCAGAUGCAAAACCAAUCACCUGUUGCAAGCAAUCUACCAUGCGAUAACUCGUUGUUUGAUGAGGAAAACGAACUUAACAUCCAAGACUUACCACCACCACCGCAAUUACCAGCAAACCCUUCGAUGGCAUGAGAAGAGCGAAACCUAAGGGAUUACGCACUACCAAAUCUGGUGAUGGUUCAACGUAGCAUUACAAGGCCAACCAUAAUGGAAAAUAAUUUUGAAAUAAAAUCGACCAUGAUCUAGAUGAUCCAAAAUAAUCAUCAAUUCAGAGGAACCAUGACGGAUGACACAAAUCAACAUCUAAAAUGGGACCUUCAAUUUUGUGAUACAUUCUAAUAUAACGGGGUUAUUGAUGAAGCUAUUCAUCUUCGGUUGUUUCCCUUAUCCUUGAUCGAUAUUCGUUAAAGUUAAAGUUAAAGUUAACUUAGUAUUAGCCUUCCUUGGGUUUGAUCCUUGGAGUACUCACCUACUUCGUUGUAAAAACUAUAUUACAACCUGACUCGUAUACUUGCAGACACCACCUCAAUUCUAUUGAUUUAGGUGCCAUAUUUACACUCUAGAUGUUAGUAUGUCUGGAGGCGGUCAAGUGUUUGGUGCCAUUUUCGAGUAGGCAACGCUACUAAAUUGAUUUUAAUUUUUGAGUUUUAUAGGAUAAUUUUGAAAUUUAAAAAUUGUAGGUACAAUUUUUUUUAUUGUUACUAACAUCUUUUAUUUUCCUUUUAGUUUCAGUGUAUGUCUUGCAGAAGUGGAACUGUUAUAGAGCGAGUCACUGAUCGAGAGAGAAUAAUCUGUAGGAAUCGUCAAUAGCCAUAGCAGAUGCAAAACCAAUCACUUGUACUAAUUAGAUCUAUAUUCGUUUAAGUUAAAGUUAAUUUAGUAUUAGCCUCCCUUGGGUUUGAUCCUUGGAGUACUCAACUACUUUGUUGUAAAAACUAUUUUACAACCUGACUCGUCUACUUGCAGACACCACCUCAAUUCCAUUCAUUUAGUUUCAAUAUUUACACUCUGGAUGUUAGUAUGUCCGGAGGCGGUCAAGUGAUUGGAGCCAUUGCCGAGGAGGCAACGCUACUAAAUUGAUUUUAACUUUUGAGUUUUGUAGGAUAAUUUGGAAAUUUAUAAAUUGUAGAUACAAUUUUUUUAUUGUUACUAACGUCUUUAUUUUCUUUUUAGUUUCAGUGUAGGACUCGUAGUAGUGGAACAAUUAUAGAGCGAGUCACUGAUCUAGAGAGAAUAAUCUCUAGGAAUCGUCAAUAGCCAUAGCAGAUGCAAAACCAAUCAUCUGUUGCAAGCAAUCUACCAUGCAAUAAAUCGUUGUUUGAUGAGGUAAACGAACUUAACAUCCAAGACAUACCACCACCACCGCAAUUACCAGCAAACCCUUCGAUGGCAUUAGAAGAGCGAAACCUAAGGGAUUACGCACUACCAAAUCUGGUGAUGGUUCAAGGUAGCAUUACAAGGCCAACCAUUAUGGAAAAUUAUUUUGAAAUAAAAUAGACCAUGAUCUAAAUGAUCCAAAAUAAUCUGCAAUUCAGAGACACCAUGACGGAUGUCCCAAAUCAACAUCUAAAACGGGUCCUUCAAUUUUGGGAUACAUUUAAAUAUAACGGGGUCAUUGAUGAAGCUAUUAAUCUUCGAUUGUUUCCCUUAUCCUUGAUCGAUAUUCAUUUAAGUUAAAGUUAAAGUUAAUUUAGUAUUAGCCUUCCUUGGGUUUGAUCCUUGGAGUACUCACCUACUUUGUUGUAAAAACUAUAUUACAACCUGACUCGUAUACUUGCAGACACCACCUCAAUUCCAUUCAUUUAGUUUCAAUAUUUACACUCUGGAUGUUAGUAUGUCCGGAGGCGGUCAAGUGAUUGGAGCCAUUGCCGAGGAGGCAACGCUACUAAAUUGAUUUUAACUUUUGAGUUUUGUAGGAUAAUUUGGAAAUUUAUAAAUUGUAGAUACAAUUUUUUUGUUGUUACUAACAUCUUUAUUUUCUUUUUAGUUUCAGUGUAGGACUCGUAGUAGUGGAACAAUUAUAGAGUGAGUCACUGAUCUAGAGAGAAUAAUCUGUAGGAAUCGUCAAUAGCCAUAGCAGAUGCAAAACUAUUCACCUGUUGCAAGCAAUCUACCAUGCGAUAACUCGUUGUUUGAUGGGGAAAACGAACUUAACAUCCAAGACUUACCACCACCACCGCAAUUACCAGCAAACCCUUCGAUGGCAUGAGAAGAGCGAAACCUAAGGGAUUACGCACUACCAAAUCUGGUGAUGGUUCAAGGUAGCAUUACAAGGCCAACCAUUAUGGAAAAUAAUUUUGAAAUAAAAUCGACCAUGAUCUAGAUGAUCCAAAAUAAUCAUCAAUUCAGAGGAACCAUGACGGAUGACACAAAUCAACAUCUAAAACGGGACCUUCAAUUUUGUGAUACAUUCUAAUAUAACGGGGUUAUUGAUGAAGCUAUUCAUCUUCGGUUGUUUCCCUUAUCCUUGAUCGAUAUUCGUUUAAGUUAAAGUUAAAGUUAACUUAAUAUUAGCCUUCCUUGGGUUUGAUCCUUGGAGUACUCACCUACUUCGUUGUAAAAACUAUAUUACAACCUGACUCGUAUACUUGCAGACACCACCUCAAUUCCAUUCAUUUAGUUGCAAUAUUUACACUCUGGAUGUUAGUAUGUCCGGAGGCGGUCAAGUGUUUGGUGCCAUUGCCGAGGAGGCAACGCUACUAAAUUGAUUUUAAUUUUUGAGUUUUAUAGGAUAAUUUGGUAAUUUAUAAAUUGUAGAUACAAUUUUUUUAUUGUUACUAACAUCUUUUAUUUUCCUUUUAGUUUCAGUGUAUGUCUUGUAGUAGUGGAACUGUUAUAGAGCGAGUCGCUGAUCUAGAGAGAAUAAUCUGUAGGAAUCGUCAAUAGCCAUAGCAGAUGCAAAACCAAUCACUUGUACUAAUUAGAUCUAUAUUCGUUUAAGUUAAAGUUAAUUUAGUAUUAGCCUCCCUUGGGUUUGAUCCUUGGAGUACUCACCUACUUUGUUGUAAAAAGUAUAUUACAACCUGACUCGUCUACUUGCAGACACCACCUCAAUUCCAUUCAUUUAGUUUCAAUAUUUACACUCUGGAUGUUAGUAUGUCCGGAGGCGGUCAAGUGAUUGGAGCCAUUGCCGAGGAGGCAACGCUACUAAAUUGAUUUUAACUUUUGAGUUUUAUAGGAUAAUUUGGAAAUUUAUAAAUUGUAGAUAGAAUUUUUUUAUUGUCACUAACAUCUUUUAUUUUCUUUUUAGUUUAAGUGUAGGACUCGUAGUAGUGGAACAAUUAUAGAGCGAGUCACUGAUCUAGAGAGAAUAAUCUGUAGGAAUCGUCAAUAGCCAUAGCAGAUGCAAAACCAAUCACCUGUUGCAAGCAAUCUACCAUGCGAUAACUCGUUGUUUGAUGAGGAAAACGAACUUAACAUCCAAGACUUACCACCACCACCGCAAUUACCAGCAAACCCUUCGAUGGCAUGAGAAGAGCGAAACCUAAGGGAUUACGCACUACCAAAUCUGGUGAUGGUUCAAGGUAGCAUUACAAGGCCAACCAUUAUGGAAAAUAAUUUUGAAAUAAAAUCGACCAUGAUCUAGAUGAUCCAAAAUAAUCAUCAAUUCAGAGGAACCAUGACGGAUGACACAAAUCAACAUCUAAAACGGGACCUUCAAUUUUGUGAUACAUUCUAAUAUAACGGGGUUAUUGAUGAAGCUAUUCAUCUUCGGUUGUUUCCCUUAUCCUUGAUCGAUAUUCGUUUAAGUUAAAGUUAAAGUUAACUUAGUAUUAGCCUUCCUUGGGUUUGAUCCUUGGAGUACUCACCUACUUCGUUGUAAAAACUAUAUUACAACCUGACUCGUAUACUUGCAGACACCACCUCAAUUCCAUUGAUUUAGUUGCAAUAUUUACACUCUGGAUGUUAGUAUGUCCGGAGGCGGUCAAGUGUUUGGUGCCAUAGCCGAGGAGGCAACGCUAGUAAAUUGAUUUUAAUUUUUGAGUUUUAUAGGAUAAUUUGGAAAUUUAUAGAUUGUAGAUACAAUUUUUUUUAUUGUUACUAACAUCUUUUAUUUUCCUUUUAGUUUCAGUGUAUGUCUUGCAGUAGUGGAACAGUUAUAGAGCGAGUCACUGAUCUGGAGAGAAUAAUCUGUAGGAAUCGUCAAUAGCCAUAGCAGAUGCAAAACCAAUCACUUGUACUAAUUAGAUCUAUAUUCGUUUAAGUUAAAGUUAAUUUAGUAUUAGCCUCCCUUGGGUUUGAUCCUUGGAGUACUCACCUACUUUGUUGUAAAAACUAUAUUACAACCUGACUCGUCUACUUGCAGACACCACCUCAAUUCCAUUCAUUUAGUUUCAAUAUUUACACUCUGGAUGUUAGUAUGUCCGGAGGCGGUCAAGUGAUUGGAGCCAUUGCCGAGGAGGCAACGCUACUAAAUUGAUUUUAACUUUUGAGUUUUAUAGGAUAAUUUGGAAAUUUAUAAAUUGUAGAUACAAUUUUUUUAUUGUUACUAACAUCUUUAUUUUCUUUUUAGUUUCAGUGUAGGACUCGUAGUAGUGGAACAAUUAUAGAGCGAGUCACGGAUCUAGAGAGAAUAAUCUGUAGGAAUCGUCACUAGCCAUAGCAGAUGCAAAACCAAUCACCUGUUGCAAGCAAUCUACCAUGCGAUAACUCGUUGUUUGAUGAGGAAAACGAACUUAACAUCCAAGACUUACCACCACCACCGCAAUUACCAGCAAACCCUUCGAUGGCAUGAGAAGAGCGAAACCUAAGGGAUUACGCACUACCAAAUCUGGUGAUGGUUCAAGGUAGCAUUACAAGGCCAACCAUAAUGGAAAAUAAUUUUGAAAUAAAAUCGACCAUGAUCUAGAUGAUCCAAAAUAAUCAUCAAUUCAGAGGAACCAUGACGGAUGACACAAAUCAACAUCUAAAAUGGGACCUUCAAUUUUGUGAUACAUUCUAAUAUAACGGGGUUAUUGAUGAAGCUAUUCAUCUUCGGUUGUUUCCCUUAUCCUUGAUCGAUAUUCGUUAAAGUUAAAGUUAAAGUUAACUUAGUAUUAGCCUUCCUUGGGUUUGAUCCUUGGAGUACUCACCUACUUCGUUGUAAAAACUAUAUUACAACCUGACUCGUAUACUUGCAGACACCACCUCAAUUCUAUUGAUUUAGGUGCCAUAUUUACACUCUAGAUGUUAGUAUGUCUGGAGGCGGUCAAGUGUUUGGUGCCAUUUUCGAGUAGGCAACGCUACUAAAUUGAUUUUAAUUUUUGAGUUUUAUAGGAUAAUUUGGAAAUUUAAAAAUUGUAGGUACAAUUUUUUUUAUUGUUACUAACAUAUUUUAUUUUCCUUUUAGUUUCAGUGUAUGUCUUGCAGUAGUGGAACAGUUAUAGAGCGAGUCACUGAUCUAGAGAGAAUAAUCUGUAGGAAUCGUCAAUAGCCAUAGCAGAUGCAAAACCAAUCACUUGUACUAAUUAGAUCUAUAUUCGUUUAAGUUAAAGUUAAUUUAGUAUUAGCCUCCCUUGGGUUUGAUCCUUGGAGUACUCACCUACUUUGUUGUAAAAACUAUAUUACAACCUGACUCGUCUACUUGCAGACACCACCUCAAUUCCAUUCAUUUACUUUCAAUAUUUACACUCUGGAUGUUAGUAUGUCCGGAGGCGGUCAAGUGAUUGGAGCCAUUGCCGAGGAGGCAACGCUACUAAAUUGAUUUUAACUUUUGAGUUUUGUAGGAUAAUUUGGAAAUUUAUAAAUUGUAGAUACAAUUUUUUUAUUGUUACUAACAUCUUUAUUUUCUUUUUAGUUUCAGUGUAGGACUCGUAGUAGUGGAACAAUUAUAGAGCGAGUCACUGAUCUAGAGAGAAUAAUCUGUAGGAAUCGUCAAUAGCCAUAGCAGAUGCAAAACCAAUCAUCUGUUGCAAGCAAUCUACCAUGCGAUAAAUCGUUGUUUGAUGAGGUAAACGAACUUAACAUCCAAGACAUACCACCACCACCGCAAUUACCAGCAAACCCUUCGAUGGCAUUAGAAGAGCGAAACCUAAGGGAUUACGCACUACCAAAUCUGGUGAUGGUUCAAGGUAGCAUUACAAGGCCAACCAUUAUGGAAAAUUAUUUUGAAAUAAAAUAGACCAUGAUCUAAAUGAUCCAAAAUAAUCUGCAAUUCAGAGACACCAUGACGGAUGUCCCAAAUCAACAUCUAAAACGGGUCCUUCAAUUUUGGGAUACAUUUAAAUAUAACGGGGUCAUUGAUGAAGCUAUUAAUCUUCGGUUGUUUCCCUUAUCCUUGAUCGAUAUUCAUUUAAGUUAAAGUUAAAGUUAAUUUAGUAUUAGCCUUCCUUGGGUUUGAUCCUUGGAGUACUCACCUACUUUGUUGUAAAAACUAUAUUACAACCUGACUCGUAUACUUGCAGACACCACCUCAAUUCCAUUCAUUUAGUUUCAAUAUUUACACUCUGGAUGUUAGUAUGUCCGGAGGCGGUCAAGUGAUUGGAGCCAUUGCCGAGGAGGCAACGCUACUAAAUUGAUUUUAACUUUUGAGUUUUGUAGGAUAAUUUGGAAAUUUAUAAAUUGUAGAUACAAUUUUUUUGUUGUUACUAACAUCUUUAUUUUCUUUUUAGUUUCAGUGUAGGACUCGUAGUACUGGAACAAUUAUAGAGUGAGUCACGGAUCUAGAGAGAAUAAUCUGUAGGAAUCGUCAAUAGCCAUAGCAGAUGCAAAACUAUUCACCUGUUGCAAGCAAUCUACCAUGCGAUAACUCGUUGUUUGAUGGGGAAAACGAACUUAACAUCCAAGACUUACCACCACCACCGCAAUUACCAGCAAACCCUUCGAUGGCAUGAGAAGAGCGAAACCUAAGGGAUUACGCACUACCAAAUCUGGUGAUGGUUCAAGGUAGCAUUACAAGGCCAACCAUUAUGGAAAAUAAUUUUGAAAUAAAAUCGACCAUGAUCUAGAUGAUCCAAAAUAAUCAUCAAUUCAGAGGAACCAUGACGGAUGACACAAAUCAACAUCUAAAACGGGACCUUCAAUUUUGUGAUACAUUCUAAUAUAACGGGGUUAUUGAUGAAGCUAUUCAUCUUCGGUUGUUUCCCUUAUCCUUGAUCGAUAUUCGUUUAAGUUAAAGUUAAAGUUAACUUAAUAUUAGCCUUCCUUGGGUUUGAUCCUUGGAGUACUCACCUACUUCGUUGUAAAAACUAUAUUACAACCUGACUCGUAUACUUGCAGACACCACCUCAAUUCCAUUCAUUUAGUUGCAAUAUUUACACUCUGGAUGUUAGUAUGUCCGGAGGCGGUCAAGUGUUUGGUGCCAUUGCCGAGGAGGCAACGCUACUAAAUUGAUUUUAAUUUUUGAGUUUUAUAGGAUAAUUUGGUAAUUUAUAAAUUGUAGAUACAAUUUUUUUAUUGUUACUAACAUCUUUUAUUUUCCUUUUAGUUUCAGUGUAUGUCUUGUAGUAGUGGAACUGUUAUAGAGCGAGUCGCUGAUCUAGAAAGAAUAAUCUGUAGGAAUCGUCAAUAGCCAUAGCAGAUGCAAAACCAAUCACUUGUACUAAUUAGAUCUAUAUUCGUUUAAGUUAAAGUUAAUUUAGUAUUAGCCUCCCUUGGGUUUGAUCCUUGGAGUACUCACCUACUUUGUUGUAAAAAGUAUAUUACAACCUGACUCGUCUACUUGCAGACACCACCUCAAUUCCAUUCAUUUAGUUUCAAUAUUUACACUCUGGAUGUUAGUAUGUCCGGAGGCGGUCAAGUGAUUGGAGCCAUUGCCGAGGAGGCAACGCUACUAAAUUGAUUUUAACUUUUGAGUUUUAUAGGAUAAUUUGGAAAUUUAUAAAUUGUAGAUAGAAUUUUUUUAUUGUCACUAACAUCUUUUAUUUUCUUUUUAGUUUAAGUGUAGGACUCGUAGUAGUGGAACAAUUAUAGAGCGAGUCACUGAUCUAGAGAGAAUAAUCUGUAGGAAUCGUCAAUAGCCAUAGCAGAUGCAAAACCAAUCACCUGUUGCAAGCAAUCUACCAUGCGAUAACUCGUUGUUUGAUGAGGAAAACGAACUUAACAUCCAAGACUUACCACCACCACCGCAAUUACCAGCAAACCCUUCGAUGGCAUGAGAAGAGCGAAACCUAAGGGAUUACACACUACCAAAUCUGGUGAUGGUUCAAGGUAGCAUUACAAGGCCAACCAUUAUGGAAAAUAAUUUUGAAAUAAAAUCGACCAUGAUCUAGAUGAUCCAAAAUAAUCAUCAAUUCAGAGGAACCAUGACGGAUGACACAAAUCAACAUCUAAAACGGGACCUUCAAUUUUGUGAUACAUUCUAAUAUAACGGGGUUAUUGAUGAAGCUAUUCAUCUUCGGUUGUUUCCCUUAUCCUUGAUCGAUAUUCGUUUAAGUUAAAGUUAAAGUUAACUUAGUAUUAGCCUUCCUUGGGUUUGAUCCUUGGAGUACUCACCUACUUCGUUGUAAAAACUAUAUUACAACCUGACUCGUAUACUUGCAGACACCACCUCAAUUCCAUUGAUUUAGUUGCAAUAUUUACACUCUGGAUGUUAGUAUGUCCGGAGGCGGUCAAGUGUUUGGUGCCAUAGCCGAGGAGGCAACGCUAGUAAAUUGAUUUUAAUUUUUGAGUUUUAUAGGAUAAUUUGGAAAUUUAUAAAUUGUAGAUACAAUUUUUUUAUUGUUACUAACAUCUUUUAUUUUCCUUUUAGUUUCAGUGUAUGUCUUGCAGUAGUGGAACAGUUAUAGAGCGAGUCACUGAUCUAGAGAGAAUAAUCUGUAGGAAUCGUCAAUAGCCAUAGCAGAUGCAAAACCAAUCACUUGUACUAAUUAGAUCUAUAUUCGUUUAAGUUAAAGUUAAUUUAGUAUUAGCCUCCCUUGGGUUUGAUCCUUGGAGUACUCACCUACUUUGUUGUAAAAACUAUAUUACAACCUGACUCGUCUACUUGCAGACACCACCUCAAUUCCAUUCAUUUAGUUUCAAUAUUUACACUCUGGAUGUUAGUAUGUCCGGAGGCGGUCAAGUGAUUGGAGCCAUUGCCGAGGAGGCAACGCUACUAAAUUGAUUUUAACUUUUGAGUUUUAUAGGAUAAUUUGGAAAUUUAUAAAUUGUAGAUACAAUUUUUUUAUUGUUACUAACAUCUUUAUUUUCUUUUUAGUUUCAGUGUAGGACUCGUAGUAGUGGAACAAUUAUAGAGCGAGUCACGGAUCUAGAGAGAAUAAUCUGUAGGAAUCGUCACUAGCCAUAGCAGAUGCAAAACCAAUCACCUGUUGCAAGCAAUCUACCAUGCGAUAACUCGUUGUUUGAUGAGGAAAACGAACUUAACUUCCAAGACUUACCACCACCACCGCAAUUACCAGCAAACCCUUCGAUGGCAUGAGAAGAGCGAAACCUAAGGGAUUACGCACUACCAAAUCUGGUGAUGGUUCAAGGUAGCAUUACAAGGCCAACCAUAAUGGAAAAUAAUUUUGAAAUAAAAUCGACCAUGAUCUAGAUGAUCCAAAAUAAUCAUCAAUUCAGAGGAACCAUGACGGAUGACACAAAUCAACAUCUAAAAUGGGACCUUCAAUUUUGUGAUACAUUCUAAUAUAACGGGGUUAUUGAUGAAGCUAUUCAUCUUCGGUUGUUUCCCUUAUCCUUGAUCGAUAUUCGUUUAAGUUAAAGUUAAAGUUAACUUAGUAUUAGCCUUCCUUAGGUUUGAUCCUUGGAGUACUCACCUACUUCGUUGUAAAAACUAUAUUACAACCUGACUCGUAUACUUGCAGACACCACCUCAAUUCCAUUCAUUAAGUUGCAAUAUUUACACUCUGGAUGUUAGUAUGUCCGGAGGCGGUCAAAUGUUUGGUGCCAUUGCCAAGGAGGCAACACUACUAAAUUGAUUUUAAUUUUUGAGUUUUAUAGGAUAAUUUGGAAAUUUAUAAAUUGUAGAUACAAUUUUUUUAUUGUUACUAACAUCUUUAUUUUCUUUUUAGUUUCAGUGUAGGACUCGUAGUAGUGGAACAAUUAUAGAGCGAGUCACGGAUCUAGAGAGAAUAAUUUGUAGGAAUCGUCACUAGCCAUAGCAGAUGCAAAACCAAUCAUCUGUUGCAAGCAAUCUACCAUGCGAUAAAUCGUUGUUUGAUGAGGUAAACGAACUUAACAUCCAAGACAUACCACCACCACCGCAAUUACCAGCAAACCCUUCGAUGGCAUUAGAAGAGCGAAACCUAAGGGAUUACGCACUACCAAAUCUGGUGAUGGUUCAAGGUAGCAUUACAAGGCCAACCAUUAUGGAAAAUUAUUUUGAAAUAAAAUAGACCAUGAUCUAAAUGAUCCAAAAUAAUCUGCAAUUCAGAGGACACCAUGACGGAUGUACCCAAAUCAACAUCUAAAACGAGUCCUUCAAUUUUGGGAUACAUUUAAAUAUAACGGGGUCAUUGAUGAAGCUAUUCAUCUUCGGUUGUUUCCCUUAUCCUUGAUCGAUAUUCAUUUAAGUUAAAGUUAAAGUUAAUUUAGUAUUAGCCUUCCUUGGGUUUGAUCCUUGGAGUACUCACCUACUUUGUUGUAAAAACUAUAUUACAACCUGACUCGUAUACUUGCAGACACCACCUCAAUUCCAUUACAUUUAGUUUCAAUAUUUACACUCUGGAUGUUAGUAUGUCCGGAGGCGGUCAAGUGAUUUGGUAGCCAUUGCCGAAGGAGGCAACGCUACUAAAUUGAUUUUAACUUUUGAGUUUUAUAGGAUAAUUUAGAAAUUUAUAAAUUGUAGAUACAAUUUUUUUAGUUGUUACUAACAUCUUUUAUUUUCUUUUUAGUUUCAGUGUAUGGACUCGUAGUAGUGGAACAGUUAUAGAGCGAGUCACUGAUCUAGAGAGAAUAAUCUGUAGGAAUCGUCAAUAGCCAUAGCAGAUGCAAAACAAUCACCUGUUGCAAGCAAUCUACCAUGCAAUAACUCGUUGUUUGAUGAGGUAAACGAACUUAACAUCCAAGACUUACCACCACCACCGCAAUUACCAGCAAACCCUUCGAUGGCAUGAGAAGAGCGAAACCUAAGGGAUUACGCACUACCAAAUAUGGUGAUGGUUCAAGGUAGCAUUACAAGGCCAACCAUUAUGGAAAAUAAUUUUGAAAUAAAAUCGACCAUGAUCUAGAUGAUCCAAAAUAAUCAUCAAUUUAGAGGAACCAUGACGGAUGACACCAAAUCAACAUCUAAAACGGGACCUUCAAUUUUGUGAUACAUUCUAAUAUAACGGGGUUAUUGAUGAAGCUAUUCAUCUUCGGUUGUUUCCCUUAUCCUUGAUCGAUAUUCGUUUAAGUUAAAGUUAAAGUUAAUUAAGUAUUAGCCUUCCUUGGGUUUGAUCCUUGGAGUACUCACCUACUUCGUUGUAAAAACUAUAUUACAACCUGACCUCGUAUACUUGCAGACACCACCUCAAUUCCAUUCAUUUAGUUGCAAUAUUUACACUCUGGAUGUUAGUAUGUCCGGAGGCGGUCAAGUGUUUGGUGCCAUUGCCGAGGAGGCAACGCUACUAAAUUGAUUUUAAUUUUUGAGUUUUAUAGGAUAAUUUGGAAAUUUAUAAAUUGUAGAUACAAUUUUUUUAUUGUUACUAACAUCUUUUAUUUUCCUUUUAGUUUCAGUGUAUGUCUUGUAGUAGUGGAACAUGUUAUAGAGCGAGUCACUGAUCUAGAGAGAAUAAUCUGUAGGAAUCGUCAAUAGCCAUAGCAGAUGCAAAACCAAUCACCUGUACUAAUUAGAUCUAUAUUCGUUUAAGUUCAAGUUAAUUUAGUAUUAGCCUCCCUGGGUUUGAUCCUUGGAGUACUCACCUACUUUGUUGUAAAAACUAUAUUACAACCUGACUCGUCUACUUGCAGACACCACCUCAAUUCCAUUCAUUUAGUUUCAAUAUUUACACUCUGGAUGUUAGUAUGUUCGGAGGCGGUCAAGUGUUUGGAGCCAUUGCCGAGGAGGCAACGCUACUAAAUUGAUUUUAAUUUUUGAGUUUUAUAGGAUAAUUUGGAAAUUUAUAAAUUGUAGAUACAAUUUUUUUAUUGUUACUAACAUCUUUUAUUUUCUUUUUAGUUUCAGUGUAGGACUCGUAGUAGUGGAACAAUUAUAGAGCGAGUCACUGAUCUAGAGAGAAUAAUCUGUAGGAAUCGUCAAUAGCCAUAGCAGAUGCAAAACCAAUCACCUGUUGCAAGCAAUCUACCAUGCGAUAACCCGUUGUUUGAUGAGGUAAACGAACUUAACAUCCAAGACAUUACCACCACCACCGCAAUUACCAGCAAACCCUUCGAUGGCAUGAGAAGAGCGAAACCUAAGGGAUUACGCACUACCAAAUAUGGUGAUGGUUCAAGGUAGCAUUACAAGGCCAACCAUUAUGGAAAAUUAUUUUGAAAUAAAAUCGACCAUGAUCUAGAUGAUCCAAAAUAAUCUGCAAUUCAGAGGACACCAUGACGGAUGUCCCAAAUCAACAUCUAAAACGGGUCCUUCAAUUUUGUGAUACAUUUAAAUAUAACGGGGUCAUUGAUGAAGCUAUUGAUCUUCGGUUGUUUCCCUUAUCCUUGAUCGAUAUUCAGUUUAAGUUAAAGUUAAAGUUAAUUUAGUAUUAGCCUUCCUUGGGUUUGAUCCUUGGAGUACUCACCUACUUUAUUGUAAAAACUAUAUUACAACCUGACUCGUAUACUUGCAGACACCACCUCAAUUCCAUUCAUUUAGUUGACAAUAUUUACACUCUGGAUGUUAGUAUGUCCUGGAGGCAGGUCAAGUGUUUGGUGCCAUUACCGAGGAGGCAGCGCUACUAAAUUGAUUUUAAUUUUUGAGUUUUAUAGGAUAAUUUGGAAAUUUAUAAAUUGUAGAUACAAUUUUUUUAUUGUUACUAACAUCUUUUAUUUCUUUUUAGUUUCAGUGUAGGACUCGUAGUAGUGGAACCAGUUAUAGAGCGAGUCAUUGAUCUAAAGAGAAUAAUCUGUAGGAAUCAUCAAUAGCCAUAGCAGAUGCAAAACCAAUCACCUGUACCAAUUAGAUCUAUAUUCGUUGAAUUUCAAGUUAAUUUAGUAUUAGCCUCCAUUGGGUUUGAUCCUUGGAGUACUCACCUACUUCGUUGUAAAAACUACAUUACAACCUGACUCGUAUACUUGCAGACACCACCUCAAUUCCAUUCAUUUAGUUGCAAUAUUUACACUCUAAAUGUUAGUAUGUCCGGAGGAGGUCAAGUGUUUGGUGCCAUUGCUGAGGAGGCAACGCUACUAAAUUGAUUAUAAUUUUUGAGUUUUAUAGGAUAAUUUGGAAAUUUAUAAAUUGUAGAUACAAUUUUUUUAUUGUUACUAACAUCUUUUAUUUUCUUUUUAGUUUCAGUGUAUGGCUCGUAGUAGUGAACAGUUAUAGAGCGAGUCACUGAUCUAAAGAGAAUAAUCUGUAGGAAUCGUCAAUAGCCAUAGCAGAUGAAAACCAAUCACUUGUACUAAUUAGAUCUAUAUUCGUUUAAGUUAAAGUUAAUUUAGUAUUAGCCUUCCUUGGGUUGAUCCCUGGAGUACUCACCUACUUCGUUAUAAAAACUAUAUUACAAACUGACUCGUCUACUUGCAGACACCACCUCAAUUCCAUUCAUUUAGUUGCAAUAUUUACACUCUGGUUGUUAGUAUGUCGGAGGCGGUCAAGUGUUUGGAGCCAUUGCCGAGGAGGCAACGCUACUAAAUUGAUUUAAUUUUUGAGUUUUAUAGGAUAAUUUGGAAAUUUAUAAAUUGUAGAUACAAUUUUUUUAUUGUUACUAACAUCUUUUAUUUUCUUUUUAUUUUCAGUGUAGGACUCGUAGUAGUGGAACAAUUAUAGAGCGAGUCACUGAUCUGAGAGAAUAAUCUGUAGGAAUCGUCAAUAGCCAUAGCAGUUGCAAAACCAAUCACCUAUUGCAAGCAAUCUACCAUGCGAUAACUCGUUGUUUGAUGAGGUAAACGAACUUAACAUCCAAGACUUACCACCCCCACCGCAAUUGCCAGCAAACCCUUCGAUGGCAUGAGAAGGGCGAAACCUAAGGGAUUACGCACUACCAAAUAUGGUGAUGGUUCAAGGUAGCAUUACAAGGCCAACCAUUACGGAAAAUAAUUUUGAAAUAAAAUCGACCAUGAUCUAGAUGAUCCAAAAUAAUCUGCAAUUCAGAGGCACCAUGACGGAUGACCCAAAUCAACAUCUAAAACGGGUCCUUCAAUUUUGUGAAUCAUUUAAAUAUAACGGGGUUAUUGAUGAAGCUAUUCAUCUUCGGUUGUUUCCCUUACCUUGAUCGAUAUUUAGUUUAAGUUAAAGUUAAAGUUAAUUUAGUAUUAGCCUUCCUUGGGUUUGAUCCUUGGAGUACUCACCUACUUCAUUGUAAAAACUAUAUUUCAACCUGACUCGUAUACUUGUAGACACCACCUCAAUUCCAUUCAUUUAGUUGCAAUAUUUACACUCUGGAUGUUAGUAUGUCCGGAGGCGGUGAAGUGUUUGGUGCCAUUGCCGAGGAGGCAAUGCUACUAAAUUGAUUUUAAUUUUUGAGUUUUAUAGGAUAAGUUGGAAAUUUAUAAAUUGUAGAUACAAUUUUUUUAUUGUUACUAACAUCUUUUAUUUUCUUUUUAGUUUCAGUGUAUGGCUCGUAGUAGUGGAACAGUGAUAGAGCGAGUCACUGAUCUAGAGAGAAUAAUCUCUAGGAAUCGUCAAUAGCCAUAGCAGAUGCAAAACCAAUCACCUGUACUAAUUAGAUCUAUAUUCGUUUAAGUUCAAGUUAAUUUAGUAUUAGCCUCCCUUGGGUUUGAUCCUUGGAGUACUCACCUACUUCAGUUGUAAAAACUAUAUUACAACCUGACUCGUGUACUUGCAGACACCACCUCAAUUCCAUUCAUUUAGUUUCAAUAUUUACACUCUGGAUGUUAGUAUGUUCGGAGGCGGUCAAGUGUUUGGAGCCAUUGCCGAGGAGGCAACACUACUAAAUUGAUUUUAAUUUUUGAGUUUUAUAGGAUAAUUUGGAAAUUUAUAAAUUGUAGAUACAAUUUUUUUAUUGUUACUAACAUCUUUUAUUUUCUUUUUAGUUUCAGUGUAGGACUCGUAGUAGUGGAACAAUUAUAAAGCGAGUCACUGAUCUAGAGAGAAUAAUCUGUAGGAAUCGUCAAUAGCCAUAGCAGUUGCAAAACCAAUCACCUGUUGCAAGCAAUCUACCAUGCGAUAACCCGUUGUUUGAUGAGGUAAACGAACUUAAUAUCCAAGACUUACCACCACCACCGUAAAUUACCAGCAAACCCUUCGAUGGCAUGAGAAGGGCGAAACCUAAGGGAUUACGCACUACCAAAUAUGGUGAUGGUUCAAGGUAGCAUUACAAGGCCAACCAUUAUGGAAAAUAAUUUUGAAAUAAAAUCGACCAUGAUCUAGAUGAUCCAAAAUAAUCUGCAAUUCAGAGGAACCAUGACGGAUGACACAAAUCAACAUCUAAAAUGGGGCCUUCAAUUUUGUGAUACAUUCUAAUAUAACGGGGUCAUUGAUGAAGCUAUUCAUCUUCGGUUGUUUCCCUUAUCCUGAUCGAUAUUCGUUAAGUUAAAGUUAAAGUUAAUUUAGUAUUAGCCUUCCUUGGGUUUGAUCCUUGGAGUACUCACCUACUUCGUUGUAAAAACUAUAUUACAACCUGACUCGUAUACUUGCAGACACCACCUCAAUUCCAUUCAUUAGUUGCAAUAUUUACACUCUGGAUGUUAGUAUGUCCGGAGGCGGUCAAUUGUUUGGUGCCAUUGCCGAGGACGCAACGCUACUGAAUUGAUUUUAAUUUUUAGUUUAUAGGAUAAUUUGGAAAUUUAUGAAUUGUAGAUACAAUUUUUUUAUUGUUACUAACAUCUUUUAUUUUCUUUUUAGUUUUCAGUGUAUGGCUCGUAGUAGUGGAACAGUUAUAGAGUGAGUCACUGAUCUAAAGAGAAUAAUCUGUAGGAAUCGUCAAUAGCCAUAGCAGAUGCAAAACCAAUCACCUGUACUAAUUAGAUAUAUAUUCGUUAAGUUCAAGUUAAUUUAGUAUUAGCCUUCCUUGGGUUUGAUCCUUGGAGUACUCACCUACUUCGUAAAAACUAUAUUACAACCUGACGUUAUACUUGCAGACACCACCUCAAUUCCAUUCAUUUAGUUGCAAUAUUUACACUCUGGAUGUUAGUAUGUCCGGAGGCGGUCAAGUGUUUGGUGCCAUUGCGAGGAGGCAACGCUACUAAAUGAUUUUAAUUUUUGAGUUUUAUAGGAUAAGUUGGAAAUUUAUUAAAUUGUAGAUACACUUUUUUUAUUGUUACUAACAUCUUUAUUUUCUUUUUAGUUUCAGUGUNNNNNNNNNNNNNNNNNNNNNNNNNNNNNNNNNNNNNNNNNNNNNNNNNNNNNNNNNNNNNNNNNNNNNNNNNNNNNNNNNNNNNNNNNNNNNNNNNNNNNNNNNNNNNNNNNNNNNNNNNNNNNNNNNNNNNNNNNNNNNNNNNNNNNNNNNNNNNNNNNNNNNNNNNNNNNNNNNNNNNNNNNNNNNNNNNNNNNNNNNNNNNNNNNNNNNNNNNNNNNNNNNNNNNNNNNNNNNNNNNNNNNNNNNNNNNNNNNNNNNNNNNNNNNNNNNNNNNNNNNNNNNNNNNNNNNNNNNNNNNNNNNNNNNNNNNNNNNNNNNNNNNNNNNNNNNNNNNNNNNNNNNNNNNNNNNNNNNNNNNNNNNNNNNNNNNNNNNNNNNNNNNNNNNNNNNNNNNNNNNNNNNNNNNNNNNNNNNNNNNNNNNNNNNNNNNNNNNNNNNNNNNNNNNNNNNNNNNNNNNNNNNNNNNNNNNNNNNNNNNNNNNNNNNNNNNNNNNNNNUUCCAUUCAUUUAGUUGCAAUACUUACACUCUGGAUGUUAGUAUGCCCGGAGGCGGUCAAGAGUUUGGUGCCAUUGCCGAGGAGGCAACGCUACUAAAUUGAUUUUAAUUUUUGAGUUUUAUAGGAUAAUUUGGAAAUUUAUAAAUUGUAGAUACAAUUUUUUUAUUGUUACUAACAUCUUUUAUUUUCUUUUUAGUUUCAGUGUAUGACUCGUAGUAGUGGAACAGUUAUAGAGCGAGUCACUGAUCUAGAGAGAAUAAUCUGUAGGAAUCGUCAAUAGCCAUAGCAGAUGCAAAACCAAUCACCUGUUGCAAGCAAUCUACUAUGCGAUAACCCGUUGUUUGGUGAGGUAAACGAACUUAACAUCCAAGACUUACCACCACCACCGCUAUUACCAGCAAACCCUUCGAUGGCAUGAGAAGGGCGAAACCUAAGGGAUUCCGCACUACCAAAUAUGGUGAUGGUUCAAGGUAGCAUUACAAGGCAAACCAUUAUGGAAAAUAAUUUUGAAAUAAAAUCGACCAUGAUCUAGAUGAUCCAAACUAAUCUUCAAUUCAGAGGAACCAUGACGGAUGACCCAAAUCAACAUCUAAAACGGGUCCUUCAAUUUUGUGAUGCAUUUAAAUAUAACGGGGUCAUUAAUGAAGCUAUUCAUCUUCAGUUGUUUCCCAUAUCCUUGAUCGAUAUUCGUUUAAGUUAAAGUUAAAGUUAAUUUAGUAUUAGCCUUCCUUGUGUUUGAUCCUUGGAGUACUCACCUACUUCAUUGUAAAAACUAUAUUACAACCUGACUCGUAUACUUGCAGACACCACCUCAAUUCCAUUCAUUUAGUUGCAAUAUUUACACUCUGGAUGUUAGUAUGUCCGGAGGCGGUCAAGUGUUUGGUGCCAUUGCCGAGGAGGCAACGCUACUGAAUUGAUUUUAAUUUUUUAGUUUUAUAGAAUAAUUUGGAAAUUUAUAAAUUGUAGAUACAAUUUUCUUAUUGUUACUAGCAUCUUUUAUUUUCUUUUUAGUUUCAGUGUAUGGCUCGUAGCAGUGGAACAGUUAUAGAGCGAGUCACUGAUCUAAAGAGAAUAAUCUGUAGGAAUCGUCAAUAGCCAUAGCAGAUGCAAAACCAAUCACCUGUACUAAUUAGAUCUAUAUUCAUUUAAGUUCAAGUUAAUUUAGUAUUAGCCUCCCUUGGGUUUGAUCCUUGGAGUACUCACCUACUUCGUUGUAAAAACUAUAUUACAACCUGACUCUUGUACUUGCAGACACCACCACAAUUCCAUUCAUUUAGUUUCAAUAUUUACACUCUGGAUGUUAGUAUGUUCGGAGGCGGUCAAGUGUUUGGAGCCAUUGCCGAGGAGGCAACACUACUAAAUUGAUUUUAAUUUUUGAGUUUAAAAGGAUAAUUUGGAAAUUUAUAAAUUGUAGAUAAAUUUUUUUAUUGUUACUAACAUCUUUUAUUUUCUUUUUAGUUUCAGUGUAGGACUCGUAGUAGUGGAACAAUUAUAAAGCGAGUCACUGAUCUAGAGAGAAUAAUCUGUAGGAAUCGUCAAUAGCCAUAGCAGUUGCAAAACCAAUCACCUGUUGCAAGCAAUCUACCAUGCGAUAACCCGUUGUUUGAUGAGGUAAACGAAUUUAAUAUCCAAGACUUACCACCACCACCGCAAUUACCAGCAAACCCUUCGAUGGCAUGAGAAGGGCGAAACCUAAGGGAUUACGCACUACCAAAUAUGUUGAUGGUUCAAGGUAGCAUUACAAGGCCAGCCAUUAUGGAAAAUAAUUUUGAAAUAAAAUCGACCAUGAUCUAGAUGAUCCAAAAUAAUCUGCAAUUCAGAGGCACCAUGACGGAUGACCCAAAUCAACAUCUAAAACGGGUCCUUCAAUUUUGUGAUGCAUUUAAAUAUAACAGGGUCAUUAAUGAAGCUAUUCAUCUUCGGUUGUUUCCCUUAUCCUUGAUCGAUAUUCGUUUAAGUUAAAGUUAAAGUUAAUUUAGUAUUAGCCUUCCUUGGGUUUGAUCCUUGGAGUACUCACCUACUUCAUUGUAAAAACUAUAUUACAACCUGACUCGUAUACUUGUAGACACCACCUCAAUUCCAUUCAUUUAGUUGCAAUAUUUACACUCUGGAUGUUAGUAUGUCCGGAGGCGGUCAAGUGUUUGGUGCCAUUGCCGAGGAGGCAACGCUACUAAAUUGAUUUUAAUUUUUGAGUUUUAUAGGAUAGUUUGGAAAUUUAUAAAUUGUAGAUACAAUUUUUUUAUUGUUACUAACAUCUUUCAUUUUCUUUUUAGUUUCAGUGUAUGACUCGUAGUAGUGGAAGAGUUAUAGUGCGAGUCACUGAUCUAGAGAGAAUAAUCUGUAGGAAUCGUCAAUAGCCAUAGCAGAUGCAAAACCAAUCACCUGUUGCAAGCAAUCUACCAUGCGAUAACCCGUUGUUUGAUGAGGUAAACGAACUUAAUAUCCAAGACUUACCACCACCACCGCAAUUACCAGCAAACCCUUCGAUGGCAUGAGAAGGGCGAAACCUAAGGGAUUACGCACUACCAAAUAUGGUGAUGGUUCAAGGUAGCAUUACAAGGCCAACCAUUAUGGAAAAUAAUUUUGAAAUAAAAUCGACCAUGAUCUAGAUGAUCCAAACUAAUCUUCAAUUCAGAGGCACCAUGACGGAUGACCCAAAUCAACAUCUAAAACGGGUCCUUCAAUUUUGUGAUGCAUUUAAAUAUAACGGGGUUAUUGAUGAAGCUAUUCAUCUUCGGUUGUUUCCCUUAUCCUUGAUCGAUAUUCGAUUAAGUUAAAGUUAAAGUUAAUUUAGUAUUAGCCUUCCUUGGGUUUGAGCCUUGGAGUACUCACCUACUUCAUUGUAAAAACUAUAUUACAACCUGACUCGUAUACUUGCAGACACCACCUCAAUUCCAUUCAUUUAGUUGCAAUAUUUACACUCUGGAUGUUAGUAUGCCCGGAGGCGGUCAAGAGUUUGGUGCCAUUGCCGAGGAGGCAACGCUACUAAAUUGAUUUUAAUUUUUGAGUUUUAUAGGAUAAUUUGGAAAUUUAUAAAUUGUAGAUACAAUUUUUUUUAUUGUUACUAACAUCUUUUAUUUUCUUUUUAGUUUCAGUGUAUGACUCGUAGUAGUGGAACAGUUAUAGAGCGAGUCACUGAUCUAGAGAGAAUAAUCUGUAGGAAUCGUCAAUAGCCAUAGCAGAUGCAAAACCAAUCACCUGUUGCAAGCAAUCUACUAUGCGAUAACCCGUUGUUUGAUGAGGUAAACGAACUUAACAUCCAAGACUUACCACCACCACCGCUAUUACCAGCAAACCCUUCGAUGGGAUGAGAAGGGUGAAACCUAAGGGAUUACGCACUACCAAAUAUGGUGAUGGUUCAAGGUAGCAUUACAAGGCAAACCAUUAUGGAAAAUAAUUUUGAAAUAAAAUCGACCAUGAUCUAGAUGAUCCAAACUAAUCUUCAAUUCAGAGGAACCAUGACGGAUGACCCAAAUCAACAUCUAAAACGGGUCCUUCAAUUUUGUGAUGCAUUUAAAUAUAACGGGGUCAUUAAUGAAGCUAUUCAUCUUCAGUUGUUUCCCAUAUCCUUGAUCGAUAUUCGUUUAAGUUAAAGUUAAUGUUAAUUUAGUAUUAGCCUUCCUUGUGUUUGAUCCUUGGAGUACUCACCUACUUCAUUGUAAAAACUAUAUUACAACCUGACUCGUAUACUUGCAGACACUACCUCAAUUCCAUUCAUUUAGUUGCAAUAUUUACACUCUGGAUGUUAGUAUGUCCGGAGGCGGUCAAGUGUUUGGUGCCAUUGCCGAGGAGGCAACGCUACUGAAUUGAUUUUAAUAUUUUAGUUUUAUAUAAUAAUUUGGAAAUUUAUAAAUUGUAGAUACAAUUUUCUUAUUGUUACUAGCAUCUUUUAUUUUCUUUUUAGUUUCAGUGUAUGGCUCGUAGCAGUGGAACAGUUAUAGAGCGAGUCACUGAUCUAAAGAGAAUAAUCUGUAGGAAUCGUCAAUAGCCAUAGCAGAUGCAAAACCAAUCACCUGUACUAAUUAGAUCUAUAUUCAUUUAAGUUCAAGUUAAUUUAGUAUUAGCCUCCCUUGGGUUUGAUCCUUGGAGUACUCACCUACUUCGUUGUAAAAACUAUAUUACAACCUGACUCUUGUACUUGCAGACACCACCACAAUUCCAUUCAUUUAGUUUCAAUAUUUACACUCUGGAUGUUAGUAUGUUCGGAGGCGGUCAAGUGUUUGGAGCCAUUGCCGAGGAGGCAACACUACUAAAUUGAUUUUAAUUUUUGAGUUUAAAAGGAUAAUUUGGAAAUUUAUAAAUUGUAGAUAAAAUUUUUUUAUUGUUACUAACAUCUUUUAUUUUCUUUUUAGUUUCAGUGUAGGACUCGUAGUAGUGGAACAAUUAUAAAGCGAGUCACUGAUCUAGAGAGAAUAAUCUGUAGGAAUCGUCAAUAGCCAUAGCAGUUGCAAAACCAAUCACCUGUUGCAAGCAAUCUACCAUGCGAUAACCCGUUGUUUGAUGAGGUAAACGAAUUUAAUAUCCAAGACUUACCACCACCACCGUAAUUACCAGCAAACCCUUCGAUGGCAUGAGAAGGGCGAAACCUAAGGGAUUACGCACUACCAAAUAUGUUGAUGGUUCAAGGUAGCAUUACAAGGCCAGCCAUUAUGGAAAAUAAUUUUGAAAUAAAAUCGACCAUGAUCUAGAUGAUCCAAACUAAUCUUCAAUUCAGAGGCACCAUGACGGAUGACCCAAAUCAACAUCUAAAACGGGUCCUUCAAUUUUGUGAUGCAUUUAAAUAUAACGGGGUUAUUGAUGAAGCUAUUCAUCUUCGGUUGUUUCCCUUAUCCUUGAUCGAUAUUCGAUUAAGUUAAAGUUAAAGUUAAUUUAGUAUUAGCCUUCCUUGGGUUUGAGCCUUGGAGUACUCACCUACUUCAUUGUAAAAACUAUAUUACAACCUGACUCGUAUACUUGUAGACACCACCUCAAUUCCAUUCAUUUAGUUGCAAUAUUUACACUCUGGAUGUUAGUAUGUCCGGAGGCGGUCAAGUGUUUGGUGCCAUUGCCGAGGAGGCAACGCUACUAAAUUGAUUUUAAUUUUUGAGUUUUAUAGGAUAGUUUGGAAAUUUAUAAAUUGUAGAUACAAUUUUUUUAUUGUUACUAACAUCUUUCAUUUUUUUUUUAGUUUCAGUGUAUGACUCGUAGUAGUGGAACAGUUAUAGUGCGAGUCACUGAUCUUGAGAGAAUAAUCUAUAGGAAUCGUCAAUAGCCAUAGCAGAUGCAAAACGAAUCACCUGUUGCAAGCAAUCUACUAUGCGAUAACCCGUUGUUUGAUGAGGUAAACGAACUUAACAUCCAAGACUUACCACCACCACCGCUAUUACCAGCAAACCCUUCGAUGGCAUGAGAAGAGCGAAACCUAAGGGAUUAUGCACUACCAAAUCUGGUGAUGGUUCAAGGUAGCAUUACAAGGCCAACCAUUAUGGAAAAUAAUUUUGAAAUAAAAUCGACCAUGAUCUAGAUGAUCCAAAAUAAUCUGCAAUUCAGAGGAACCAUGACGGAUGACACAAAUCAACAUCUAAAACGGGGCCUUCAAUUUUGUGAUACAUUCUAAUAUAACGGGGUCAUUGAUGAAGCUAUUCAUCUUCGGUUGUUUCCCUUAUCCUUGAUCGAUAUUCGUUUAAGUUAAAGUUAAAGUUAAUUUAGUAUUAUCCUUCCUUGGGUUUGAUCCUUGGAGUACUCACCUACUUCGUUGUAAAAAGUAUAUUACAACCUGACUCGUAUACUUGCAGACACCACCUCAAUUCCAUUCAUUUAGUUGCAAUAUUUACACUCUGGAUGUUAGUAUGUCCGGAGGCGGUCAAGUGUUUGGUGCCAUUGCCGAGGAGGCAACGCUACUGAAUUGAUUUUAAUUUUUUAGUUUUAUAGGAUAAUUUGGAAAUUUAUAAAUUGUAGAUACAAUUUUUUUAUUGUUACUAACAUCUUUUAUUUUCUUUUUAGUUUCAGUGUAUGGCUCGUAGUAGUGGAAUAGUUAUAGAGCGAGUCACUGAUCUAAAGAGAAUAAUCUGUAGGAAUCGUCAAUAGCCAUAGCAGAUGAAAAAACCAAUCACCUGUACUAAUUAGAUAUAUAUUCGUUUAAGUUCAAGUUAAUUUAGUAUUAGCCUUCCUUGGGUUUGAUCCUUGGAGUACUCACCUACUUCGUUGUAAAAACUAUAUUACAACCUGACUCGUAUACUUGCAGACACCACCUCAAUUCCAUUCAUUAAGUUUCAAUAUUUACACUCUGGAUGUUAGUAUGUCCGGAGGCGGUCAAAUGUUUGGUGCCAUUGCCGAGGAGGCAACGCUACUAAAUUGAUUUUAAUUUUUGAGUUUUAUAGGAUAAUUUGGAAAUUUAUAAAUUGUAGAUACAAUUUUUUUAUUGUUACUAACAUCUUUUAUUUUCUUUUUAGUUUCAGUGUAUGUCUUGCAGUAGUGGAACAAUUAUAGAGUGAGUCACUGAUCUAGAGAGAAUAAUCUGUAGGAAUCGUCAAUAGCCAUAGCAGAUGCAAAACCAAUCACCUGUACUAAUUAGAUCUAUAUUCGUUUAAGUUCAAGUUAAUUUAGUAUUAGCCUCCCUUGGGUUUGAUCCUUGGAGUACUCACCUACUUCGUUGUUAAAACUAUAUUACAACCUGACUCGUAUACUUGCAGACACCACCUCAAUUCCAUUCAUUUAGUUGCAAUAUUUACACUCUGGAUGUUAGUAUGUCCGGAGGCGGUCAAGUGUUUGGUGCCAUUGCCGAGAAGGCAACGCUACUGAAUUGAUUUUAAUUUUUUAGUUUUAUAGGAUAAUUUGGAAAUUUAUAAAUUGCAGAUACAAUUUUUUUAUUGUUACUAACAUCUUUUAUUUUCUUUUUAGUUUCAGUGUAUGUCUUGCAGUAGUGGAACAAUUAUAGAGCGAGUCACUGAUCUAGAGAGAAUAAUCUGUAGGAAUCGUCAAUAGCCAUAGCAGAUGCAGAACCAAUCACCUGUACUAAUUAGAUCUAUAUUCGUUUAAGUUCAAGUUAAUUUAGUAUUAGCCUCCCUUGGGUUUGAUCCUUGUAGUACUCACCUACUUUGUUGUAAAAACUAUAUUACAACCUGACUCGUGUACUUGCAGACACCACCUCAAUUCCAUUCAUUUAGUUUCAAUAUUUACACUCUGGAUGUUAGUAUGUUCGGAGGCGGUCAAGUGUUUGGAGCCAUUGCCGAGGAGGCAACACUACUAAAUUGAUUUUAAUUUUUGAGUUUUAUAGGAUAAUUUGGAAAUUUAUAAAUUGUAGAUACAAUUUUUUUAUUGUUACUAACAUCUUUUAUUUUUUUUUUAGUUUCAGUGUAUGACUCGUAGUAGUGGAACAGUUAUAGAGCGAGUCACUGAUCUAGAGAGAAUAAUCUGUAGGAAUCGUCAAUAGCCAUAGCAGAUGCAAAACCAAUCACCUGUUACAAGCAAUCUACUAUGCGAUAACCCGUUGUUUGAUGAGGUAAACGAACUUAACAUCCAAGACAUACCACCACCACCGCCAUUACCAGCAAACCCUUCGAUGGCAUGAGAAGAGCGAAACCUAAGGGAUUAUGCACUACCAAAUCUGGUGAUGGUUCAAGGUAGCAUUACAAGGCCAACCAUUAUGGAAAAUAAUUUUGAAAUAAAAUCGACCAUGAUCUAGAUGAUCCAAAAUAAUCUGCAAUUCAGAGGAACCAUGACGGAUGACACAAAUCAACAUCUAAAACAGGGCCUUCAAUUUUGUGAUACAUUCUAAUAUAACGGGGUCAUUGAUGAAGCUAUUCAUCUUCGGUUGUUUCCCUUAUCUUUGAUCGAUAUUCGUUUAAGUUAAAGUUAAAGUUAAUUUAGUAUUAGCCUUCUUUGGGUUUGAUCCUUGGAGUACUCACCUACUUCGUUUUAAAAACUAUAUCACAACCUGACUCGUAUACUUGCACACACCACCUCAAUUCCAUUCAUUUAGUUGCAAUAUUUACACUCUGGAUGUUAGUAUGUCUGGAGGCGGUUAAGUGUUUGGUGCCAUUGCCGAGGAGGCAACGCUACUGAAUUGAUUUUAAUUUUUUAGUUUUAUAGGAUAAUUUGGAAAUUUAUAAAUUGUAGAUACAAUUUUCUUAUUGUUACUAACAUCUUUUAUUUUCUUUUUAGUUUCAGUGUAUGGCUCGUAGUAGUGGAAUAGUUAUAGAGCGAGUCACUGAUCUAAAGAGAAUAAUCUGUAGGAAUCGUCAAUAGCCAUAGCAGAUGCAAAACCAAUCACCUGUACUAAUUAGAUCUAUAUUCGUUUAAGUUCAAGUUAAUUUAGUAUUAGCAUUCCUUGGGUUUGAUCCUUGGAGUACUCACCUACUUCGUUGUAAAAACUAUAUUACAACCUGACUCGUGUACUUGCAGACACCACCUCAAUUCCAUUCAUUUAGUUGCAAUAUUUACACUCUAGAUGUUAGUAUGUCCGGAGGCGGUCAAAUGUUUGGUGCCAUUGCCGUGGAGGCAACGCUACUAAAUUGAUUUUAAUUUUUGAGUUUUAUAGGAUAAUUUGGAAUUUAUAAAUUGUAGAUACAAUUUUUUUAUUGUUACUAACACCUUUUAUUUUCUUUUUAGUUUCAGUGUAUGUCUUGCAGUAGUGGAACAAUUAUAGAGCGAGUCACUGAUCUAGAGAGAAUAAUCUGUAGGAAUCGUCAAUAGCCAUAGCAGAUGCAAAACCAAUCACCUGUACUAAUUAGAUCUAUAUUCGUUUAAGUUCAAGUUAAUUUAGUAUUUGCCUUCCUUGGGUUUGAUCCUUGGAGUACUCACCUACUUCGUUGUAAAAACUAUAUUACAACCUGACUCGUGUACUUGCAGACACCACCUCAAUUCCAUUCAUUUAGUUGCAAUAUUUACACUCUAGAUGUUAGUAUGUCUGGAGGCGGUCAAAUGUUUGGUGCCAUUGCCGAGGAGGCAACGCUACUAAAUUGAUUUUAAUUUUUGAGUUUUAUAGGAUAAUUUGGAAAUUUAUAAAUUGUAGAUACAAUUUUUUUAUUGUUACUAACACCUUUUAUUUUCUUUUUAGUUUCAGUGUAUGUCUUGCAGUAGUGGAACAAUUAUAGAGCGAGUCACUGAUCUGGAGAGAAUAAUCUGUAGGAAUCGUCAAUAGCCAUAGCAGAUGCAAAACCAAUCACCUGUACUAAUUAGAUCUAUAUUCGUUUAAGUUCAAGUUAAUUUAGUAUUAUCCCUCCUUGGGUUUGAUCCUUGGAGUACUCACCUACUUCGUUGUAAAAACUAUAUUACAACCUGACUCGUGUACUUGCAGACACCACCUCAAUUCCAUUCAUUUAGUUGCAAUAUUUACACUCUAGAUGUUAGUAUGUCCGGAGGCGGUCAAAUGUUUGGUGCCAUUGCCGUGGAGGCAACGCUACUAAAUUGAUUUUAAUUUUUGAGUUUUAUAGGAUAAUUUGGAAAUUUAUAAAUUGUAGAUACAAUUUUUUUAUUGUUACUAACACCUUUUAUUUUCUUUUUAGUUUCAGUGUAUGUCUUGCAGUAGUGGAACAAUUAUAGAGCGAGUCACUGAUCUAGAGAGAAUAAUCUGUAGGAAUCGUCAAUAGCCAUAGCAGAUGCAAAACCAAUCACCUGUACUAAUUAGAUCUAUAUUCGUUUAAGUUCAAGUUAAUUUAGUAUUAGCCUCCCUUGGGUUUGAUCCUUGGAGUACGCACCUACUUCGUUGUAAAAACUAUAUUACAACCUGACUCGUGUACUUGCAGACACCACCUCAAUUCCAUUCAUUUAGUUGCAAUAUUUACACUCUGGAUGUUAGUAUGUCCGGAGGCGGUCAAGUGUUUGGUGCCAUUGCCGAGGAGGCAACGCUACUAAAUUGAUUUUAAUUUUUGAGUUUUAUAGGAUAAUUUGGAAAUUUAUAAAUUGUAGAUACAAUUUUUUUAUUGUUACUAACAUCUUUUAUUUUCUUUUUAGUUUCAGUGUAUGACUCGUAGUAGUGGAGCAGUUAUAGAGCGAGUCACUGAUCUAGAGAGAAUAAUCUGUAGGAAUCGUCAAUAGCCAUAGCAGAUGCAAAACCAAUCACCUGUUGCAAGCAAUCUACUAUGCGAUAACCCGUUGUUUGAUGAGGUAAACGAACUUAACAUCCAAGACUUACCACCACCACCGCUAUUACCAGCAAACCCUUCGAUGGCAUGAGAAGAGCGAAACCUAAGGGAUUAUGCACUACCAAAUCAGGUGAUGGUUCAAGGUAGCAUUACAAGGCCAACCAUUAUGGAAAAUAAUUUUGAAAUAAAAUCGACCAUGAUCUAGAUGAUCCAAAAUAAUCUGCAAUUCAGGGGAACCAUGACGGAUGACCCAAAUCAACAUCUAAAACGGGUCCUUCAAUUUUCUGAUGCAUUUAAAUAAAACGGGGUCAUUAAUGAAGCUAUUCAUCUUCGGUUGUUUCCCGUAUCCUUGAUCGAUAUUCGUUUAAGUUAAAGUUAAAGUUAAUUUAGUAUUAGCCUUCCUUGGGUUUGAUCCUUGGAGUACUCACCUACUUCGUUGUAAAAACUAUAUUACAACCUGACUCGUAUACUUGCAGACACCACCUCAAUUCCAUUCAUUUAGUUGCAAUAUUUACACUCUGGAUGUUAGUAUGUCCGGAGGCGGUCAAAUGUUUGGUGCCAUUGCCGAGGAGGCAACGCUACUAAAUUGAUUUUAAUUUUUGAUUUUUAUAGGAUAAUUUGGAAAUUUAUAAAUUGUAGAUACAAUUUUUUUAUUGUUACUAACAUCUUUUAUUUUUUUUUAGUUUCAGUGUAUGACUCGUAGUAGUGGAACAGUUAUAGAGCGAGUCACUGAUCUAGAGAGAAUAAUCUGUAGGAAUCGUCAAUAGCCAUAGCAGAUGCAAAACCAAUCACCUGUUACAAGCAAUCUACUAUGCGAUAACCCGUUGUUUGAUGAGGUAAACGAACUUAACAUCCAAGACAUACCACCACCAUCGCCAUUACCAGCAAACCCUUCGAUGGCAUGAGAAGAGCGAAACCUAAGGGAUUAUGCACUACCAAAUCUGGUGAUGGUUCAAGGUAGCAUUACAAGGCCAACCAUUAUGGAAAAUAAUUUUGAAAUAAAAUCGACCAUGAUCUAGAUGAUCCAAAAUAAUCUGCAAUUCAGAGGAACCAUGACGGAUGACACAAAUCAACAUCUAAAACAGGGCCUUCAAUUUUGUGAUACAUUCUAAUAUAACGGGGUCAUUGAUGAAGCUAUUCAUCUUCGGUUGUUUCCCUUAUCUUUGAUCGAUAUUCGUUUAAGUUAAAGUUAAAGUUAAUUUAGUAUUAGCCUUCUUUGGGUUUGAUCCUUGGAGUACUCACCUACUUCGUUUUAAAAACUAUAUCACAACCUGACUCGUAUACUUGCAGACACCACCUCAAUUCCAUUCAUUUAGUUGCAAUAUUUACACUCUGGAUGUUAGUAUGUCUGGAGGCGGUCAAGUGUUUGGUGCCAUUGCCGAGGAGGCAACGCUACUGAAUUGAUUUUAAUUUUUUAGUUUUAUAGGAUAAUUUGGAAAUUUAUAAAUUGUAGAUACAAUUUUCUUAUUGUUACUAACAUCUUUUAUUUUCUUUUUAGUUUCAGUGUAUGGCUCGUAGUAGUGGAACAGUUAUAGAGCGAGUCACUGAUCUAAAGAGAAUAAUCUGUAGGAAUCGUCAAUAGCCAUAGCAGAUGCAAAACCAAUCACCUGUACUAAUUAGAUCUAUAUUCGUUUAAGUUCAAGUUAAUUUAGUAUUAGCAUUCCUUGGGUUUGAUCCUUGGAGUACUCACCUACUUCGUUGUAAAAACUAUAUUACAACCUGACUCGUGUACUUGCAGACACCACCUCAAUUCCAUUCAUUUAGUUGCAAUAUUUACACUCUAGAUGUUAGUAUGUCCGGAGGCGGUCAAAUGUUUGGUGCCAUUGCCGUGGAGGCAACGCUACUAAAUUGAUUUUAAUUUUUGAGUUUUAUAGGAUAAUUUGGAAUUUAUAAAUUGUAGAUACAAUUUUUUUAUUGUUACUAACACCUUUUAUUUUCUUUUUAGUUUCAGUGUAUGUCUUGCAGUAGUGGAACAAUUAUAGAGCGAGUCACUGAUCUAGAGAGAAUAAUCUGUAGGAAUCGUCAAUAGCCAUAGCAGAUGCAAAACCAAUCACCUGUACUAAUUAGAUCUAUAUUCGUUUAAGUUCAAGUUAAUUUAGUAUUAGCCUUCCUUGGGUUUGAUCCUUGGAGUACUCACCUACUUCGUUGUAAAAACUAUAUUACAACCUGACUCGUGUACUUGCAGACACCACCUCAAUUCCAUUCAUUUAGUUGCAAUAUUUACACUCUAGAUGUUAGUAUGUCUGGAGGCGGUCAAAUGUUUGGUGCCAUUGCCGAGGAGGCAACGCUACUAAAUUGAUUUUAAUUUUUGAGUUUUAUAGGAUAAUUUGGAAAUUUAUAAAUUGUAGAUACAAUUUUUUUAUUGUUACUAACACCUUUUAUUUUCUUUUUAGUUUCAGUGUAUGUCUUGCAGUAGUGGAACAAUUAUAGAGCGAGUCACUGAUCUGGAGAGAAUAAUCUGUAGGAAUCGUCAAUAGCCAUAGCAGAUGCAAAACCAAUCACCUGUACUAAUUAGAUCUAUAUUCGUUUAAGUUCAAGUUAAUUUAGUAUUAUCCCUCCUUGGGUUUGAUCCUUGGAGUACUCACCUACUUCGUUGUAAAAACUAUAUUACAACCUGACUCGUGUACUUGCAGACACCACCUCAAUUCCAUUCAUUUAGUUGCAAUAUUUACACUCUAGAUGUUAGUAUGUCCGGAGGCGGUCAAAUGUUUGGUGCCAUUGCCGUGGAGGCAACGCUACUAAAUUGAUUUUAAUUUUUGAGUUUUAUAGGAUAAUUUGGAAAUUUAUAAAUUGUAGAUACAAUUUUUUUAUUGUUACUAACACCUUUUAUUUUCUUUUUAGUUUCAGUGUAUGUCUUGCAGUAGUGGAACAAUUAUAGAGCGAGUCACUGAUCUAGAGAGAAUAAUCUGUAGGAAUCGUCAAUAGCCAUAGCAGAUGCAAAACCAAUCACCUGUACUAAUUAGAUCUAUAUUCGUUUAAGUUCAAGUUAAUUUAGUAUUAGCCUCCCUUGGGUUUGAUCCUUGGAGUACGCACCUACUUCGUUGUAAAAACUAUAUUACAACCUGACUCGUGUACUUGCAGACACCACCUCAAUUCCAUUCAUUUAGUUGCAAUAUUUACACUCUGGAUGUUAGUAUGUCCGGAGGCGGUCAAGUGUUUGGUGCCAUUGCCGAGGAGGCAACGCUACUAAAUUGAUUUUAAUUUUUGAGUUUUAUAGGAUAAUUUGGAAAUUUAUAAAUUGUAGAUACAAUUUUUUUAUUGUUACUAACAUCUUUUAUUUUCUUUUUAGUUUCAGUGUAUGACUCGUAGUAGUGGAGCAGUUAUAGAGCGAGUCACUGAUCUAGAGAGAAUAAUCUGUAGGAAUCGUCAAUAGCCAUAGCAGAUGCAAAACCAAUCACCUGUUGCAAGCAAUCUACUAUGCGAUAACCCGUUGUUUGAUGAGGUAAACGAACUUAACAUCCAAGACUUACCACCACCACCGCUAUUACCAGCAAACCCUUCGAUGGCAUGAGAAGAGCGAAACCUAAGGGAUUAUGCACUACCAAAUCAGGUGAUGGUUCAAGGUAGCAUUACAAGGCCAACCAUUAUGGAAAAUAAUUUUGAAAUAAAAUCGACCAUGAUCUAGAUGAUCCAAAAUAAUCUGCAAUUCAGGGGAACCAUGACGGAUGACCCAAAUCAACAUCUAAAACGGGUCCUUCAAUUUUCUGAUGCAUUUAAAUAAAACGGGGUCAUUAAUGAAGCUAUUCAUCUUCGGUUGUUUCCCGUAUCCUUGAUCGAUAUUCGUUUAAGUUAAAGUUAAAGUUAAUUUAGUAUUAGCCUUCCUUGGGUUUGAUCCUUGGAGUACUCACCUACUUCGUUGUAAAAACUAUAUUACAACCUGACUCGUAUACUUGCAGACACCACCUCAAUUCCAUUCAUUUAGUUGCAAUAUUUACACUCUGGAUGUUAGUAUGUCCGGAGGCGGUCAAAUGUUUGGUGCCAUUGCCGAGGAGGCAACGCUACUAAAUUGAUUUUAAUUUUUGAUUUUUAUAGGAUAAUUUGGAAAUUUAUAAAUUGUAGAUACAAUUUUUUUAUUGUUACUAACAUCUUUUAUUUUCUUUUUAGUUUCAGUGUAUGUCUUGCAGUAGUGGAACAAUUAUAGAGUGAGUCACUGAUCUAGAGAGAAUAAUCUGUAGGAAUCGUCAAUAGCCAUAGCAGAUGCAAAACCAAUCACCUGUACUAAUUAGAUCUAUAUUCGUGUAAGUUCAAGUUAAUUUAGUAUUGGCCUCCCUUGGGUUUGAUCCUUGGAGUACUCACCUACUUCGUUGUAAAAACUAUAUUACAACCUGAGUCGUAUACUUGCAGACACCACCUCAAUUCCAUUCAUUUAGUUGCAAUAUUUACACUCUGGAUGUUAGUAUGUCCGGAGGCGGUCAAGUGUUUGGUGCCAUUGCCGAGGAGGCAACGCUACUAAAUUGAUUUUAAUUUUUGAGUUUUAUAGGAUAAUUUGGAAAUUUAUAAAUUGUAGAUACAAUUUUUUUAUUGUUACUAAAAUCUUUUAUUUUCUUUUUAGUUUCAGUGUAUGUCUUGUAGUAGUGGAACAGUUAUAGAGCGGGUCACUGAUCUAGAGAGAAUAAUCUCUAGGAAUCGUCAAUAGCCAUAGCAGAUGCAAAACCAAUCACCUGUACUAAUUAGAUCUAUAUUCGUUUAAGUUAAAGUUAAUUUAGUAUUAGCCUUCCUUGGGUUUGUUCCUUGGAGUACUCACCUACUUCGUUGUAAAAACUAUAUUACAACCUGACUCGUGUACUUGCAGACACCACCUCAAUUCCAUUCAUUUAGUUGCAAUAUUUACACUCUGGAUGUUAGUAUGUCCGGAGGCGGUCAAGUGUUUGGAGCCAUUGCCGAGGAGAGAACGCUACUAAAUUGAUUUUAAUUUUUGAGUUUUAUAGGAUAAUUUGGAAAUUUAUAAAUUGUAGAUACAAUUUUUUUAUUGUUACUAACAUCUUUUAUUUUCUUUUUAGUUUCAGUGUAGGACUCGUAGUAGUGGAACAAUUAUAGAGCGAGUCACUGAUCUGGAGAGAAUAAUCUGUAGGAAUCGUCAAUAGCCAUAGCAGAUGCAAAACCAAUCACCUGUUGCAAGCAAUCUACCAUGCGAUAACUCAUUGUUAGAUGAGGUAAACUAACUUAACAUCCAAGACUUACCACCACCACCGCAAUUACCAGCAAACCCUUCGAUGGCAUGAGAAGAGCGAAACCUAAGGGAUUACGCACUACCAAAUCUGGUGAUGGUUCAAGGUAGCAUUACAAGGCCAACCAUUAUGGAAAAUAAUUUUGAAAUAAAAUCGACCAUGAUCUAGAUGAUCCAAAAUAAUCUGCAAUUCAGAGGAACCAUGACGGAUGACACAAAUCAACAUCUAAAACGGGGCCUUCAAUUUUGUGAUGCAUUUAAAUAUAACGGGGUCAUUGAUGAAGCUAUUCAUCUUCGGUUGUUUCCCUUAUCCUUGAUCGAUAUUCGUUUAAGUUAAAGUUAAAGUUAAUUUAGUAUUAGCCUUCCUUGGGUUUGAUCCUUGGAGUACUCACCUACUUCGUUGUAAAAACUAUAUUACAGCCUGACUCGUAUACUUGCAGACACCACCUCAAUUCCAUUCAUUUAGUUGCAAUAUUUACACUCUGGAUGUUAGUAUGUCCGGAGGCGGUCAAGUGUUUGGUGCCAUUGCCGAGGAGGCAACGCUACUGAAUUGAUUUUAAUUUUUUAGUUUUAUAGGAUAAUUUGGAAAUUUAUAAAUUGUAGAUACAAUUUUUUUAUUGUUACUAACAUCUUUUAUUUUCUUUUUAGUUUCAGUGUAUGGCUCGUAGUAGUGGAACAGUUAUAGAGCGAGUCACUGAUCUAAAGAGAAUAAUCUGUAGGAAUCGUCAAUAGCCAUAGCAGAUGCAAAACCAAUCUCCUGUACUAAUUAGAUAUAUAUUCGUUUAUGUUCAAGUUAAUUUAGUAUUAGCCUUCCUUGGGUUUGAUCCUUGGAUUACUCACCUACUUCGUUGUAAAAACUAUAUUACAACCUGACUAGUAUACUUGCAGACACCACCUCAAUUCCAUUCAUUUAGUUGCAAUAUUUACACUCUGGAUGUUAGUAUGUCCGGAGGCGGUCAAAUGUUUGGUGCCAUUGCCCUGGUGGCAACGCUACUAAAUUGAUUUUAAUUUUUGAUUUUUAUAGGAUAAUUUGGAAAAUUAUAAAUUGUAGAUACAAUUUUUUUAUUGUUACUAACAUCUUUUAUUUUCUUUUUAGUUUCAGUGUAUGUCUUGCAGUAGUGGAACAAUUAUAGAGUGAGUCACUGAUCUAGAGAGAAUAAUCUGUAGGAAUCGUCAAUAGCCAUAGCAGAUGCAAAACCAAUCACCUGUACUAAUUAGAUCUAUAUUCGUUUAAGUUCAAGUUAAUUUAGUAUUGGCCUCCCUUGGGUUUGAUCCUUGGAGUACUCACCUACUUCGUUGUAAAAACUAUAUUACAACCUGACUCGUAUACUUGCAGACACCACCUCAAUUCCAUUCAUUUAGUUGCAAUAUUUACACUCUGGAUGUUAGUAUGUCCGGAGGCGGUCAAGUGUUUGGUGCCAUUGCCGAGGAGGCAACGCUACUAAAUUGAUUUUAAUUUUUGAGUUUUAUAGGAUAAUUUGGAAAUUUAUAAAUUGUAGAUACAAUUUUUUUAUUGUUACUAACAUCUUUUAUUUUCUUUUUAGUUUCAGUGUAUGUCUUGUAGUAGUGGAACAGUUAUAGAGCGAGUCACUGAUCUAGAGAGAAUAAUCUCUAGGAAUCGUCAAUAGCCAUAGCAGAUGCAAAACGAAUCACUUGUACUAAUUAGAUCUAUAUUCGUUUAAGUUAAAGUUAAUUUAGUAUUAGCGCAAGCAAUCUACCAUGCGAUAACUCGUUAUUAGAUGAGGUAAACUAACUUAACAUCCAAGACUUACCACCACCACCGCAAUUACCAGCAAACCCUUCGAUGGCAUGAGAAGAGCGAAACCUAAGGGAUUACGCACUACCAAAUCUGGUGAUGGUUCAAGGUAGCAUUACAAGGCCAACCAUUAUGGAAAAUAAUUUUGAAAUAAAAUCGACCAUGAUCUAGAUGAUCCAAAAUAAUUUGCAAUUCAGAGGCACCAUGACGGAUGACCCAAAUCAACAUCUAAAAUGGGUCCUUCAAUUUUGUGAUACAUUUAAAUAUAACGGGGUCAUUGAUGAAGCUAUUCAUCUUUGGUUGUUUCCCUUUUCCUUGAUCAAUAAAAUUUUUUCUUGGUUAGAUUCGUAGGCUUUAGGAUCAAUCACGACAGGGAACGAACUUGCGAAAAAAUUUCUACAAAAGUUCUUUCCUAUUAGCAAAACUGUCCUACUAAGAAGAGAGAUCGCCACAUUCAAAAUAUUAGAAGGAGAAAGCUUUCACGAAGCUUAGGAACGCUUUAAAAUUUUGAUACAAAGAUGCCUACAUCAUGGUCUACCUGAAUGGUUAAAGCUGCAGAUAUUUUACAAUGAGUUGGAUGCACACACACGCUCAAGACUUGGUGGAGCCACAUGAGUAGCCUUAAUGAAUAAAAUAGAUGAAGACACGUAUAACCAGAUAGAAAACAUGGCGAUGGAUUCCUGCUAGUGGCUAAAUGAAAGAUAUACUUAUGACCAGAUACCAUCUAUGGUAAAAGUUGUCCAAGAGGAUGACUAAUAUCAAAAGAUUUUUGACAGACUCAACUAUAUAAAGUCCUCAUCUAGUAUGUCUUCAAUAUUUGGUAGAGAUAAACCUCAUAGCCAUUAUCUAAAUAAUCCAACCUAGGACGUGAACUAUAUUGAAAAUAGGGUCGAAACCCUUAUUCAAAUACUUAUAACCCCGAUGGAGAGAUCACCCAAACUUGAGAUGGGGUGGAAACCAGGGAGAAUGUAAUAGUUCUAACCUUGUUAAAAAUACUAAUUAUCAACCUAUAUAUCUAUAGAAGCCUCAAGAACGGGCUAGCUUGAAUGACCAUACUGUAUGUGGUCAAUGCCUGGAUCGAAUUGAGGGGGAGAUGCAAUCAAUGAAGAUAGAAGUAAAACUAGUGCAAUAUGAGUACACCAAUAAAAAAAACAUUGACCAAGCUUGAAGAUCAAAUGAGUGAAUUAAUGAGCAUGAUGGGAGACAUCAAAAAGUAAAUUGGCACCGACAUCCCAAGCAACACUGAGAAUAAUCUUAAGAGGGAAGGGAAAUAACACGUGAAAGUAAUUAUGCUCUAAUCGGGAAAAAUACUGAGUAGCCUAGAGAAUCCAAGUCAAAAGGAAAAUGAAGGGGGUAUCGAUGAUCUUCAAAAGGAAAGCCAUCAAGGAGCUAAUAAUGAGCCUGAACCAGAGAACGUAGCUGAGUCGGAAGCUCAGCCAACCAAAGAACACGAACUAACCAAGGUACCAUUCCUCUCAAGGUUAGAAGAUAAGCAAAAACAAGAUGACACAGAGUUUGUAAGUUUUCUAAACUUAUUCAAAUCUCUAAAUUUUAAUUUGUCCCUAAUUGAAUUGAUUGAAAAAGUUCCUAAAUAUGCUAAGCAUCUAAAAAAAUUAUGUCUAAGCGUAGGAAAAUUAAAAUAGGAGAGCAGGUUAACAUAGACGCAUCUUGUAGUGCGAUAAUAUCUAAACAUAUUCCGCCAAAACUAAAAGACCCAAGGAGUUUUACGAUUCUUGUAGAGAUAGGGGACAUUCACUUUAGUAAAGCUUUAUUUGAUUUAGGAGCUAGCAUCAAUUUAUGACCUUAUCAAUAUAUGAAAAACUCGGGUCAUGAGAACUUAAAAAUACACAAAUAACACUACAAUUAGCCAACAGGUCUUUAGUACAACCAGAGGGAGUACUCGAAUAUGUGUUGGUUAAGGUGCGUAACUUCAUCAUCCUAGCUGAUUUCGAUAUUUUAAAUUUUAAAGAGGACCGUGCCCAUUCUGUUGGGUAGACCGCUUUUAGAUACAUCGAGAUCCACCAUUGACUUAAAAAAUAAUGAGUUAAUAAUGAUGAUUAAUUGUGAGACUGAAAUUUUCAAAUGUGGUCACCAAAAUAAUGAGGUAAAUAGGGAAAGAUUAGGAAAGAAAUAUUUUGAAGUAUCUAAAAAAAUCCCUAACUACCUUGAGCCAGAAAAUGUGUUUUCUAUUAUAAAUGCAGGUUGAAAGUACAAAUUUAAAGAGUGUGAAAAACAUAGCAAGGUGGAGUGGCACGACGGAUGCUGGAUGAAUACCGAUAGAACAUGAACCAAAUAUGCAUCCAUAUAUAACUUGACGGAGCUGACGAAUGAAUCCGGCAGCAAAGCCUCACAUCUCUAGAACUGAUAUAAAUUUUGUAUAUUAUUGUACUUUAUUAGACCAACAAUUAGUUUAGAAUUUAAUUUGAUUCAAAUUAUCUUUAAUCUUAAACUGAGCACUUUGAAAAUUGAGAAGAGAGGUCAAAAUAGAUUCAGUGUUGUAACACGAAACCUUCAUGUCGCAACACUGAAACAAGAUUCAAUAAAUCGAGCAGUUCAGCUUGAUGUCGCAACACAACACCUCUGUGUCACAACAAAGAAGUCAGUAUAAGGCAAGAUAAAAAAUUUCAAAAAGCGUCGCAAUAUCGAACCCCGAUGCCACGACUUUGGCAUCUUGCCAGAGGUGUCGCGACAUGAAACCCCUAUGUAGCGACAUCGCUACAAUUUUUUGCAGGGUCAAACUUGACCCAUUACGCGACCUAGUAGCUUAAACUUAGUUUUAACCUAGAAUUUAACCUUAAAAUACCCUGAUUUUAAAACCUAAAAACACUUUUUGAAACCCUAAACCUCCUCUAAUUCCUAAACCUUUCAAAAACUUAAAAAUCUCUUAAACCCUAAAACCCUCUAUUCAGUAAUUUUUAUAUCUCUUCUUCUUUUUGUGAUUUCAUUUGGGUGCAAGAAAUAAAAAUAAAGUACCGACAAGACAAUCGCAACAAAAUCCCUUCGAGGAUUUUGAAAUUCUUUAUUAGGUUCAAGGUUCCAAACCAUAUUUUUACUGUUCUAUUGAAUUGUUCCAAUUUAUUGUGAAAUAAAUUGCUUGAUAGUAGUUGUCUAGUUAGGAAAUUUAUUGAAAAUGCCUCCAAGAAAAACUAGGAGAACUAACAAACUUGAAUAAUCAACGGUUACAAAGCCCUCUAAUUUCCUAAAUCAAAACGUUGAAAAAUAUUUUCUAGAACUUCGAGGGAAGACAUUUCUUCAAGAAUGGGAGUUUGAAUUAUCGAUGAGUCUAUGUCAGGAAAUAAAACCUCUGAUCUGAUAUCAUAGAUAGGAAAAAUUUUGCGUAAUCCCUAAAGACUCUGUUGUGGUUCUGGUAGUGCAAGAAUUUAAUGCAUAUUUAAAGGACCAAUAUUCUAGGAGACCAGAGGGUGCCACAUGGGAAACGAUCUCUGUACGUAGGAAGAAGGUAAGAGUCACCCUCGACCUACUUGUGAAUUUUAUAACGCUCUAUAUUACGAAAAUGAUUUUGUGGAAGAAAAUGAUUUAGAAUAUUUUAAAUAUAUAAAUAUGGAUAAUGCUAUAAAUCACUUAAUAUAGGGUAGGGGUGAAUGUAAAUGUUGCCUCGGUACUGAGAUUCCCACAUCCUUUAAUUAGGAAAUAAUGUUUCCUAUUGCAAAAAUAUGGAUACAGUUCUUAUGCACUCGAAUUGCUCGUGCACUAAAUGUCUUUAAUGUCAAUACCUUUCGAGCAGUUUUCUUGUAUGUUGUUUUGUAGAAGAAACAAGUGUUUAUUGGGACAUGGAUCUAUCAUUGCAUGAAACGAUGCAUUAGUGGUAAAAAGUCAGGGUUUUCUUCCCUAAUUAGUGACAACCUUGUGCAAGAGAGUCGACGUUCCAAUGACGACCAUUGAACAAUUUAUGAAUCCAUCCAGAAGUAUUAUAGGAGACACCUUUUACAUGCAGUACACAAAGCUUCAACAAAACCAGAUAAGGGAUUGGAACAAAAGAGAAGAUGGAUGUCCUGGCUUUGCUUAAAUGGUAAGAAAAAUUGACAUCUCAAUAAUAAAUUAGCGAGAGUAGCAAUUCAAAAUUGGAUUAGAUGAUAAAAUGGAUGCAAGAGACAAACCUAGUUUUUCAAGAAUUUGCGUGGCAGAAUAACAUGAGAGUACCAAACUACCCAUUGGAUAUGUUCGGCCCAAAGCACCCCAAGCCGGAAGGAAAUGAGGAAAGGGAAGAAAGUAAGGAUGAGGAAGGAGAAGAGGAAGGAAAUGAGAUGGAUUUUAGGAGGAGAAUGAUUGAACUCAAAACUUUUAAUUUCAUUUUUUUGGAUUGUAAUUAAAUUUGGAUAAUUUUUAGUUUAUUGUUUUAGGAGUAGGAUUAACAAUAGAUUUUUUUAUACUUGUUUUCUUUUUUGUUUCAAGUUUUCUUUGUAGGAACCCCACAUGAAAGAAGCACGACAAUUUCGAGCUUUUAAUGAACGAGGAAGGAAGCAACCCACCAUUAGACUACAAUAAUGUCACGAUCAAUCAAGUAACUUCUUUCCUUAUCAAUUCAGGGUUGCACAUUAGGGACAAUGUGCUAUCUAAAGUGUAAAGAAUAACAUAGGAAAUUUGUUUUUGAGUUUGAUGCUUUUCUUUUAAUUUUUCUUGUCAAAGUGUGCUUUAGCUUGUCAAAAUACAAGUGAUUGGUUAGGAGCAUGGACAUAAGUUGAUUGUGUUUACAAUAAAUUAGGCAUGAUAGUGGAUGAUUUUAAAAUUUCAAUUAUUAGACUACUAAGUUCUAUAUAUUACACUGUAAAUAGGGAUUGAGUAAUUGAAUAUACCAAAUUAUAUAGAAAAUACAAGAAAAUGAGCAUGUUAGUAUGUAUGAUAAAUAGUUGAAAUUUUGAUUGCUUGAUUGAUUAAAUUUAUGAAUAUUGAGAUAUUUAGGAUGAGCUAAGGCAUUCUUUGGUAUAAAUUCAGAGCCAAAAAACUAACCAUGUUUAUCAAUCCUUAGUACCUAUGCUGAGUUAGUAAACACUUCUUCAUGAACCUUAAUGCAAAACCUGAGCAAAAAGUAUUAAUUUGUAUUUACUCAUUUUAUUUGGUCUUGAAAUGCACGAAUUUAGACAUCCAAGCAUACGUAUUAAGGGUUAAGUAGAUAUAUCACGGUGGAUUUUGUAAAAACAGAGUGAAAUAGGAAAAACAAAUAUGAUAUAGUGACUAUAGGUUAGCCUAUAUGUGUGAAACAAAAGAAAAAAUUAGAAAGAAAAUCAUUACGAGUAGAAAAAAGUAUGUGAAAAACAAAAGCAUUUUGAGUGAGAUGUAUUGAAAAGGAUCAAAGGUGACAAAGUAACAAAAGUAGAAAAUCUCAAUCAUUAGUGCAUAAAAACUUGUGAGCUAGUUCUAGUGCUAUUAUGUUGUAACUUCCUAUGUGGAGAAAUAAGGAAGGUGAGAGAAGGAGAAAUAAGGUGAAAAAUGGGAAAAGGUUACUAAAGGAGGAGAAUAGGGAACAAUAUGAUGUCCCAAACUACUUUCGUGCUUGAAACUAUUUUGAUGCUUCCUGUUCUUGAAUUCCAUACCUACCCUAAGCCUCAGAAUGUUACAAGCCAAAAAUCUCUAUGUGACCUAGGUAAACCUAUUCAUGAAUUGACAUUGUAUUAAAUAAUUUGAAUAACGACUGUUUGUAUUUUGCUAGGAUAAUCAAAUUACUUGUAUGAUUUAUUGAUGGAUCCUUAUAUUUGAGGACCUUAUUGUUUGCAUACUUUGUAAUAUACUGAACUUAGGUGUUUGAUAUUGAAAGUGGUAAGUCCUUUACAUAUCGUGCCAGGAUUAUGUGUAGAUAUGAAUAUGCCUAAUUAUGUAAUCCAAAACCAAUCUUUGUAUCAUUUUUAGUUUUCCUUACUUGAGGACAAACGAUGAUUUAAGUGUUGGGGAGUUUGAUCUACUGUAAUUCGGUGUAGCAGAUUAAACUAGUUUUCAUGCUUAAGGAGCUUGAAGGUGAACAACUUUAUUAUGUUUUUAUUUAGUUUUUCUAUCUUAGCUUUAAAUUCAAUAAAAAAGUGCAUUUUGAGUCAUUUUAUGACAUUAGGGGCUGAAAGAGUCCUAAGGGUGGGCUAAUGUACUUAGUGAGUGUGUACUGUAGGACAUCAUUCAAAGGCAUAAUAGUUCAAGGUUGUUCGUCGUGCUACAGCAGGGGAAGUCUAAUGUCACAACAUAGGGAGCAGAAUACAAGAUUUCCAAUACUACCAUCGGUGUAGUGACACAACCAGAGUAUGUCGUGACACGUCCCUGAAGCCAAACCUAAAGCCCAAAGUAUACUGCCUUUAGUGUCUCAACACUAGCUCUGUUUGGGAGAAAUUACAAGUGAAGGCUGUUUUGGUCCAUACAACAUAUUUUUAUGUAAAAAUGGCAGUCAACCUACGGUAAGGAUGACGACCAACCCUAACUCUAUAAAUAGGCUAUUAGGCACUUGUUUAGGGAAAAAAUUCAUGGUUCAGAAUUUUCUCUGUAAUUAGUUUUCAGUUUUUCUUUCUUUUAGGCUUUAGAUUUAUUUUCAGUUAUUUUUGUUCGUGUUCUUCAAAGAAUCUAAUUUGUAGAUUCGACCAAACUCUUGUGGAUUUUGUGCUUCAUCAAUCAAUACAGAUUCAAGAUUCUUCUUAAACUAUAUUCUUGAUCUGUUAUUAAUGUUUAUUUAUUUUAUCAAGUAUAUGUUGUUUAUUGAUUUCAUGGGGAACUAACCCUUUUAUGGGAGGUUAGUGCGUGGAAGUGAGAUUAACUAAUUAUUAUAUAGGGUUUUCUUAGUGGGUUAGAUAUUUGGGAGAAGAAGAACUUAAACCCUGAGCCUGACUGUAACACCCCUAACCAAUAUUCGUCUCCAAAAUAGGGUUACAGAGCAUUACCGAAAGUUUACAUAUCAAACAAUCAAUUAUUCAAAAGAUUCAAAUCAUAUCAGAAAUUAUUGCGAAAUCAAUCAAUCAAUCUCAUACAUAUUGUCCCUUAUACAAUCCUUCGAGGCCCUAAAAACACUUUAGAAAUUAAUCAGGACUAAAUCGGGCACAUGUAGAAUUUUUGGGAAAAAGUUGAAAAUUUUCCAUACUGCAGGGGUCACACGGCCUUGUGGCCAAGCCGUGUGACUCACACGGCUGAGAGACACUCCCGUGUCUUAAGCUGUGUGGACAUUCGAAGUAGGGACACAUGGCCGUGUCCUAACCAGUGUAACUCUCUAGCUUGGGUCACACGGCCAAGCCACACGCCCGUGUGUCGGGCCGUGUAGCUCUCGAGAAAUUACACCAUGAGUAUUUCACAUUUUCCAAUUUAAUCCCUAAUUGACAUUUUCAACAAAAUUCACUUUACAAAAGUUGUUUAUCUAACUACAAAAGUUCAUUUUUUCCCAUUAAACAUCAAAACAACAUGUAUUCAUUCAUGGAAAAACCCUAGACCUUUAAUAGUUUUGCAAACUAGUCCCUGAGCUAGCUAGAUUAAGUUACAACGACUCUAAAAACAUAGAAAUCAUUACAAACGAGACGAAAAAUCAUACCAUGCAAGCUAUCAGAGAUGGCCGAAUGUUAAAGCUUAUUCAAUGGCUUUUCUUAAGCCUAAUUUCAGUUCAAGAUGAAAAUAGAAAGAUGAUGAUGACCUUUGUUUUUUUAAUUAUUUUACUAACAUGUAUUUAUUAAUUUACUAAAAUAACCUUAUAAUUAAACCUUUAAAAUUUCAUUUUUAAUGGCCAUAAUUGUCCACUAAAAAUAUAAAUGGUCUAGUUACAACAUAAACCAUUUAAACAUAUAAUUUCAUAGCUAUUAAAUCAUUUUAGCUUAUAGAACUGACGUUUUGCAACUUUUGCAAAUUAGUCCUUUUUACCGAAUUAAGCAUGCAAAUGGUAAAAUUUCUUAACGAAAUUUUUAUACAAUAAUACUAGCAUGUUGUAGACAUUAAAAUAAUAAUAAAGUAAAUAUUUUCACGUUGUAUUUGUGAUCUCGAAACCACUAUUCUAAUUUCACUAAAAACAGGCUGUUACAACUAUCCCCCUAAAGGAAUUUUCAUCCUCGAAAAUCUUACCAGAAAAGAGGUUCGGAUAUUGUUUUCUCAUAGCUUCUUUCGGUUCCCAGGUGGCCUCCUCUAUACUGUAUCGUUGCCAAAGAACCUUUACGAAAGCUACUUUUUAGUUAUCAAUUCUUUAAUCUCUCGAGCUAAGAUUCUGAUCGGUUCUUCACUAUACAACAAAUCAGGCUAAAUCUAAUAUCUACUGGUGAAAUAACAUGCGAAGGGUUUGAUCGAUAUUGUCGUAACAUUGAUACGUGAAACACAUUAUGAAUCUUUUCUAAAUCCGACGGAAAAGUUAAAUCAUAAGCUUCUGGAUCGAUUAUUUCAAUAAUCUCAUACGACCUGAUAAAUCACAGACUUAACUUUUCUUUACGAUCGAAAUAAAGAACUUUCUUCUAAGGCGAUACUUUCAAGAACACUUUACCGCCGACUUGAAAUUUAAAUUCUUUACAUUUUAAAUCCUCAUUUAAUCGAUCUGAAGUUGCUUUCAAACUAUCACAGAUUACUUUAAAUUUUUCUUCCGUCUCUCGAAUCAAAUCAACCCAGUGAAUCUUUUUCUCAGUGAGCUUAGUCCAAUACAAUGAAGUUCAACACUUACGACCAUACAAAGCUUCUUAUGGUGCCAUCUUUAUGCUUGAUUGAUAAUUGUUAUUGUAUGCAAAUUCAAUUAGCAAUAAAUAUUUUUCCCAAUUACCUUCCAAUUCUAACACAGAACAUUGAAACAUAUCAUUGAGUAUCUGAAUUACUCGCUCGGACUGAGCAUCGGUCUGGGAUAAAAUGAAAUGCUAAAAUGUAAACACGUACCUAGAGCCUUCUGUAACUUGCUCUAGAAUCGUGAAGUAAAACACAUAUCUUUUUUUGAAAUAAUGAAAACUAGCACCUCGUGCAAUCUGAUAAUCUCAGCAACAUAUAGUUCGACUAAUCUCUCAAGAGAAUGAUCUGUAGAAUCGAAAUAAAAUGUGCAGACUUCAUCAGACAGUCAACAACAACCCAAAUUGCAUCUUUCUUUCUCAGAGAUAAGGGUAAUCCAGAUACAAAAUCUAUCGUGACUAGCUCCCAUUUCCAUUCCAGUAUCAUCACAGGCUGUAACAAACUAGAAGGUACCUAGUGUUCAGCGUUAACUUGCUGACAGAUUAAACAUCUCAAUACAAAGUUAGAAAUCUCUCAUUUUAUACCCAGCCACCAGUACAUUAGUUUCAAAUAACUGUACAUCUUAUUGAUACUAGGAUGAACAGACAAGUUAACACUAUGAGCUUCAUGCAAAAUCUUCUGAGCGAUCUCUGAAUUCCUCGGUACGCAAAUUCUACCUUUGAAAAGUAAAUAAUCAUCGGAUCCAAUCUGAAAAUAUUAAUCAGGAGUUGACUCAAUCUGUUUCGAUUUAGUUAAUAACACAUCAUCACAUUUCUGAGCCUCACAAAACUAUUGUAAAAACAUCGAUGUAGCUUUCAACUCAGGUAAAAUCGAACCAUCAUCGGACAACAUUAAUGGCAUAUUCAAUACUGGCAAAGCAAAUAAAAAAUUUCUACUCAGAGCAUCAGCAACUACAUUCGCUUUACUCGGAUGAUAAUCAAUGAUCAAGUCAUAGUUUUCAAUAGCUCGAGCCACCUGCGUUGUCUUAGGUUCAAAUCUCUUUGCGACAGUAAAUACUUCAAACUUUUAUGAUCUGGAAAGAUGUGACAUUUUUCGCCAUAGAAAUGGUGUUGCCAAAUCUUCAACGCAAACACAAUAGCUGCCAAUUCUAAAUCGUACGUCGGAUAAUUCUUUUCGUACGGCUUUAACUGUCUAGAAGCAUAAGCUAUCACUUUGCCUUCCUGCAUCAAAACACAGCCUAAACCUUUAAAAGAUGCACUGCUGAAAAUCACAAAUUCUUUACCUGAUUCAGGUUGAACUAACACCGGUGCCUCGAUCAACAAUGAUUUUAACUGAUUGAAACUUGUCUGGCAUUUCUCAGACCACUCAAAUUUCAUAUCUUUUUGCAAUAAUCUCUUCAUUAGCGUAGCAAUCAUUGAGAAGUCCUUGACGAAUUUUCUGUAAUACCCGACUAAUCCUAGAAAACUUCUAACUCCAGACGCGUUUCUUGGAGGUUUUUAGUCAACAAUAGUUGAAAUUUUUCUCGGAUCGACUCUGAUGCACUCAAUUGAUACAAUAUAUCCCAGAAAACUGACUUUCCGAAGCCGAAAUUCACAUUUGCUAAACUUGGCAAAUAACUGUUUUUCACACAAGGUUUGUAAUACAAUUCUCAAAUGCUCAGCAUGCUCAAUCUCAUCUCUAGAGUAAAUCAAGAUAUUACAAAAAUUCAAAAUGUUUGUACCUGGUCGUGAAUACAGUUUUCGACAUAGCAAAGUCUUUAACUCGCAGCUGAUGAUAACCAGAACGAAGAUCAAUUUUCGAAAAUACUGUUGCACCUUUCAAUUGAUAAAAUAGAUUAUCAAUUCGCGGUAAUGUAUACUUAUUCUUGAUCGUAACUUUCUUGAGCUGGCGGUAGUCAAUACAUAAUCUCAUUGAUCUGUCGUUUUUUUUAACGAAUAAAACAGGUGCACCCUAAGGUGAAAAACUAGGUCAAGCAAAACCCUUAUCUGGCAACUCUUGCAACUACACUUUCAACUCUUUCAACUCAGUAGGAGCCAUUUUGUAAGGAGCUAUUGAUAUCGGUGAGGUUCCUGGUACUAACUCAAUGGAAAAUUCAAUUUCUCUAAUCGGUGAUAACUCGGGUAACUCCUCUGGAAACAUAUCUAGAUACUUGCAUACCACUAGAACCGAUUCUAUCUUCAACUUAGAAACUCUAGAACCAAAUACAUAUGCAAGGUAUGCAUCACAGCCUUCUCUUAGGCAUCUUUGUGUUGAUAUAGCCAAAAUAAUAAUAGGCAACCCACUCAAACUAUUCGAUUCAAGCUGAAGCUUUUCACCGUUCUGACACUUUAAUACAAUAAGCUUUCGUCUACAGUUCACAAUAUCAUCAUGCAGAGUUAGCCAAUCAAUGCCAAAAAUCACCUCAAACUCAUCAAAUGGUAAUAGCAUCAAAUUAGCCAGAAAUUUAUAACCUCGAAUCAUCAAAGGACAAUUCUUGCAAACCACAAAUUUAGUGGACUCAAUAGGUAAAUUCUUACUUGAUACUACAUUCGUGCAUAUAUACGAAUGGGUUGAUCCCGGAUCAAUCAAAGCAGUAACAUCAAUAUCAAAGAUAGAAAAAGUAUCAGUAAUAAAUCUGACGCUGAAGCUUCCUCUCGUGCACAGAUAGCGUAAGCUCUAGUUGGUGCUCGUGCCUCAGAUCUCACAGUAGAGUCUUUUAUUCCAACAUGCCUAUUACUCGUAUUUCAAGGAUUACGAGGUGGUCUACCUCUCGUAGCAGUGUUACUCGGUCAAUUAGUUUGAACCUUUUCUUUCUCUGACUUCUCUAGACAAUCUCUUAGAUAAUGUUUAAAUGAACCACGCCUGAAACAUGCCCCGUUCUUCAAUCUACAAUCACUGAAGUGUCAUGCAUUACAUUGCUUACAUUCAGGCCUGUUGUCCUUGACACUACCCACACUCACUAUAGACUAGCCUGAGCUUUGGACUCGAAUGCUAUUUACCUCUAUCACUUGUAGAACACACCACUGAAGGUGUGGAAUGGUUGUGAUGUUCCUUCGAUCUCUUUGAUGAUGACUGAUAUUACUUUCCAGUUGAUAUCUUUCUCAAAUCUCUAGCUUCAAAAUCAGCUUUUCUCUUUUCUUUGCUAAGCUCAUCGGCUUUAUGUGCUCGAUCAACUAAAAACAACAAUUUCUUUCAAUUCAAGUAUCCUGACUAAAAGCUUUGUAUCUUCAUUUAACCCUUCCUUGAACCGCUUACACAUAGCAACCUCGGUUGGAAUACAUUCUCGGGCAUAUUUGCUCAAUCUGACAAAUUCUCUUUUGUAUUCAGAAACUAACAUACGACCUUAUUUAAGCUCAAGAAAUUCUUUGCGUUUCUGAUCAAGAAAUCUUUGACUCAUAUAUUUCUUUUGGAACUUGAUUUGGAAGAAUUCCAAACCAUACGCUCUCUGGGCACAAUUGAAAUCAAUGUGCUCCACCAUUGGUAAGCUGAGUCUUUAAAUAGAGAUAAAACACAUUUAACACACUCUGCUGGUGAAUAAGAUAACUUGUCAAAAACCUGAAUCGUAUUUUCUAACCAAAAUUUUCCUCUCUCAGGAUCAUCUUCAGCGGUAGCUUUAAAUUCUUUAGCCCCAUAUUUACAAAUUUUUUGUCCAUACAAACUCGGUAAACCAUUCGUUCAUCAUCUAGAAGAAGGCUUUCUUAGCCUCUCCUCCUUAGCCCUCAAAUAAGGGCCUUGUACCGUUCGACGCUGCUCUAUGAACGGAGGCUAGUGCAUUACUCUCAACUUCAUCGGAGUCAGUUCGGUUGGAUGACAUUACUAUAUGAAAACAUAUUUCAAAACGAGUUAGGAGUUAUCACACUAUCACAAGUUAUAUAAUGACAUGUAUUUCUAGACUCACACACGCUAUGUUCAGUUUGAGAAUCGACUAAAUCGUAGCUCUGAUAGCAAUAAAUGUAACACCCCUAACCCGUAUCUGUCGCCAAAAUAGGGUUACAGAGCAUUACUGAAAGUUUACAUAUCAAAACAAUAAAUUAUUGAAAAUAUUCAAAUCAUAUAAGAAAUUAUUGCAAAAUUAAUCAAUCCCAUAUUCAAAAGAUUCAAAUCAUAUAAUAAAUUAUUGCAAAAUCAAUCAAUCUCAUGCAUAUUUUACCUUAUAUGAGCCUUCAAGGCCCUAAAAACACUUUAAAAAUGAAUCAGGACUAAAUAAAAAACAUAUAGAAUUUCUGGGAAAAAGUUGAAAAUUUUUCAUACUGUAGGGGUCACAUGGCUGAGACACAUGCCUGUGUCUUAGGUCAUGUGGACAUUCAAAGUAGGGACACACGGCUGUGUCCUAGCCCGUGUUUGUCCCCAUGUAACUCUCUAACUUGGGUCACAUGGCCAAGCCAAACGCUCAUGUACCUCUCAAAAUGGCCUCACACGCCCGAGUGCUAGGCUGUGUAACAGCCUGGCUUACAACCCUUUGUAACCUACAAGGGACACACGGCCAUGCCGCAUGGCCGUGUGUCAUACGCGACUGAGACACAUGCCCGUAUCUUAGGCUGUGUGAACGAAAAAUAGGCCAUUUUCAAGCCAUUUUCCUCACCCAAAACAUGACCACUUAUACAAGCCAUAAGCAUCUAUUUUCAAGCAUCCAAAAUGCUAAAAUAUCAACAAUUAUAAGACCACAUAUACAUGACAACAUAACAACUAAUCCAUUACCUAAAAUACCUUAUUUACAAACUAAACAUAAUGGCUAUUUCAUCAAGCACAAAACACAUAUACACACAAUUAUAACCAUGACUUAAAAACAUCAAAAGCUAUCGAUAUAGCUGAUGGAUAGUGUGAUAGGUCUCCGACAAGUUUCCAACCCGAACGAGCUUCUGAUUCACUAUAAGACAUGUAAAGUAACACGAAGUAAGCAUACAAUGCUUAGUAAGUUUGUAUAUCAUAAAACUUAACUUUCCAUGUCUUAACAUAACAUUAAAAUUUUGCAUGGCAGAACCCAACCAAAAGCUUGCUCGAAGCCUAAGCAUCAACACAAACAUGUUAGCAUACUUGAACAUAAAUCAUAGGAAAUUUAACAUGGAUGACCAUUAAACUUAAACAUGAAUCAAUUGGAUUUUUCAUCCAUCUCAACAUAACAUAAUUUCCAUGUAUCACCAUUUCAGUGAAUUUCAUUUAUACAUGCUUUAGUUCAUAUUGAACUCUUACCAUUUCCUUUCAAACUCAUGCCCGUUGAACUGAUUAGAAUACCAUUGGGUAGAUGGGAUAGCUCACACAAAGUGUGCAAACAUAUAACCGUAGUUCGUACUUUCCUUUACAUGCUUACACGAGCUAUGAAAAGAGUAUGCUCACACGAGUCAUCACACGAGCUGUGAAAAUGGGUCUACUGACUCGAGUCAGAAUAUAGCUACAUGGUGCUGCUUCACAAGCUUUCGAGUAUUCGCAAAAAAUGCCGAAACUUAGCCACCGAUAGGACAUUCAAGACCAACAAGAAACAUGUAAACCUUUAUGACAUGUCAUUUGUAUCCUAUGAAUUCUUAAGGUUCAAACGGGGCUCAAUAAUCAUCGUAACAUCGUUGGAUAUGCAAAAAUUAUUUACAUGGCAGUCCACAGCACAUAUAUAUUUCAAUAAUAAGCAUAUAAGCAUUAUGCAUUACAUGAAAUUACCUCGACGAUAAAAUGUAGAUACGGAGUCAAUUAGUUCGAAACUUUAUCUUUGGCCCGAUCGUUGCCAAAGAACCUGUACUAAAGCUAUGUUUUUAUUUCACAAUUCUUUAACCUCUCGAGCUAAGAUUCUGAUCAGUUCUUUGCUAUACGACAUAUCAGGCUGAAUUUAAACAUCUACUGGUGAAAUAACAUGUGAAGGGUCUGAUCGGUAUCGUUGUAACAUCGAUAUGCGAAAUACAUUAUGAAUCAUUUCUAACUCUGGCGACAAAGUUAAACGAUAAGCUACUGGCUUGAUUCUUUCAAUAAUCUCAUGCGAUCAAAUAAAUCAUGGACUUAGCUUUCCUUUACUACCGAAACGAAGAACUUUCUUCCAGGGCAAUACUUUCAAGAACACUUUAUCGCCGACUUGAAAUUCAAUGUCUUUACAUUUUAAAUUCAUAUACGAUUUCUGUCGAUCUGAAGCUGCUUUCAAACUAUCAUAGAUUACUUUAACUUUUUCUUCCAUAUCUCAAAUCAAAUCGACCCCGUGAAUCUUUUUCUCACUGAGCUCAGUAAAGUACAAUGGAGUUCAGCACUUACGACCAUACAAAGCUUCAUACGGUGCCAUCUUUAUGCUUGAUUGAUAACUGUUAUUGUACGUGAAUUCAACUAGUGAUAAAUAUUUUUCCCAGUUACCCUCCAAUUAUAACACACAACAUCAAAGCAUAUCCUCUAGUAUCUAAAUUACUCGCUUAGACUGACCAUCGUUCUGUGGAUGAAAUGUAGUGCUAAAAUGUAUAUGCGUACCUAGAGCCUCCUGUAACUUGCUCCAGAAUAGUGAUGUAAAAUGUAGAUCUCUAUUUGAAAUAAUGGAAACUAGCACCCCGUGCAAUCUAACAAUCACAGCAACAUAUAGUUCGGCUAAUCUCUCAAGAGAAUGAUCUGUAGGAAUUGGGAAUAAAAUAUGCAGACUUCGUCAGACGACUAGAAACAACUCAAAUUGCAUCUUUCCUUCUCGGAGACAAGGGUAAACCCGAUACAAAAUCCGUCAUGACUCGCUCUGAUUUUCAUUCCGGUAUCAUCACUGGCUAUAACAAACCAGAAGGUACUUGAUGUUCAAUUUUAACUUGCUGACAUAUUAAACAUCUAGAUACAAAGUAAAAAAUCUCUCGUUUCAUACCCGGCCACCAAUGCAUUAGUUUCAAAUCACUAUACAUCUUAUUGCUAUCAGGAUGAACAGACAAGUUACCACUACGAGAUUCAUGCAUAAUCUUCCGAACAAUCUCUGAAUUCCUCGGUACGCAAAUUCUGCCUCUAAAAAGUAAACAAUCAUCGAAUCCAAUUUGAAAAUUUGAAUUAGGAGUCUACUCACUCUAUUUGAAAGACUAAUAUGUUGUCUAUCAAGUACAAUUGAGGAGAUUCUUUUUCAUGGGCAUCAGAGUGGAUGACUCCUAGAAAAUAGAGACAUAGAUGUGACUGACUGGACUUAUAAUACAAUGGCCUAGACCGAAGAAGGAUAGAUUCUGAUUUUGUUUAUGGAUUUAUUCACUUGUGACAUUUAUAGUGUGACAUACCUAAAUUUUGAGUAGAUGAAGGAUUAUGUACAUGUGACUUGUACACUUUAAUGUAAGGAAAAGUUUGAGUUCGAAUAGAUAAGGAACCAAAAGUUGAUGUGUUGGGUGUAAAAAUUCUUUAGUAUGUAGCGUAAAUCAUAACAGUGGAAUUCAUAGCCCAAAACAUGUGUCAAUGAUAUCCUUUCAUUAGCAUUACAUGGUUUAUGAAAAGUAAAUGUGGCCACGGGUCAUCUGUCUUUAUGAUGGAUGACUUGAUCAAUAUUUGAUGGUGAUUGACUUUUCAUGAAAGAAGAUGUAAUGGUUAAUUACCAUGAGAUAAAAUAGGAUCAUAUUGGUAGAUUGGAUAUUAUCCCAAAGAGAUCAAGGAUAUCCUACGAGGGUAACAUACUUAUGACAAGGUUAUUAGACAAGCAAUGAGUAGAUGAUUUCGUAAUGAUAUGUCGUUAGGGAGAGUUCAGUCACAAUACUAUAGUGGGAUGACUUCGUGACUAAAUGAGUUUAUAAUUAAUAGGUGAAAAGUCAGAACUUAAUUAUAAAUAAUUUGAAACCUAAUUACAUAUGUCCUAUUGGUCCCUCUGCAAGCUCGUUGGAACUAGAAAUGAAUUGAGAGUUUGAAUAGAAAUGAACAAAAUGAAUAAGAAAAGAAAAGAAGAAAACGUUUAGGAAUGAUUAUAGUUUUUUCCAAAAUGAAAAAUGGAAUCAUAUUGAAAUGAAUGUAGGUUUUCAAAAAUAGAAAUGGAAAUAAAAAUGAUCCAUUUGUAAUUCUCUAUGAAUUACUUAAAACUGAUCGAAAGAAUGAGUUUAUGUUUUAGAGUUGUUUUGAAGCCCAAAAAUAAAAAUAAAUUAUUCAGUCAUAGUGAACAUGUUGAGUUUUGAAAUAUUAAACAUAUUUUCUCAAAAUUUUACCAGGGGUAAAAUCAUCAAAAUUUUACUGGGGGUAAAAUCGUCAAAAUUUACCGAGGGUAAAAUUGUCAAAAUAUUAUUGGGGGUAAAAUAGGGAUGAAAAAAUUGUUUAAUAUAGAAUAGUAAUGUUUAUUUUAGAAAAUAGAUAAAUAUGUAUUGGGUUAGAUUAAAUUUUAAAGUAUCGGGUUGAAAGUCCAUAAAUCACAUAUAAUUAGGCCCAAUACAAUGAGAGGCCCGAAUCCCAUCAUAAUACAUACAAUGAGAGGCCCGAAUCCCCACUCCCUCUCUUAGUUGGACUAGGAAGUUGGUUUUCUAUUUGAAAUAGACCUUUACAAUUCAAGAAGGGUUCUAUAUUCACUCCUUAUAAAUAGAUGACAUUGGUAGAGCUAUUUAAAUAAUUUUGAGAGAUUGUUAAUCUGCCGAAAAAUAGAGAGAAUUUAUUCUCAACUAUUAAAAUUAUUUGUUGAAAAUAACAAUUCUACCAAUUUCUAUUAAAGAAGAGAGAAUUUCAUUUUCACCCCAGAUAAAAGAGAGAAAACUUUUUCUAGUUCUGUUUUCAAUUCAAUUGGUUCGAAUCCACACUUAAAGCAGUUCAUGGUACGAGAAUAGUGGAGAAUAUCGUUUGGUUGAAAUUCGGGAAUGAAUGUCCGCCUAGCUGAAAACACAUGUAUGAAUUAAAUUAUGGUUUAUUGCUAUAAAUAUCACAAACCCGGUCGAUUUUUAAAAUUUUAAUUUUUCAAUGUGUAAGAAAACCAUUUUCAAACUGGAUUUUUUUUCCAAAAUUUGGUAUCAGAGUCAGGUUGUGCUAUGUUUAUGGUGUAAACCGAGACCAAAUUUCUCUUUUAAUCUUAUUUGAUUAAUAUUUGAUAAGAUGUGACAUUCUUGUAAUUAUUCACAUGUUUAGGAGAAUGUAUGUGAAUGAAUGUGAUUAUAUAUAUUUUUAUAUAAUAAUUAUUUUUUUGCCAAGGUUGUGGUUAUUAGGAAAUAGACUAUGGACUAUCAUUUCUAUGUAGGAUUAUUUUUUUAUAUAGAUUUUUUGUGAGCCGAAAAUGGACAUAGGAUAUAAAUGUUUUUUUUUUCAAAAAAGAGUCAAUGACGAGAAAAAGAUGGAGUGAUGGCGGUUGAAGACCCAAGAAAUUUCUUGUGGUGAAAAAUUGUGUAAUCUUGUUUUUCAUUUAUUUUCUAUAAAUAGAACUGUGGAAACCUUUGCUGGCAAUUUUAUUUUAUUACUCAUCUCCUUAUAUAUCUACUUAAUAAUUGUUAAUUUGUAUGAGCUGAUCCACAAUUGAUCAAUUAAAGAUAAGAAGUAUGGUAAUUAGAAGAUGGAUGUCUAGGAUUAGAUUUGGCAAUGAAAGGCUUGACUUUUAAGCGGUCGAAUACGAUUCACCUCCCUUUGUUGGGACCCAACCUAGUGCACGAUUCACAUUCACUUCUUCAUUUUUUCCCUUAAAAGGAAAAUUAUGGAAAAUCAAAAUUGUUAAUUCUUAUGAAAAAAUAAAUGUGCAUAUAUUGUAAAAUUGUCAUAACAUGUCAUAUAUGAGAUAAUCAUGCCAUAUAGUUUAGGAAAGAAUGCCACAUAUACUUGUCAUGCAUAUAUUGAUCAUUCAUGAUUGAAACAGGAAAUAAAAAAUCUUGCAUGUUUUUAAAAUAUUGAGUGGGAGAAGGUCCCUAAACAAGAACCACGACCUUCUUCAAUGGUCUCUUGUGAUGACAUGAAAUGGACCUACCUUAAUGUAGACAUUGUCAUGCGAAUUUCACUAAGGAGACUUCCUGAAAGUAAGAGAAAUUUUCUUAUCAUCAUAUGAUAAUUGGAUCGACCCCUGUGGUAGGUAUUAUCAUGUAAUACAUUAAGAAAUUCAUUUUUCAAAGAGGACUGCUAGUCACAGCAUGCUACUCAGUGAGGUUGUCCCGAGAGGACUCAUUUGUGGUGCAUGAUGCGAUAGGUGUUGAGUUGAUGGUUAUACACUCAAGAUCAUCUAGUUAAGUAACUCCGCAAAGAGCUAUGCUUAGGUUAGAAUGAUGGCCAAACAUUACAUGAUUAUUAGUACGUAUGAAUGCCUAAGGAAUUAGGUUCAUGUACUAAUUGGAUGAAAAGUCAUGUUCUUACUAGUUGAUCAUGAUCACUCCAAGGUGGCCUGAUUCAAUGGGUGUAGGGAUUAUCGUUGCAAGGACUUACAAAUGUUUUCAAGGUUUAAUGUAAGACGCAUACAUCAUCUUAAUACAUAUCGUAAUGUUGGAAAACAUUUUCAAACAUUUGUUUAAUACAAAGAUAUUAACAUAUGAAUGUUUUAUUUCCAGUUCAUAAAUGACACCAACUCCCUUAUUGAACAUACUCACCAAAAACAAACUGAAUGGAAACAAAUAUAGGAAUGGAAAAGGAACUUGAUAAUUGUCCUGAGCUAUGACAAACUUAAAACAAUUCUUGAUAAUAAGUGUCCACCGACCACUCAAGCUGAGGCUAGAAAAUGUCAGGAGGAGUCUAAUGAGAUAACUCAUUGCUAUAUGUUGACAAGCCUGACCAACACCCUAUAUAAGUAACUAGAGAGUUGUAAGACUACCGAAGUGAUUCUGGAUAAGCUAGAAGACAUGUUCAGAGGCCAAGUUGCCUUGGCUCAAUAUUCUGCUAUAACUAGCUUGAUGAAUACCCAACAAAAUCCUGACAUUCCAGUCAAAGACCAUAUGAUUACUCUUAUGGGAUACUUUGUCGAGCCCGCGGAUAAUGAGGCCAAUUUGGACUAAAACACUUAGAUUGAGAUGGUGUUUGACUGUUUCUAGAUGUACUAAUGUCUAAAGUGUUAAUACUACUACCAAAUAUAUAAGUUAGGCAACUUCCGCAAUUAUACGGGGUAUGUUGUAAUAUAGUUUGUUUACAACGAAACCUUUGGUAAGUAUUUCAAGGAUCAUACCCUAAGGAUUGCAGUUUGGGGAAAACGGCUAUUAAGUCAAUUACCGAAAAUAACUACUAAUCUACCCGAGUCACAAAUUAGUAGUGUUAAUCUGGAAGCAAGAUGAUAAUAAUAACACUAAAUUAAAUGAAUUGAACUAAACCUAAAUCUACUCCUAAGUUCAUGUAUCGGUUUCGCCUAUUCCUUUUUUCGACUAUACGAGUUCCUUUAGCCUAGAUCCAAGUGUUUUACCCAAUUAACUAUUGAUGAAAGGUUCAAAAUAAUUGGUAACUUAUUAACCUAGCAGGGCGUCUCAGCCUUCUACUAACCUAACUAGUCGAUAAGAACUACUCACGUCUUGAUGACACAGUUUAGACUAAGGAAGGGUAAGCUUUUCACGGAUAGACAAUAACGAUUUUAGGUUAAUUCCCACGUAUAUGAUUUCUUAGGGUUGUCAAGCCUAUGGUUUAAGUUCGUCAUUCCUUAACCAUUGAUCUACUAAGUGAUGCUUGGUAGGAAAUACUGAUUUCGGGUUAAUUCCUACAUAGAUGACUUCCUAGGGUCAUCAGUUCUAGGGUUUAAUUACUCUCAACUAGAUCCAACCAAUCCAAAUUGAACUCUAAUUGUCAAUCAAUUAAUUAGAUAAAAAUAGUUGAAACAUGCAAAAUAUGUAUAAAGCAUCAAUUGAUUCUAAUCUUUACACAAACAUUAAAUUACAAUGUUAAAGAAAGAAAUAUAAAUAAUAGAAUAAAUGAAAGAGAUGCUCAUGGAUUUAUCGAUGAAAGCGUGGCUUCGAAACAAUCUUCGCUCACGAAAGUCUCACUUCAGAAUGGAAUCUUCCAAUUAUAAGAACAUAUAAUAAACUAAGUAAAAACUAAAAACGAAAUAAAAAAUUAAGAAUCAAUCCCUCAAAAAAUGUGUGCUUAAUCUGAUUACAAUAGCCAUUAUAUAGGCUAUCCUUGGAAUAUUAAAGUGCCUAAAAUAUUCUUGAAGUACUUAGAUUUCAACUAGGAAAAAGAUUCCUAAUUGGUCUAAAAACGCAGAUUUCAUGUGCAACAUAGGUCUGUGGUGUUGCAACAUCAGACCUAGUGUCGUGAUAUAGCAGGGACAUGUAGUGACAUAGUAGGGACAUGUCACGACAUAGCAUGCAGUUCUGCUCUAGAACUUGUUUUUGCUUCUGUCUUUGAUGUUGCGACAUCGAUGUCUUGGUGCCGUGACAUAGGUAGUAGUUUUGGCCUGAAUAUGCGUCUUUAACUUCUGAUUUUUCCUACAAGACCAUGUAACCUUAUUUAGAUAUCUAAGAUGUAACAAAAACUACUUUAAGCAUGAAAACCUAAAUAUAUACUAAGAUGCUUUGAUUUACUAUUAAACAAGCUACAAUUAUGUGUAAAAGGGGAUAUAAAUAAUUGUGUAAUUCAUGGCAGAUCAGUGUUCAAGAGCUUGUCCAAUGAGUUUCCAAGCUUUUAGGCCGCAUAUAACCUUGGGAACAAGAACUUGACACUUACACAACUCAUGAAAGAGAUAUAAUCCUAUGAGUUGAUGUUCAAUUGUGGUCAGCUCAUCUAAAAAGUAGAAGCGAACAUAUCCAUCACUUUUUCCUCAAAAGGCAAGGGAAAGUGUGCUAAGGAAGGAAAUGUUAAGGUCUCUAGGCCACCACAAGUGAAAAGGAAAGAACUAGGAAGCCUAAAUACUUAUCUAAAUCCAAAUGCUUCUUUUUUAGUAAGAAAGGGCACUUCAAGGUGAAUUGCAAAGAGUGGAAAGAAUACCUAGCAACCAAAGGCAAAUAUUUGGAACUCUUUAUGAUAGAAGCUUGUUUAGUGGAGGAUUCAAUAGACCACUAGGUCAUUGAUUUAGGAGACACUUAUCAUGUUGUUGUUUCUCUACAGGGGUUCGAGGGGAAAAAAAAUCUUAGACAUAAAAGCUUAUUGUUACAGACUAGGAAUGGGACAAGCGUGGCUGUAACCCCUAUACUUGGCAUGGUCGCCAAGCCCAAAUAGGGGAUGCCACACCACCAUCUUAUAUCAUAUACAACAACUAAAUGUUCAUUUUAAACGAAGCAUCUUCUAUUUUAGUAUUCGUGAAGGUUUUAAGCCACUCAAACUUGAUAGUUAUCAUUGUUUCAUGCAAAUCUUACAAUAAUUAAUCUUAUAAAAAUUUUAUAAUAUGCACAAGGUCCAUUUAGUAGAAUUUCCAAAACAUGUUCGUAGGUAUCGGUACUGGCACUAGGGUAUUCUUUAUUUUCUCUAAGUGGUAUUGAUACCACCUAGAAAAACGAUACCAAACUUGUGUUCUAUUUGUCGAUUAAAAAUCCAAAGUCUCAAAAAUUAUCGAUACCUAUCAUGAAAUAUCAAUAUUUUAACCCUGAGUAUCGAUACUCGAGCAUAUGUGUCAAUAUCAAAUCUCUAUUCUAACUUCCUACAUGUUUCAAGCAUAAAAGUAUCAAUUUUUAAAACUCGAUUAUCGAUACCUCUGCUUCAGACUUCAAAAAUGCAGAAUAAAUAUGCAAUUAAUCCAUUCCACUUUAGUUCCUAAACAUCAUACAUCAAUUACUUCAACAAAUAAUCAUUUAAUGACCUAAUUAACAUUUCAAUAUCACAGAAUUAUGUUUGAGCAAGAAACAUCAGUCCAUCCUCAUAUUCAUGAACCCAAGCAUAUCAAUAACAUGUAAUCCUUAUAAACUGAACCAAAAACCAGUAUAAUGUCUAAAAGUUAACAUGUAAUAAAUAAGUCUACCACAUUGCCUUUUUCCCAAAAUGUAAAUAAAUAAAGAACACCUACAGAAUAAUACCAACUGGGUUGGAUCACCUCUCAAAAAACCACACCGCUCAUACCAGUACUUUACUACUCUCCAAAGGUUUUAAGAAAGGAGUUGGUGAGCUUAACAAGCUCAGUGAAUUCCUAGAACAAACUACCAUGCAAACAAUUCAUCAAGCAUCAACGAAACAAUCAUAUAGCACAACCUCAUCAGUUCCAGCUCUAGUGUCAUAUUAUACUUACUUAUGCAUUAUUUACUAGUUCAUUUACGUAGUAAUCAUAUUCACUUUUAAACAUGUAUCACAUUACACAUAUAAUUACAUAACAUUUAAAAAUAUAUCACAAUACUAAAAAAUGUGUUUAUAGAUAAAUUGCAUAAUGGUCGCGUAUCAUAUAAACAUAUAACACAAUACAUACAUAUUCAUAAUUGAAGUUAAUUUGGCAUUUGAGCUAUGACACAUAAAAGUGAGCUCUACCAUCACUCGUCUAAUACACAGAUCUCUAGCACACCACAUAAACUCAUAAAGUCAAACAUGUCCCAAAAGUGAAGCAUAAAGCUAACACUCUUCCAUUGAAUGGAGCUUAGCUCCCAUUCCCUUAUCCUUCCAACAUGUCCCAGGGCCUCAACACCCAAAACCACUGUACAUAUAGAUGAGUACUCAUAAUUCUAUGGCAUGUCAACUAUAUCCAACGGUUUUAAGAUCACAAGGCUAAAAUAUUCGAAAUCAAACACGUCAUUUAUCGAUUAUCCGUGCACUUUCACUGUAGAUUUGCAUCUUUAGCAAAACACUGUCAUUGACAUUUAAAAUAUACAUAACAUGUACAUAUUUGCACUUUCACAACGGUUAUUAUAACCACAUAUAACAUGUUAUAACAUCUCAUCUCAAUUCAUAUAUUCACAAUCAUAUAAGCAUAUAGUUCACAAGAUAACAUAGGUAUGAGAAAGCUUGCACUCGAAAUUUAGAGUAGGGAUUUAGGCUACUACCAAAUUCUCUAAUAACACAUUAAAUCAUGUCUACAAGAAAUUAUUCCAAAAACUCACCAAUUACGCUUUCGUCGAAAAGUCAAAAGCUCAAACUAGUAUUUCCUUACCUUUAUCUAUACUUGUAGAAGGUCCUAUCGAAUUUGGAACUUCAACACAAUAAUUCACACAAUAAUUUAUUUGAUAAUCAGCUAAGAACUCACUACAAGCAAUCAAAAACAUAAGUCUAAGCUAUGUUCCCAUGUAACUGAAACUUAUAACAUAGCAAACUUUAAAUUCAAAUAUCUCGAUCUAUACUCAUUCUUUUCGCCUAUAACUAAUUUAGUUCAUCUUAUAAUUCACAUACGACUAAUUCUCAACCUUUAAACUAUACUAAAAUACUCAAUUCAUAGUAUCGACUUUUUUGACAUGUUUUAUGGCUAUUUUCCAAAAAAUUAUUAAAACGUGAGAAAUCUUUAAUGAACUUAAAAGUAAGUUUAGAAAACUUCCAAUCACAUAAAAAUUAAUUGAAAACUCUUUGAAACAUCAUUUUUAUGCAAAAUCUCGAAUUUCACCAUUAAGGACCAAAGUUUCAACUUUUACUUAAAACAUGUGAUUUAAUGGCUAAAAACUUAGUUUUAAAGACUAAAUAACAUUUAAAACUAAUUAGAAGUUGGAUCCUUACCUUAGAUGAUGAAAAAAAGCGUUUGAUAAAAAACCUAAAAGCUUGACAAUUGAGAAAACUAUGGUAUUUUUGGAUGUUUCUCUUAACUUCUAUGGAGGUUUAUGACUAGGAGGAUGAUAGAAAUCAAUGGAAUAGAGUUUAGGAAUCAAAAUCGAUUGUAAUGGGCCUAGAGAAGCAAGGACAACAACAACAAUAAAAGGUGAAAAAGACUAACGUGAAAUUUAUAGGUGGGGGAUGAUAUUAGGGUGUUUUUUAAAUUUUAGUUUAAUUGCCUUUUAAAAAUUCACAAUUUUGACUCUAUUACAAAUCAUUCCAAUUGUCAAAAUUAAAUGUAUUUAAAAAUAAUUUCAAAAAUUGAUUUAAUUUUCUAAAAACCAUAGUAAACAUUCUAAGGCUAAAAUCUCUAAAAUACCCCUAAAACUCCUAGGCCUUAUUUUGGGUGUUAUAGUGACAACUAAAGCAGUGGGAGAUGUACAUCUUUAUUUUGAUAAUUUUAGGAAGAUUAUUUUAAGAGAUAUUUUAUGUGUACCAAGUUUCAAAAGAAACUUAAUUUCUGUUGCAUGUUUUUUUAUAUAAAGCGACUUAACCGAUAAAGAAUCACUAGACUUGUGAAAGACGACAUCUUAAGUUCACUUAAAGAAGUUAAUCUUCCACAAUAUGAAUCUUUCUUGGAAGGUAAGAUGAAUAAGAAAUCUUUUAAUUGAAAAGGAUCGGGGGACGGAAAACCCCUAGAACUUGUGCAGACUGACGUAUGUGACCUUAUAAGUGUUAGUGCAAGAGGUGAUUAUGAGUAUUAUGUAAACUUUAUUCAUGGCUAUUGCAGAUAUAAGUAUCUAUACCUAAUGCACUACAAGAGUGAAACCUUUGUUAAAUUCAAAGAGUUUCGUGUGGAAGUGGAGAAACAAUUAGGUUUACCCAUAAAGGCACAUCGGUCAAAUCGAGUUGGGGAAUAUUUAUCUAAUGAGUUCUUAGGGAACCUCAUAGAGAAUAGGAUUCUAUCCCAAUUAACCACAUCGGGCACUCCACAACAGAAUGGCAUGGAAGAUAGAAGGAAUUGAUUGUUUUUAUACAUGGUACGUUCGAUGUUAAGUUAUUCAAAGCUAUCAAUCUCUUUUUGGGGAUGUUGUACAAACAGCUUGCUCUAUUCUAAAUAAUGUGCCAAUUAAGGCAGCAUCGAAAAACCUAUACGAAUUGUGGCGUGGUAAGAAGUCAGUUCUUAAUCAUUUUAGGAUUUGGGGAUGCCAAACCCACGUAUUAGACAAAGAUGUGAGGAAGCUGGAGUGAUAGACAUAAUCAUGCAUGUUUUUAGGAUAUCCAAAAGGAACAAAGGGUGGUUUGUUUUAUAACCCGAAAGAGCAAACUGUUAUAGUGUCAACUCAUGCUACUUUCCUUGAAGAAAGUUACAUGAAUGACUUUAAACCUCGGAGUAAGGAGAAGGAAAUUUUAGGAAAUAUACAAAACCCUAAUAAAAUGAUUCUAGAACCAACUCUUAAUAGUAGACCUGCAAACGAUCAGAAGUCUAGGGUGCUUCGUCGUAGUGGGAGGGUCUCUCAUAUUCCUAAGUUUUUUCAAUUUGGUGGAAGCUUUUUUAACAAUGAGUUUGUCGAAGAGGAAGAUAAUGAUCAACUCAAAUAUGAUGAAACAAUGCAGAGUGUUGAUUCCAAGCUCUGGUAAAUAGCUAUGAGAGAUUAUAUGGACUCUAUGUAUUCCAACUUAGUGUGGGAACUUAUAGACUUACCGAAGGGAUAAAACUCAUAGGGUGUAAGUGGAUCUACAAGCGGUUCCUAAUUACGUAUGUCCAAUCUGUCCUUCCGCUAGCUUGUUGAAACCAGAAUUGAAUUGCAAGCUUGAAUAGAAAUGAAUAGAAUGAAUAGGAAAAGAAAAAUGAAAAUUAUUUAGGAAUGCUUAUGGUUUUCUCUGAAAUGGAAAAAAUGGAAUCAUUUUGAAAUGAAUGUAGAUAUCCAAAAAUGGGAGUAGAAAUUGAAAUAAUCCAUUUGCAAUUCUAUAUGGAUUACUUAAAAAUGAUCAGAAGAAUGAGUUUAUGUUUUUGAGAUAUUUUGAAGCCUGGAAAUGAAAAUAAAUCAUUCGAUCAUAGUGAACAUAUUGAGUUUUGAAAUAUUAUACACAUUUUCUUGAAAUUUUAUUAAGGAUAAAAUUGUCAAAAUUUUACCGAGGUAAAAGUAAAAUAGGGAUGAGAAAAUUAUUUAAUAUAGAAUAUGAAUGUUUAUCUUGGAAAAUAGAAUAAAAUGCAUUGGGUUGGAUUACAUUAUAAAGUGUUGGGUUAAGGAAACACGAAAAUUUAUGUGUUUUUACAUGCCCUUUUUAACUUAAAAUCAUUCUAUUUCGGUUAAAUUCUUGUCGAAAAAUAAUUAAAUAUUAUAGAAUAAUUAAAUUAUGUUAAAAAUAUGAACAUGAUGAAUUUUUAAUUAAUUUUAUAGUUAAUUUUGAUUAAUUUUGACUAUUUUCGACAGAUUCGCGUAAAGGGCGAAAAUUGGCUCGACAGACAAAGCUCGAAGAAUAAAACCGAGAAGCAAUUUGAAGCAUCGAGGAAAAUUUAUUUCCAGCCUAAUAUGGUCCAAAAAUUUGUGUUAAUUCAUAAUAUAAUUAAUUUUAAUUUAUUCCCAAUUUAAUUUGGGCUAAAUAAAUUAUUAUUAAUUAAUUAUGGAAAAAAGGGUCUAGUUGAACCGCAUUGGUUGAACCGAAUCUAGUGAACCGAACCAGCCACCAAUUGGGCUGCCCAGAACCAUCCAUAUGCUGACCCAAAUCAGCAUUUUAACUGACUAAAUAAGCUUGCAAAGAAGCCCUUGAAGAACUUUGAACUUUGCAUUCAAACCCCUCUAAAAAAUGUGGCUUUAUGGAUUUGCCCCAGGCUAUUUUUAGCAAAGUUGAAUCUCUCAACUUUGCCAUGUGUGUGGCCAGCCAAGGGGGGUCUCUUUGGCUGAUGGAAUUUUCUAUUUAUAGCAGCCACAAUCAUCUAUAAAAGCCACCCCUUGCUGGUCAUUCAACUCAUCCCUCACACUCUCAUUCUCUUCUCCUCUCUCACUUUCUCUCAACUUUCCUUCCCAUUUUCCCUUUUGUUCAAGUGCCAAUUUCUUCUCUUGGGAAAGAUGUCCUCAUCAGCCAUUUUUGAGUAGCAAUUAAAUUAUUCAUAAGCCACCUUUAUAGCCAAGGACAACAAAGAACGAAGAACAGAGAAAUCAGUCAAGCCACGGAGAAACAUCAGAUUUGCUUCUUGUUCCCUAUCUCUUUAAAGUUCGUUGUUGUUUUGAAAAACAUGUUUAUGAAUAUUUAUCUUAUUUAAAUGGUUAUUUUAAUCAAUCUAGCUUGAAUUUAAUCCGUGUUGGGUUGAUUAUAUUUUGCUUGCUUGAAUUAUUGAAAUUGUGUUUCUGCUGUUACAGGCCUCGGUAAGAUGCUUGAUUAAGUAAAAUCAUGCCUAAGUUAUUCUUGCAAUAUUAAUUGUUAGAUAAAUAAUGAAUUAAUUAUUAAAUCAUAUUGAAAUUGUAAUUAAUCGACACAAUACUUAAUCAGUGCAUGUUUAUUCUUCUAAGGUAGCUGAAGUUAAUUUAGCAUUGUAUUUGGUGAUACAUAUGCCUUGCAUAACUUGAAAGAUUAUUGUGAUUAAACUGUUUCAAGGUAGAAAUACUCUGUUACCUCACUUGAUCUUUUAUAUGCUUGUGAAGAUUGAUUAAUCGCUUGGAUUGACAUUAAAAAAUGUUCAAGAGAUUGAUUAAUUUAAUAAGUAUGUAUGAGUAGUAGUUAGCAAAUUACAUAGUUGCCGUGAAUUUGUUCGUAGCAGUAUAAACAUAAGUUUAAUAAUUCUAGGUUAAAGGAAUGUAAUUAAUCCAACACAAUUAUAUCAUCUUGGUUAAAACUUAUUUGAAAUUGUGCAUUAGAAUAUUUUUAUUUUUAAUUUUUUUUACUUAGUUUUUAACCCUUAGUUUUUAAUCAUCUUUAAACCAAAAUAUUUUCCAUCACCAAAGUGUUUUAACAUUAAUUUCAUAAAUAUUCUUUUUUACAGUCCCUGUGGGUUUGAUAACUCGACAUUUACUUGUCACUUUAUUACUUGUUGCGAUUGUGUACACUUGCACGUUUUCGUCAUUCCAGGUUAAAAGUCCAUAAAGCACAUAUAAUUGGGCCCAAUACAAUGAGAGGCCCGAAUCCCUAUCAUAAUACAUAUGAGGGGAAACACACCCUAUUAGCCCCCCUCUCUCUCCUAGUUGGACUAGGAAUUUGUGUUUGUAUUUGAAAUAAACUUCUACAAUUCAAAAAUGAUUCUACAUUAUCUCCUUAUAAAUAGAUGGCACCGGUAGAGCUAUUUACAUAACUUUGAGAGAUUGUUACUCUGUCGAAAAAUAGAGAAAAUUUAUUCUCAACUAUUAAAUAUAUUUCUCUAGAAUAACAAUUCUACCUGUUUCUAUUAAAGAAGAGAGAAUUUUCAUUUUCACCCCAAAUAAAAGAGAAAAAUUUUUCUAGUUCUGUGUUUCAAUUUAAUUGGUUCGAGCCCACACUCAAAGCAUUUUGUGGUACGAUAAUAGCAAAGAUCAUCAUUUUGUUGAAAGUCGAGAACAAUGAACGUGCGCUAAGCUAAAAAAUAGGUAUGAAUUCGUUUAGGGUUUAUUACUGUAAAUAUCACAAACCGGGUCAAUUUUCAAAAUUUUAAUUUUUUAUUGUGAAAGAAAACCAUCUUCAAACCAGAUUUUUCCAACGGUAAUAAUGGGUGGUGUACUACAUGCUAAUGAUACAAAUACAAUUAAUUAUGUGAAAUGCUUGUAAUGCAUAUAAUGUAUGGGGUACAGAGGGAAGUACCAUGAUGGUGGUAGUUGAAGAUAGGAAUACUGGGUGAAAAUGAGGAAUGAGUGGAUUAAAAUGGGGAUUCAAGGGAGAUUGAAUGACAUUACAGAAUGUUAUCGACUGGCUCACUAGAGCGAUAUUGUGACCACGAUCUAUUGAAUCUAUAGAGUGACAUUGUGACGGCGGCUAUCGGCAGGUCCUUCGGGGUGACACCAUGAGAACAAUUUGUAGGUCUUUCAAGGUGACACCUUGGAAGAGGUUUAUUGAUUCUUCGGAAUCGGGAGUCUGCUAGGAAAUUAGAGAUGGGGUAUACUGUAUAAGACCAUAGCUCGGCUAUGGCAACAGGCCAAAUCUGCCAAGUUAAACAUGGGGUAUAUUGUGUAAGACCAUAGCCCGGUUAUGGCAACAUGUGAAGUCUGUCAGGACAUUAAAUAAGGCUAUACUGUGUAAGACCAUAGUUGGGCUAUGGUUUCAGAUAAAUUUUGUCAAGAUGAUGAAUUGAGAAACUAAUAAAGUAAAGAAAUAGGGAUAAUUGUAUGUCUCGUGCAGAAAGUAGUAUAGGUGGAUGAUCACGACGCGUUUGAGAAUGAGGUUAAAUAAGAAGGUAAGAGAAUCCACCAAACAAUAAAGAGGAAAAUAAUUGGUAGAAGUAUCCAAGAAUAUGGAUAAGCUUGCUCUGCCAAAUUUGGUAGAAAGUGGAAUCAGACAAGUUUGUGGUCAUCAAGACCAAAGAAAUAGAAGGGUACCCAUUCCAGUUAAGGGGUACCCAUUAUUAUAAAUCCGCUAGUGGUUAGCGAGUAAUAAAACAUGAAGUAUAAUAAGCAAGUCAACAAGGCAAACUCUAAGCUAAACGAUUGGAGCGGUAAGUCCUCCAAUGAUCUACUGAAAGGGGGAUGAUAGAGUAAGACUAUAUGGGGCUACCGAAGGUUGAGAUUGCCAGGAUUACUUAGGCAGGAAUAGUUCCUUAGGGACAAUCAAUAAAUUGGAGCAUGUAAGAAGGUUGGGCUUAGGAGAAUAAGCACUCUGGGGGUUACAUUCAGGGUAUGAGUCUGCCUAGAAAAAGGGGUGCCAACUCAUUCAACCAACUAACUUAUUGAGUCCAUGGAGAAGAAUGAUAGAAAGAGACCUUAUCUAGAAAAAGGGGGAUUAGGCAUAGGUCAAGUCAAAAGAAGAUUUCUAUUGGAGUAAUGGGAUAAAAUUUUAUGAAGAUCAAGGUCGAUCAAAGGGAUCAAGGAAGAGAUUCACAACUAUAGUGAAAUCUUGAUUAAAAUGCCAGUAAGUUGUCAAACCCGUGAUGGGAUCUACGAGAAUUCCAAGUUGAGGCAUACCUGUAUGAGUUCAAGGGAAGCUUUAAAUAACGACAAACAGGGUUAAGACCCAUAAAAAAAGAAUUUUCGAAGAUUUUUUUGGUGGGUGGAAUGCCCUUUGAUAGUUCAUUUGGAAAGAAUCUAGAAAAUGGCUAUGACAGAGAAAUUGCGGGUCUUCCUACAAGUUUAGGGAGUUUCUCAUCUGUGCUUUAAAUUUUAUAUUCCCUAAUUUCCAAGAAAUCUUGAAUGAAAAAUAAUGUAUAGGAUCUCACUAAGUUCUCCUGAGCUUAAAACAUUUUUUGCUUCCAUGCAAGGUAGGUGGUGUCUUAAAAUUUUAGUGGAGGGACCUAGCCAAACACCACCAGUUUCAAGAGAUGGGUGAGAUAGUUGAUUCAUAUACAUAUAGGGCAUGCCUUAAGGAUUAAAUUGGUUAUAUUCAUAUUGGAGUUUUAAAUUUAAAAUUUAUAAAUAGUUGUUGGAAUCAAAGUUGUAAGAAUUUAACUUUGGUUCUGUACGAUUGUUAAUAUCUUUUGAUCCUUAAUUUAUGUGUUUAAUAAUGUAAUUAGAGUAGAAUCAAAAACAUCGCUAAGAUAUUUAGGUCUUUCUAUCAUCCAGUACCUGGACCUAGCAAACAAAUUGGGUCUAAGGUGUUACAUGAAGUUAUUCCACUAUAGUUUCGUGACUGAGCUCUCCCCAACGACAUACCAUUAUGAAUGCAACUUGAUUAAUGCUUGUCCAAUGACCUUGUCAUAAGUGUGUUACCCUCAUAUGAUAUCCUUAAUCUUAUUUGGAUAAUAUUCAUUCUCCAAAUAUGAUCCUAUUUUAUCUCAUGGUAACAAUUACAUCUUCCUUCAUGAAAAGUCAAUUACUAUCAAAUAGUAGUCAAGUCUUCACCUAAUGUAAUAACAUGUUUAAUUUCCAUCUUCCAUCACGAACAACCUGUGACCAUGUUUAAUUUCCAUCAACCAAGUAAUAACAAUGAGAGGAUAUCAUUUACCCAUUCCUCGAGCUAUGAAUUCCACUAUUGUGAAUGAUGCUACAAACUACAGAAGUCGUACACUCAAUGCACCUGCUUUUGGUUCCUUAUCUAUUCGAACUCAUGCUUUCACUUACAUCAAAGUGUACGAGUCACGCAUACAUAGCCUGUCAUCCACUCAAGAUUUAGGUAUGAAAAUUGCAAUUGAAUAAAGAAUUAAGUGUGGUGUCUACAAGUGUACAUGUCAACUUGUAAUAUAGUUUAUAGUUACAACGUUACACUUUGGACGUAUUUCGAGGAUCUACACAGGGGAGGUUUGUUUAAACUAAAUUAAUAGAAAAAGUCACACAUUAACUAAGUCAAAAUAGCUACUCACGUACUUGUCAUAUUACGUUUAAAAAAAUGAAUCAUUAAACAAAACUAAAUUAUAUAAAAGCUAAACACCAAAAUCACAUUCAAAUUAAGCAGACAGUAGGGUGAAUUACUUCCAUGUUCAUGAUUAACCAAGGUCUAGGGUUUUUACCAAUUAGCUAACAAUCAACCUAAUUUAAUACCUUUUAACUUAUAACUAGAUUAAUUGAUCGAAUUAACUUUCUUAUCUUUCUACCUAAUAAAUUAAACUAGGUUAGAUUAAGUUGGUGCUGAGUAGACUAUCCUUUCGGCCUCAUCUACCUAAGUGACUUCCUAAAGUCGUCAAUUCUAGGGUUUAAUUCACUUAAGGUAAUCCAUCUAACUAGUGUCAAAAUCCUAACCCAAUCCACUCACUCCCACUUUAGCUUGUCAACCUUCCUAGGGUUUGAGUUCAUGGCCAUUCUAGAAGCAACCUCUCCUAACCGAUUAUCAAACAUCCAAACAAAUGUAAAAAUAAAUAAAAAGGGAAAAGAAUGUUAAGAAUCCAAAAAUCUUGAAACAAAACUUCUAUUGUUGAACCCACAAUCGAUGUUGAUAUUUUAUUUGAUGAAGAAGAAAAUAACCAAAAAAUAAUGAAAAGAAAACAAAAAUGAAAUUGCUAUUAAAAUUAACUUAGUGUUUAACAACUAAAAAAUGAAAUUGUAAUCUAUCUAAAACCCUAAUUAAUCCCAUAAAACUAAAUUUAAAAAUAAAAAUCGGCUCUCUAAUCAAGUCUUAUGAGCUAAUAUUUAUAGUGUUUAUGUUAUAUGACCAAAUUAUUUCAAUCACAAGUUGUGUAACAAGUUAAUUAAGAUUAUACGGAUAAAAACACCCAUUACAGUCAUAUUGGCCUCAUUAAACCGGUGUCGGGACAAACUAUAGCUGGUGUUGUGAUUUCGUUGGAAGAAUACUUGGUCUUCAAAACUUGGUGGAAUGUCACGACAUUAGUUUCUUGGGGUCACGAAAUCAUUGGCAGUAUGCUCCCUUUUGGAAUCUGGAUUGAAUGUCGCGACAUCGCCUCGAGUAGCUCACCUCUUGAAAUUGUGUUGGAAUUUCGACUAAGUGUUGAGGCUUGCUUUAAUGUCGCAUAUUCUUUUUGAAUGUUACGACAUCCAGGGUAGUCCAUUGACUUCUUGACCAAAAACAUUGUCCAGCACACUUACUCAACCUGUUAGUUCUUUCUUAGGUCCUAAUUGGCCUAAAAGGUCAUAAAACACCACUAAAAGCUCAAUCAAUUAAACUUAACCUCAAAAUAACUAAUCCUAAAAACAUAAUUAAAAUAUGAAAAAUCACUUGAAUACAAGCUCAUUAAGUGGUGAAAAGAGCCUAAUUUGUGACAGUGAAUUGUGGCAUAUCAUUAACCCUAAGCCCAUUUUAGGCAUGUCUGUAACCACCCAAACCUGACUUAGACGUUAUGGUCAAAUCCUGAAGAUUACAUUGGCCAUUGGAAUGGCAUGGAAAAAUGUUCCUAUUUUAAAUCACUCUUUAAAACAAAUUUCCUUUUUAUUUAAGACUAGUGAUCUCAAUUAUUUGUUUUAUUUCAAGAAAAUCAUAUUAAUUACAAAAUCAUCAAGCAUCUUUAGAGUGUCGCUUGUAAAGAUUAAUCAUUUCGGAAAAAAAACUAAGUUAUAUUUUGUUAAAAACAAACCUUUAAGUAUGGUAGUGAAAAAUUCAAUUAAAAUCAUAUUUCUGUUAAAAAUCGAUUUUUCAUGCAUAGUCAAUAAAACAUUCAGUGAGCAAUUUAAAACUUCAAAUCAUGCAAAAAUAAAGUAGAAAUCCCAAAAUAUAAAGUUCCAUGCCACAAUCUAUAAGAAAAUUAUUACAGUCCCAAAAAUAACCAUAUAAUAAAGUUUAAAGUAUUUAAAAUAAAAACCAUCCGAGAACACCUUCGAUAGCCGUGUCCAAGUCCUAACCUCGGGGAUUAUCUGAAAUCAGAUCAGAAACUAAUGUGUGAACUAAUAAACUUAGUGUGAGUCUUAUUUCAAAUAUACAGUAAUAAUAGUAAAUAUAACACUCAAGUCAAAAAAAUAUAAAGAGUACAAUAAAUAGCGCAAAGCUCACAAUUUGUGUCAUGCAUGAUCAUGUUAAUGUAGAAUUUUUAGAAUAUUCCUACCCAACUCCACUACACAUCAAUAUACGAUUUCUCUAAAACUCAUUCAACCAAUAAGACACCAAUUUGUGGACAAGCCACCAGGAUUGCAGAGAAAUUGUCAAAUUUGUAGACAAGCUACUAGGAAUAUGACCAUGCCACCAAAAUUGCAGGUAAACUACCAGAAUUAUGUGGUUGAACCACCAAAAUUGCAGAUAAACUAUCAAAUCUUCCUUCUUACAUAUUUGUCCCAACUCAAUGCAAAAUUACAUGUUACAACUAAAACAGAGUGCAAAUAAUAGGCAUGAUCAAAAGAGCAUGCAAACAAUGGAAAAAAUAGUAGGCAAGAUUUAAACAUGCAAUCAUAGUAAGAACAGUGGCAUAAAUUCCAUGCAAUGAGUAAAACAGUAUAGUAAACGCAUUUAAUGACACUUUUAGAAUUAUUAGUAUCAAAAUUCACAUUUUUAAUAUGUGACUAAAUUUUAGUUAUAGUGUGCAAGGUUUAUCAUGACAUCAAUCUCAAUAAUAGAUUUGCAACAUGCAUCAAUAGCACAUAUUAUAUGAAUAUCAUCAAGUCAUAAUACAACAGCCAUACAUAUUUAUGACAUCACGGAUUUAACAUAUCAGAGUCACUUACUUGGAAACAAUCCUAUUAAAGGAUUUAUCAAUCACCGUGAAUACUUAGUGUAUUCAAAUAACCAUGUUUCAGAGAAAAUAAUAAAUAUUAAUCAUAAGUAUAUAAUAGUUACUAAAUAAUCAUAUAUAUUUUUAUUUGAUUAAACCCACACCUAAAAAUAUGCCUUGUCACUAAAUCUACACCCACACUCCAAUGAUAACUAAUCUAGACAGUUCUCGCUUGAUCUGAUCAAAUAAUAACGGUAUGAUCCCAAUAGGAAUUCAUUAGUUUCAACCAUAAACCAAAAUAUAAUUCUCUUAUGCAGUCAGAUAAGAAACUUCCUCAAUACCUUUUUUGAAAGGAGAUCCAAACAUUUUUCUUAUGCUCGAGUAAAUUCGAAUGAUCCAGAUUAGAUCCUUCAAGAAACAUGUUACACAAAUAUUGGAACAUAUAUUCAACUCACAUAAGAAAAGAAAUGAUUGUGGUUAGAUUUACUAAUCAUUACUUACGCUAAACCGAUUGGAUUGUGAAGAUUAAUGAUUCACCGAAAGUUUUGAUUUGAUAGAGGAGUAGUGGCUAAGAAAAAACAAAAUAAGGAAUAAAGUGACUAUGUACAUUGUUUAAUAAUUAAAGAAAAAAAGAAGAAGAAUAAGAGAUGUUAAAAUUCAGUUAUGGCCAAGUAGAUGAAAGGAUGAUGAAGAAAGAAGACAAUCAGUGGAAGCUGGCGGUGGUGGUGCAAUGGCGCUACAGCGGCGAUGGCAUAGGAGGUUUGAUAGUGGCAUGAAGAGAGUGGGAGAGGAGGGACAGUGGUGAAGUGGUGGUGUUUAGGUGGUACGAUGGUGGCUAAAGUUGGUGGAGUGGUGGCAAAAUAAAUUUAAAGUAUCGGCUCAAGGUGAUGCAAGAGGAGGAGGAGAGAAAAAGAAAGGGAAGAAAGGAAACAAAGAGAUGAAAUAAAAUGAUUUUGUUUCUCUAGUUGCAAGGGACGGCUAAAGGGUUCAAAGGGGAUGAAAAUAGGAAGGGAGUGAAAAGAGGGGAAGAAAAGGAAAGAAGAGGGAACAUGUAGAGUGGAAAAAGAAGAAAGAAUGGAAAGUAGAGCAAAAUAUGACAGGAAAGAAUGAGAAGGGAAUCAAACUUGGGUUAGUUGGAAAGUUUAGCUUGAUCUUAACCACUAGGCUAGAACUCUCACUUGUUUAAGAAUUAAUGAUAACUUGGGUUACUUGGAAUGUUUAGCUUGCUCUUAACCACUAGGCUAGAACUCUUACUUGUUCAAGAAUUAACGAUAACUAAAUAUAGAUGGGCUUUGACAACUCUACUCUCAUUAAAAAAAUGAAUUCCGUCUUUAAAAUUUACCUGAUUAGAACAUAUUGGGAUAUUGUUCACAAAUCGAGUCCUCUAGCUCCAAAGUAGUUUCCUUAGUUCCAUGAUUUCGCCAUAACAUUUUUACCAGUGGAAUCUAAUUUUUCCUUAACACCUUAACCUCACGAUCCAAGAUCUAAACUGGAUCCUCCUUAGAAGAUAAAUCUAGUCUCAUCUCAAUCUCCUCAACUAGAACCACAUGAGAUGGGUCAAAUCAGUAUCGCCUCAACAUAGAGAUGCGGAACACAUCAUGGAUCCAGUCCAGUUUCGGAGGUAACUCCAACUUAUAAGCCAUUGGUCCAAUACUCUUAAGGAUCCUAUAAGGUCCAAUAAACCUUGGGCUCAGCCUGCCCUUCCGACCAACUCUUAGAACCUUCUUCCAUGACGAUACCUUAAGGAAUACCUGACCCUUGACAUUGAACUCUAUAUCCUUCCUCUUCAAAUCUACAUAGGAUUUUUGUUGAUUGGAUGCCACUCUCAAUCUGUCCUAAAUGAGAUUAACAAUACCCUCAGUCAACUAAAUUCGGGCCCAAUACUUUUUUUUCACCUAACUCGAUCCAUCACAAAGGUGUCUGACACUUUCAACCAUACAGUGCCUCAUAGGGUUCCAUCUGAAUACUUAACUGGAAGCUGUUAUUAUAUGAAAAAUCUACUAUUAGCAAGUGCUCCUCCCAACUACCUCGGAAAUCAAUUACACAAACCCUUAGAUAUCUUCAAGGAUCUAUAUAACCCGCUCAAACUAUGGAUGUAAAGCCAUGCUAAAUGAGAUGUAAAACGAGGAUCUUGAUCAUAAAUAAUCAAUACUGGUACCCCAUACAGUGUCACUAUCUCAGAGAUGUACAACUUCGCCAACUUCUACAGUGAAUAAUCUAUACAGACUGGGAGGAAGUGAGCUGACUUAGUCAAUCUAUCCAUAAUCACCCACACUAAGUCCUUUAUAGUAAGUGUGAAUGGAACCCACAAAAAAAAUCCAUAGUCACUCGCUCCCACUUCCAUUGAGGAAUCUAAAUAGGCUGUAACAAGCCAGAAGGGAAUUGAUGCUUAGCUUUCACUUGCUGGCAUGUUAGACACUUAGCCACAAACUUAGUUACCUCAUGCUUAACACCCGACCAUCAAUACAGUUCUCCAAAAUCCUAGUACAUCUUAUUCCCUUCAAGAUUGAUAGCAUAAGGGCUACUAUGCGCUUCCCAAAGGAUAGACUAUCUCAAAUCUUUGUUGUCUAGUACACAAUAUCUCCCACGAUAACACAAGAUUCCAUCAGAAUUAAACCCAAAGUAUGUAGUCUUACCUUCCUCAAUCUAUUUAAUUAGAGGCACAAGAGACACAUAUAAAGGUUUCUUCAUCUUAAUCUUGUCAACCACAGUAGGCUUUACUUGAAAUUCCGUGAGUAAGCCACCAUCCUCACACAAAUUCGGCUUAGCAAACAUUGGUCUCAAAUCAGUCAUCAACCUCCUACUCAAUGCAUUUGCCAUGAUGUUAGCUUUCUUAGGUGGUACUCAAUGGUACAAUCAUACUAGCAUAGCUCUUUAAGUACCAUGCAGUAAGGAGCAAUGGACACCGGAGUAGUCCUAGGCAGCAAAUCUAUCCCAAAUUCAACCUCUCGCUCUGGAAGUAAUCUAAGUAGCUCUUCCAGAAAGAUGUCGGGAAACUCUCUCAUAGUACGACUACCUUCCACAUUUGAUCCACUAACACUCAUGUCCAGAAUAUAAGUCAGGUAAGCUUCACAUCCCUUAUGAACCAACUUUUCAGCUACUAAAGCUGAGAUCACAUUAGACAAGUAAUCUCUAUGCUCACCAACUAUCAUAAUUUCCUUACCUAUCGAUGUCUUCAAAGUAACCCUCUUCAAAGCGCAAUCCAAACUGACUUGGUGUUCCACCAACCAGUUUAUACCCAAAAUUAGAUCAAAUUCCCCAAAGGGUAGCUUCAUUAAAUUUGCCAAAAAUACCUCUCCCUAAACUCAACGGGCAUCUUCUAUAAAUCUUAUUCAUAGUAACAGAUUGUCCUCUCUGCAUCUAGCCACAUAGACAAGAACAAUUUUCCUGGCAACAGUUCAUUUUGCACCCUAAACUCGUGCUCACUGUCCCUGUCCAACAUUACCUCCUUUGUAUUGACCCUGACCCCUCUAAGGCUAAUGCCCAGCCCUCUGAUUCUGAACCUCAUUCUGUACUAGAUCUUGCAUGUGGUCAUUACGGCAUGGAAAGUCCUUAAUCUUAUGGUCCAUAGACCCACAUCUCAAACAAGUACUCAUCUCUCUCCAACAUUCACCUAGAUGUCGCUUACCAUAGUAAGCACAGUUCUGAGUCUUGCCUCUAGUACCAACUACCACUGUAUUCUGUCGAGGCUUAUCAUCUCUUCUUCGCUUAAUGGGUUGUGAAGCCGUGAUAGUGGGAUAGAAAUCCCACUCAACAGAAGCCUCAUCCUUCUCUUUUCUCUUAUGCUUCACACACUUAUCUUCCUCAACUAUCUUGGUUUUCUCCACCAUAAUUUCGUAAAACCUCUCAUGGUGUAGAGCGACCUGGAUAAUCAAAUCUGACACACUUAUCUUUCUCGACCGCAACCAUCCCUUGAACAUAUCAGCUAAGCCUCAAGAAUCCAACCUCAUACCCAGCCAUCGACAUGUCUCCUUACUUCAACUCAAUAGAUUCUAGCCUUUGGUCCACAACAUAUCUAGUGCCCAUGCAUUUCUUCUAGAAAGCUUGUUGGAAAUAAUCCCAAGUUAAUCUUUCCACCUGCGUAUGUAACAACCUAUUUUUAGUAGUGUUAGAAAUAGUGGUUUUGGGACCACAAUUCUGAUGAGAGAGUCCAUAGAUAUAUUUAAUUAAUAUUUAUGAGUUAAAUAUAAUAUAAUAGUGAAUUUUGAUUUAAUAGAUUUUAUUAAUUGGUUAGUUAGUUAAAGUACAAAUGGUGCGUACCGAAAGUCAAGUGGUUUUGGAAAAUGAGGGAUCGGGACCUCGUUACUGUAAACCAAGCCCAUGAAUAUUUUUAUUAAAUAUUUACGGAGCUUUUAUAUAGGUGAAUUGAAUUUUGGUCCAAAAAUUUUAGUGGUUGGAUGGCUAAUUAAGGUAUAAGGACUAAAUCAUAAAAAACUAUAAAAGUUAAUCACUAUUAAUUUUUAUUAGUUAAAUUUCUUAUCUAGUAAUUUUUUAAGGUUUAAUAUAACAAUUAGGCCAUAUUUAAUUAUAGUGGGAUGUCUUGUAGUUAGUUUUGUUAUAUUUUAUAUGUUAAUUUAAAUUUAAAUUAAUAAUAAUAAAGUUAAAACAUAAAAAUAAUGGUCAUCUUCUUCAUUUUGAGUUUCAUCACCAAAAAGAGAAUCAAAGCUUGAGAAGCUAUCAUUAAAAUUUCCAAGGCUCAGCCAAGUGCAUGUGAGUCUAUUUUUAAACCGUUUUUCAUAAAUUUUAUGUUUUUGAGAUCGUUCCAACUAGGUCCAAAUAACCUGUACCUCUGUUUUCAAAAUUUUCAAAGAUUUAAAAUGUUUCCAAUGAUAUUAUUUGAUUAUUUUGAAUGUUUAUGGUAGAUUUUGAAGCAUAUAAAUGAAAUAGGAUUAAUUUGUUAAGUAAAUUUUGUUAGUUUUGAGUUAGGGACUAAAUUGUGAAUAUAUUAAAAUUGGUAUGAAAUUUUUAUAUAUUUUGAUAAUAUGGGACUGUAUAUGGACAUAAUUAAAGUGGGUUUAAAAUUUGGAGUUCAAAUUUGGAAGAUAUAAUAAGUUCUGUUUUAGGGACUAAAUUGAAUAAAAUGUAAAAGUUUAGGGGCAUUCAAAUAAUAAAAUUAAAAUUAUAUAUACUUAUAAUAGGAUGACAUAAGAUGUUUGGAACUGAUAAAUUGAAUUGACUUAUUGAAUAGAUUAGAAAUUAGACCAAAUUAAAAAAAAGUAGAGGAAAUGACAAAAAAAUUGUUGAUUAGUCCUUAGAGAGUUGUUUAGUUGUUUCCUUAACUAGGUAAGUUCAUAUAUUAUGUUUGUGCUAAAUUUUUAUGCAUUUGGAAUUAUAAUUUUAAUGAUGUUUAAAUGAAAUUUUAAUUGUUUAUGAUUUAGCACAAAAAUGUGAGAUAAAUAAUUAAAUUGAAAUAAUUAUGGAAUUGAACUUAAAUUGGACUGAAAUAGGAUAUGUCAUGUGAUGAGGUAAUGAACUAAGCUGACUUGAUUUGAUUUAGACUAGUUGAUAGUGAUAAGGAAAAAAUUGAAUAUAUAUGAAAAAUGUGUAUGUAUAUAUAUGUGUGUGUAAUUGAAUGCAUAUAGAUAUGAUUGAUGCUGUCAUGAUUAUGGAUGAAUGAUACGUGAAUUGAGAUGUUGAUUGAUAAUAAAUUGAGUAAUGAAUACCUUAUUAACUAUUUGGGUAGAGUCGGUUAUAGUUGACAUACCAUGGGAUAGGAAGAGCUCAGAGUUACUUCGACUACGAGUCGAUGAGGCACUGGGUGCCAAUUUGCUUCUGUUAUAUCGAUGAAACACUGGGUUUCAAACUUAUUGGUAGCAUUGGGCGCAACUAUUUUCUUCGGAUUUAUCUCAUGAGGCACUAGGUGCCAAACUGGUGUGUUGGUUCUAUCUGUGUAUCUGUUCGAGUUCAAGUUGUGUUAAUAAGUAAAUAAAUGAUUGAAAAAAGAAAUAUCACAUAUUUGAAAUGGCAAAUGAUGUGAAAUGGAAUAUGAAAUUGUGAAAUGAGUUGGGAACAAUGAUUAAUUAUGUUCAAUAAAUCCCUGAAUUUGGAAAUUGAGAUGGAAUGUGAUUUGUAAUUCGUAUUAUGAAAUGAAAUAGUAAUUGACAUUAGAUUGGAAAUUGAUAUAUAUAUUUGGUAUAAAGAUGAAUUGAUAUGAAAUAGGAAUGAAGUUUAUACGAUUUAAUAUGAAUUUGAUUGAGAAUUCGAAUUAUGAAAUGAAAAAUAAUGUUUGGCAUUAAUUUGAAAUGGGAUGCAUUAAGGGCAUACUAGAUUGUUUUGAAUAUGGUAUUAUGUUUGAAUUUGAAUUGUUGGAUUGAGGUGUCAAUUGUGGCAUAUUGGUUGUAUGUAUUUAAUGGAUUGAAUGAGUUCUAUAUAGGCUAUUUGUGUACCUAUAUGUAUCUAUGAGCUAAGAUAUAGAUUUGGGCAUGAAAUAAACUUCUAAAUUUGUGAUUUUGACCAUCUAGGUAAAAGUAUCGACACCAAGGACCAAGGUUAAUAUAAGGUAUUAAUACUUGACCAAAUGAACAGUGUUUUGAAAAUGGCAGAAUGUCAAAAUGGUAUCGACACUGAAGUUUGGCAUCGAUAAUUUUGUUAAAAAUAUCAAUACUUGUUCCUUUUGUAUCGAUACCUAGUUCCAAGUUUUGAAAAUUUUCAGAUUGGUCCUUAAUCAUGCUCGAAUCUAUUAAACUAUGUUCUCUGUUUGGUUCAUAACUUUUAUUAUACAUGUAUUUAGAAAAACUUGAUUAUUUAAAUUAAAUUCAAUGUUAUGAUUUGCAUAUGAAUGUUUCGAUAACUAUAGUAGUAGGAUCAACAUGCAAUUUACAUAUUAACAUUUGAUAUCAUAACUUAAAAUCAAUUAACCAUAUCUUUCCUAAUUUCAAAGACCAUGCACAACCAUUAACAAAAGAUAUUAGGGCAUACAAAAGCUUGGCACAACCAAAAGCAUACCAAUUUAACAUACAACCCUAUACAUGUCAUGUAUAACCAUUUCAAUAUAUAUUCAAAGGUUACCAUAAUGGAUCUGGAUAGUGUGACCAUGCUCUGACGUUGGUUCUAACCGUUCGAGCUUCUCGAUGAUCUAUAAAACAAAGAAAACACAUACGUAAGCAAUUAAUGCUUAGUAAGCUUGUAUUAGGAACUUAAAAUUACCGUAUAUAUUAAAUAAAAUAAUUAAAGAUAAUUACAUUUCAUUAUAGGCCAAACAUCCUUUCCUAUACACAAAAAUUCAUAAGGUUAGUUUGUGAAAUAAUGCACUUUUAUGAUCAACCAAGGCGUGACAUAAAACAUAUCAACAUUUUAAUUUCACCAUCCAGCACUGCUACAUAUAUCAUGUAACUUCAUUCUCUUUACAUUAUGCAUAUCAUUAUAAUGUAUUUCAUUAUCUAAAAUCAUGAUUCAUUUCAUAUUUUCAUAUACCCAUUUAAGCUUUAUUUACUCGUUCAUAUCAUGGAAACAAUUUCACUAUAUAAGUCAUUCAUUCACAUAAUUCAAAUGUUACCUUUUCAAUCCAAAUACUUACAUUACAUUUUUCAUUUUGUAUUUUCAAUAACAUAGUUCAUUUAUAUACAUACCUUUUCAUUUUAAUCUUAGUUGUUCAUUGAACCAAAUAGAAUAACAUCGGAUAUUGGAAAUAAUAAUUUUAGUACAAAUUACCUGAUACAAUACAUCGACACGAAGCCUGCUAGGCACAAAGCCUAGUAUAAUACACCUGCACGAAGCCUGAUAAAAUACACCAGCACGAAGCCUGCUAGGCACAAAGCCUGAUAUAAAACAUCGAUAUGAAGCCUGCUAGGCACAAAGCUUGAUAUAAAACAUUGGCAAGAAGCCUGCUAGGCACAAAGCCUAAUAUAAUACACCAGCAUGAAGCCUACUGGACUCAGGGCCCAAUACACUAUCUCCAAUACAACUCAAUUUGAUUAUUAAUUUUCAUCAACCAACAUUAAAUAAUUACAAACAUCACAAUUAUUAGAAUAAAAAAAUAUCAAGGAGUUUAAUUCACAUUACAUAUAAUAAGAACUUACUUGAACUCAUGUAACAGCCCGAUUUUGGGCCUAGUCGGAAUAGUGGUUUCGGGACCACAAAUCCGACGAGGGAAAAUAUGGUUAUUAUUAUAUUUUUAUGGUCUACAAUUUCACGGAAAAUUUUCGUAAAAAUUUCGUUCGAAAAUUUCGACGUUUGGGCACUCAAUUUAGUCAAAAGGACUAAAUUGUAAAUAGUGCAAAAGUUGAGUUCUAUAUGUAGAAGUAUCUAAUUGAUAUGAAAUUUUAAAUUGGAGGUCUUUAUGUGGUAAUUAGACCAUUAGUUAGUUGAUGGACAAAAAUAGACAUAAGAAAUGAGAGAAAUAGAUUUUUUUUAAGUGGGGGCAUAUUAGUCAUUUGGUAAUAAAAAAAAAUAAAAUGGGAAAAAGAUGACAAAAAUCAUCAUCUUCCUCAUUAGUUGCUGCCGAAAUUUGAAGGAAGCCAUAGCUAAGGUUUCUUUGCUUUCUCAAGCUCAUAGUAAGUGCAUCCUAGCCCCAUUUUUAAUGUUCUUCGCAUUUUUGGAAUCCUCGUAACUCGGUUUAGCUUAUUCUAGCAAUAAUUCGUGUUAGGGCUCAUAUUUGGAAAAAUACCCAUAGGUGAAAUGUGUUUAUUUUGCUGUUUUAUGGUGGAAUAUGAAGCUAUAAAUUAUGUUAAACAACUUUUGCUAAGCGAUUUUAAGCGAAAACGGGUAAAUAGGCAUAAUCGGUAAAAAUAAUUAUUGUUCAUAAGUGUAUGUUAGAGUGAGAAUUUGAUGUUGCCAUAGAAGGGAAAAAUGUUCAGCAUGUCAUAAAACCUAAGAAUAAGUGAUGAAGUUUAAUUUCCGAGCUUGGGGACAAAAGUGUAAUUAUGCAAAAGUUUGGGGGCAAAAUUGUAAUUUUCAAAAAGUUGGGUGGUGGAUUAUUUUAAUGAAUGUGAACAUUAAAUGAGUUAAAUUUGCUAUUAUAGAUCAAGAAAGACAUGAAGAUUAUCUCAAACGAGGAAAAGAAAAGAUAGUGGAGUGAAGUGCAAAAUUACGAUAUUUUGCACCGAGUGACUUCCGACAACUCGGAAAUUUGGAACGAAGUCAGACAAUCAUCCACACUAUCCUUCACACUUGGGGUAUUUUGCUACUAUCGUUCCGGAAAAUUAUGGCAUGUAAAGACGACCUAUGAAAUAUGGAAUCAUCAUGUAAAUAUAUGUUAUGGUUUGAUUUAAAAUGUGGUGUUCAUUAAUAGUUAAAUUGUGAGUAUUAUUAUAAAUGAGUUUGGUUGAUAUAUAUAUAUUGGAUUGUGAUUUAAAUUUGCAGGAGGUUUAAGCAAAAUUAAGCAGAAAUGCUGUCGAAAUUUUUUUUAAAAAACUUAGUAAUACCUCAUACUCUGUUCCGAGCCGGAAUACGAGUAAGGGGUGUUACAUUUUAGUGGUAUCAGAGCUACGGUUUAGUCGGUUCUCGGACCAAUAAAAUAUGUGUGAAAGUCAGUCUAUACAUGCCAUCAAUAUAUUGUGAUAGUGUGAUGAUUUCUGACAAUUUAAAAUUUUGUUUUAUAUAGUAAAUGGAUCCUAAUCGAAGUAUGGCAGAUGAUGUUGAAAGUAACACGCCGGUUCCCGCACAAGGGACCGCGCAUGAAGAGAGUAGACAUGAGACACAUGGACAGGAUGAGGCUCGAGAAGCCUUCCUCCGAAUGAUGAGUGAUUGGUAUACAGAAUAUGUCCGUGUAAAUCCGAAUGUUCCACCUCCUCCACCCCCUCCUAUUCCUCCGCCGGUCCCCGUAGCUCCACGAAGUGCUGAAUUGGUGAGAUCAAGUAAACCACCCGUUGAUAGAAUUCGAAAGCAUGGGGCUGAAGAUUUCAGGGCCAAUGUUGAUGAUGAUCCGGAAAAAGCCGAGUUUUGGCUUGAAAAUACUAUCCAGGUAUUUGAUGAAUUAUCUUGUACUCCUGAGGAAUGUUUGAAAUGUGCUGUGUCUUUAUUGAAGGAUUCGGCAUACCGUUGGUGGAAAACAUUAAUAACGGUGGUUCCAAAAGAAAGAGUUACUUGGGACUUCUUUCAGGAAGAAUUCAGAAAGAAAUAUGUAAGCCAACGGUUUAUUGAUCAGAAGCGCAAAGAGUUUCUCGGAUUGAAACAGGGCCGAAUGUCAGUAGCAGAAUAUGAACGGGAGUUUGUCCGGCUUAGUAAAUAUGCCCAGGAAUGUGUGCCUACGGAGGCUAUUAUGUGUAAAAGAUUUGAAGAGGGGCUAAAUGAAGACAUCAGAUUACAUGUUGGAAUUUUAGAGUUAAAAGAAUUUGUGGUACUAGUUGAUCGUGCUUGCAAAGCUGAAGAGCUGAGUAGAGAAAAGAGAAGGGCAGAGAUGGAAGCUCGAGAUGUAAGGAAGAGGUCAAUGGGCAGAACAUUUCAAUCUCACCCGAAGAAGUUUAAAGGGAUGGAUCCACGACCAACCGGUUCAGUUGGGUAUUCACGCAGAGACCGAGGGAGGUCAUAUUCCGGAACUACAACUCGAGCUACCUCAGUGGCAAGUGUGGGUAAUGUAGGAAACACCAGACCUGAAUGUCAACAGUGUGGCAGGCGACAUACUGGUGAGUGUUGGGGAUUUAAACGAGCUUGUUUCAGAUGUGGUUCCCAAGAGCAUUAUGUAAAAGACUGCCCUGAGAGAAUAGAAGAAGAAAGAUUACAAAGAGCUGGAUCGGGUGAUGUUGUCAGUAGAGGCAGACCACCGAGAAAUGUGGGAAGCAAAGCCAGUGGUAAGAGUGUGAUAAAAGAUACAGCUGGAGGAUCAGAAACUAGAGCGCCUGCCAGGACUUAUGCUAUACGCGCUCGAGAGGAUGCCUCAUCUCCCGAUGUGAUUACUGGUACAUUUUCUCUUCAUGAUAUUAAUGUUAUUGCUUUGAUUGAUCCCGGCUCUACUCAUUCAUAUAUAUGCAUGAAUUUGGUGUCUAGUAAGAAAUUGCCUGUUGAAAACACUGAAUUUGUAGUUAAAGUAUCAAAUCCUUUAGGCAAAUAUGUCUUAGUCGAUAAUGUUUGCAAGAAUUGUCCCCUGAUGAUUCAAGGUCACUGUUUCCCGGCUAAUUUGAUGUUGUUACCAUUUGAUGAGUUUGAUGUUAUUUUGGGGAUGGAUUGGUUGAUAUUGCAUGAUGCCAAGGUAAAUUGUAGACAGAAAAUUCUUGAAUUAAAUUGUGAAAACGGUGAAAUUCUCCGGGUUGAAACAAAGGAGCCGAAUAAGUUGCCUAUGGUGAUUUCGCACAUUUCUGCUCAGAAAUACUUGAGAAAGGGAUGUGAAGUUUAUCUUGCUUAUGUGCUGAACACGGAUAUUACCUGGUCAAAGCUUGAAUCAGUGCCGGUAGUUUGUGAAUUUCCAGAUGUAUUUCCAGAGGAAUUGCCUGGGUUACCUCCGAUUAGAGAAGUUGAGUUUUCUAUUGAUCUGUUACCUGGUACUGUACCGAUUUCUAUUGCACCGUAUCGAAUGGCUCCGACUGAGUUGAAGGAAUUAAAAGCUCAGUUACAAGAGUUGACAGAUAAAGGAUUUGUGAGACCGAGUUUUUCUCCUUGGGGUGCUCCUGUGUUAUUUGUGAAAAAAAGGACGGCUCUAUGAGACUUUGUAUUGACUAUCGUCAGCUCAACAAGGUGACUAUAAAGAACAAGUAUCCUUUGCCGAGAAUUGAUGAUUUAUUUGAUCAAUUAAAAGGGGCAACAGUGUUUUCUAAGAUUGAUUUGAGGUCUGGUUACUAUCAGUUAAGAGUUAAAGAGUCUGAUGUGCCGAAAACCGCCUUUAGAACAAGGUAUGGACACUAUGAAUUUCUGGUAAUGCCUUUUGGGUUAACAAAUGCUCCAGCUAUUUUUAUGGACUUGAUGAACCGAAUUUUUCGGCCGUACUUGGAUAAGUUCGUGGUGGUGUUCAUAGAUGAUAUUUUAAUCUAUUCUCGGGAUGAAUCUGAGCAUACAGAAUAUUUAAGAACUGUGUUGCAGAUUCUGAGAGAAAAGAAAUUGUAUGCUAAAUUCAACAAAAGUGAGUUUUGGCUUCGUGAGGUUGGAUUCUUGGGACAUAUAGUUUCAAGUGAAGGUAUUCGUGUUGAUCCAAGCAAAAUUUCAGCAAUUGUUGAUUGGGAGCCACCAAAGAAUGUGACAGAAGUUAGAAGCUUUCUGGGCUUAGCUGGGUAUUACAGACGCUUUGUCAAGGGAUUUUCGAUGAUUGCUUCUCCUAUGACUAAGUUACUGCAGAAGAAUGUCAAGUUUGAAUGGACCAAUAAAUGUCAACAGAGUUUUGAAAAGUUGAAGGCAUUAUUGACUGAGGCGCCAGUGUUGGUGCAACCUGAGUCCGGGAAGGAGUUUGUAAUUUACAGUGAUGCAUCGUUGAAUGGCCUUGGGUGUGUGUUAAUGCAAGAGGGCAAAGUAAUAGCUUAUGCUUCGAGACAAUUGAAACCGCAUGAGAAAAAUUAUCCGACGCAUGAUUUAGAAUUGGCUGCCAUUGUUUUUGCUUUAAAAAUUUGGCGUCAUUAUUUGUAUGGUGAAAAGUGCCGAAUCUUCACUGAUCAUAAGAGUUUGAAGUAUUUGAUGAGCCAAAAAGAUUUGAAUUUGCGGCAACGAAGAUGGCUCGAGCUAAUCAAAGACUAUGAGCUAGUGAUUGAUUAUCACCCCGGGAAAGCUAAUGUGGUUGCUGAUGCCUUGAGCAGAAAAUCUUUAUUUGCUUUGAGAGCUAUGGGUACGAUGUUAACUUUAUCUGAUGAUGGCUCAAUGUUGGUUGAAUUGAGAGCUAGACCAUUAUUUCUUCAGCAAAUUCGGGAAUCUCAAAAGAAUGACAGUAAAUUGCAAGCCAAGAGAGCUCAGUGUGAAGCAGGUGUUGACUCAGAUUUUCAAAUUGGUUCAGAUGAUUGCUUGAUGUUCCGGGAUAGAGUAUGUGUACCAAGAAAUGAUGAGUUAAUUCAGACCAUUUUAUGUGAGGCACAUAGUGGUGACUUGUCAGUUCAUCCGGGUAGUGUGAAAAUGUAUAAUGAUUUGAAGAAGUUGUAUUGGUGGCCAGGCAUGAAAAAGGAUAUCUCGGAAUUUGUAUCAAAGUGUUUAAUCUGUCAACAAGUGAAGGCUGAGCAUCAAGUACCAUCGGGUUUACUUCAACCGAUAACGAUUCCAGAGUGGAAGUGGGAUAGUAUUACGAUGGAUUUUGUGACAGGAUUGCCUUUAACUCCAAAGAAGAAAGAUGCUAUUUGGGUAAUUGUUGAUAGAUUGACAAAGUCGGCUCAUUUUAUUCCGAUACGCAUUGAUUACUCACUUGACAGGUUGGCAGAAUUAUAUGUUGCUGAAAUAGUGAGAUUACAUGGGGUGCCUAAAUCUAUUAUAUCGGAUAGAGAUCCGAGAUUUACUUCGAGGUUUUGGAUAAAGUUGCAGGAAGCCUUGGGUACAAAAUUGAAUUUCAGUACUGCGUUUCAUCCGCAAACUGACGGGCAAUCGGAAAGAGUGAUUCAAAUUCUUGAAGAUAUGCUCCGGUGUUGUAUUUUAGAAUUGAAAGGCAGUUGGGAGAAAUAUCUACCAUUGGUUGAAUUUGCUUAUAACAAUAGCUAUCAGUCAAGUAUACGAAUGGCACCGUAUGAAGCAUUAUAUGGGCGUAAGUGUAGAACUCCUUUAUAUUGGACUGAGCUCGGUGAGAACCGGAUUCAUGGAGUCGACUUGGUGAAAGAAACUGAAGAAAAGGUGAAAAUAAUUCGUGACUGUUUAAAGGCUGCCUCAGAUCGGCAAAAGUCGUAUGCGGAUUUAAAGAGAAAAGAAAUUGAGUUUCAAGUAGGUGAUAAGGUGUUCUUGAAGGUGUCUCCAUGGAAGAAGAUUCUGAGAUUUGGUCGUAAAGGCAAACUAAGUCCACGAUUUAUUGGACCAUAUGAAGUUACCGAGAGAGUUGGCCCUGUAGCAUAUCGGUUAGCUUUACCACCGGAGUUGGAAAAGAUACAUAAUGUGUUUCAUGUGUCGAUGUUGCGACGUUACCGUUCGGAUCCUUCACAUAUAGUUUCCCCUACAGAGAUUGAGGUCAGACCAGAUAUGACUUAUGAGGAAGAACCAAUAAAGAUUUUGGCUCGGGAAGUCAAGCAGUUAAGGAAUAAAAGUGUAUCCUUAGUAAAAGUACUGUGGCAAAAACAUGGGAUGGAGGAAGCUACGUGGGAACCGGAGGAAAUUAUGAGGAAACAGUACCCAAAUCUCUUUUCCGGUAAGAUUUUCGGGGACGAAAAUCCUUAAGGGGGGAGAGUUGUAACAGCCCGAUUUUGGGCCUAGUCGGAAUAGUGGUUUCGGGACCACAAAUCCGACGAGGGAAAAUAUGAUUAUUAUUAUAUUUUUAUGGUCUACAAUUUCACGGAAAAUUUUCGUAAAAAUUUCGUUCGAAAAUUUCGACGUUUGGGCACUCAAUUUAGUCAAAAGGACUAAAUUGUAAAUAGUGCAAAAGUUGAGUUCUAUAUGUAGAAGUAUCUAAUUGAUAUGAAAUUUUAAAUUGGAGGUCUUUAUGUGGUAAUUAGACCAUUAGUUAGUUGAUGGACAAAAAUAGACAUAAGAAAUGAGAGAAAUAGAUUUUUUUUAAGUGGGGGCAUAUUAGUCAUUUGGUAAUAAAAAAAAAUAAAAUGGGAAAAAGAUGACAAAAAUCAUCAUCUUCCUCAUUAGUUGCUGCCGAAAUUUGAAGGAAGCCAUAGCUAAGGUUUCUUUGCUUUCUCAAGCUCAUAGUAAGUGCAUCCUAGCCCCGUUUUUAAUGUUCUUCGCAUUUUUGGAAUCCUCGUAACUCGGUUUAGCUUAUUCUAGCAAUAAUUCGUGUUAGGGCUCAUAUUUGGAAAAAUACCCAUAGGUGAAAUGUGUUUAUUUUGCUGUUUUAUGGUGGAAUAUGAAGCUAUAAAUUAUGUUAAACAACUUUUGCUAAGCGAUUUUAAGCGAAAACGGGUAAAUAGGCAUAAUCGGUAAAAAUAAUUAUUGUUCAUAAGUGUAUGUUAGAGUGAGAAUUUGAUGUUGCCAUAGAAGGGAAAAAUGUUCAGCAUGUCAUAAAACCUAAGAAUAAGUGAUGAAGUUUAAUUUCCGAGCUUGGGGACAAAAGUAUAAUUAUGCAAAAGUUUGGGGGCAAAAUUGUAAUUUUCAAAAAGUUGGGUGGUGGAUUAUUUUAAUGAAUGUGAACAUUAAAUGAGUUAAAUUUGCUAUUAUAGAUCAAGAAAGACAUGAGGAUUAUCUCAAACGAGGAAAAGAAAAGAUAGUGGAGUGAAGUGCAAAAUUACGAUAUUUUGCACCGAGUGACUUCCGACAACUCGGAAAUUUGGAACGAAGUCAGACAAUCAUCCACACUAUCCUUCACACUUGGGGUAUUUUGCUACUAUCGUUCCGGAAAAUUAUGGCAUGUAAAGACGACCUAUGAAAUAUGGAAUCAUCAUGUAAAUAUAUGUUAUGGUUUGAUUUAAAAUGUGGUGUUCAUUAAUAGUUAAAUUGUGAGUAUUAUUAUAAAUGAGUUUGGUUGAUAUAUAUAUAUUGGAUUGUGAUUUAAAUUUGCAGGAGGUUUAAGCAAAAUUAAGCAGAAAUGCUGUCGAAAUUUUUUUUAAAAAACUUAGUAAUACCUCAUACUCUGUUCCGAGCCGGAAUACGAGUAAGGGGUGUUACAACUCAUAAACGACUUCUAACACGAAUCGACCACUAUUCCGCUACUUUGACUUUUCUGCGAUUUGUGUCCAUUCAAGUUGUUUCUUGAUCUAAAUAAAUAUUUUUAUUCAAUUAAUCUCAUUCCAAAAUUUCAAAUAAUUAAUUUAAACCUAUAACCCUUAUUCAUGUUAAUUUAUUAAAAUUACCCCCAAUGGUUUUUUUUAUACAAUUUAGUCCCUAAACCCGAAACUUACAAAUCUAACACUUUUAGCUAAAAUUCAUGCUAGCAAAAUUUUACCUAAUCUUAUGACAUCCCAUAUUUAUCAUCAAUUUAUAGUAUUUUUCUUGAAUUUUACCGUUUUCAUAAAUAAGUCCUUAAACCUUAAAAUCAUCAAAAAAUACUUAACAAAAUAUGUCUAUGUAACAACCAAGCUUAACAAUCUAUCAUAAAAAUUAAAAAAUAUAUCAAUUUCAUCCAUGGCAUAAUCUAUAACAUUUAACAAUUUUACAAAUUGACCCCCGAGUUAGCUAGAUUAAGCUAAUACGAGCUCGAAACCAUAAAAAUUACUAAAAAAGGGAUAAAAUUACACACCAUGCAUGAAGAAUUGAGCAUGGUCGAAUGCUUUGGUUUCUUUUUCAUGGAGAAUUAGGCUACUCAUUCCUUUUGGGGAAGAUGACAUUGUUUUCAUCAUUGUUUAAACUUAAUUUAUUAUUUAAUUACCAUUUUACCCUUAUAAUAUUAACUUAUAAAAUGACUAAAGCAUGCCCAUAUUUUUCCACUAUCCAUAUACAUGAUAUAAUUACCCACUAAGUCCUUUAAUGUAAGAUUUCAUAGCAAUUUGACCCCUUUAGCAUAUAAAAUUCAACUUUUGCAUGUUUUACAGUGUAGCCCUUUUCACUUAAUUAACUAUUUAAACGUUAAAACUUCUUAGCCAAAUUUUAAUAUAACCCUAAUAACACUCUGUAAAUAUUUAUGGUCUCAUUUUAUAGAAAUGAUGUCCCAAAACCUUAUUUUCCAAAACCACUUAAUUUUAACGAUUUACCACUUGAACUUAAUUAUUUGUUCAAAUAACAUAAAUUAUCAAAUCAAAAUUUAUUAAUAUACUAUAUUUGACUCGUAAAUAUUAAAUAAUAAUAUUUAAGAAUUCUGUUGUAGUUUUUGGGGCCCCGAAACUACUGUUUCUGAAACCACUAAGUAACGAUAUGUUACAAGUAAGCUCGUCUUUCAACAAUGAUACUAUACCUUGAACUCCUACUCGAUGGUACAAUCCAUGCCAUCUAGAAUUCUUUUCGUAGCCUCCAUCCAAUAUUCAGGUAUGGUAGGGGUAGCCCAAACAACACCCUUAAACAGCUUAGCUCUAUUGGGUCAAAGCCUCUCAACUAUGGUCCCUCGACUAUCGGUUCUAGUUUGGGCUCUAGCUACCCACUAUAACACUUUAAACAUGGCCUGUGAUACAACACCAUCAGCAGGCUCCUGAUGACUACCCUCAACGGCAGGUGUAUUCUCAAUGUGCUCGGCCACAGGCUCAAGAGUACGCACUUGAGAUGCAAAAGAUUCAAUUUGGGCAUUGUGGCCUUGUGCUCCUCGGGCUCGCAUGCCACGAUUUCGUACACCUCAAGUGUUCAUUUCGUUAUCAAGAGUCUAAGUUUUAUGAAAUUAUCUACAGUUCAAAAAUAAGUUCUUAUUAUUAACCUGAAGUGUUUUCAAUCUAAUAGUUUAACUAAAGUUCACAAUCUAUAGUUUUUCUAUAGUUUUAGUAAUAAAAGUACUUAUCUAGGAUUGACUUCAGAGUCUCAUAUUUUUGUUUUGAAAAACAUACUUCAUAAAAUUUAUCUAUGGCAUGGUUCCUACAAUACCCUUUUAAAAUAUGCAUACAAAUUUUGAGUUUUGAAUCGGGCUCUGAUACUACUAAAUGUAACCUCCCAAACUCGGCCUCAACAUUAUGGUUGAAUCCUGAAAAUUACAUUGUUCAUUGGAAUGGCAUGGAAAAACGUUCAUAUUUUAAAUUACUCUUUAAAACCAAUUGUCUUUUUAUUUAAGACUAGUGAUCUUGAUUAUUUCUCUUGUUUCAAGAAAAUCAUAUUAAUUUUAAAAUCAUCAAACAUCUUUAAAGUUUCAAUUGUAAAGAUUAAUUAUUUAGGAAAAACUAAGUUAUAUUUUGUUAAAAAAAAACCUUUAAGUAUUGUAGUGGAAAAUUGUAUAAAAAUCAUAUUUUUGUUAAAAAUCAAAUUUUCAUGCAUAUUUAAUAAAACAUCAGAGACUUAAAACUUCAAAUCAUGCAAAAAUGAAGUAAAAAUCCUCAAAUGUAAAGCCCCAUGCCACAGUCCAUAAGAAAAUUAUUACAAUCCCAAAAAUAAUCAUAUAAUAAAGUUUAAAGUAUUUAAAAUAAAAACCAUUCAAGAACUCUUCCGACAGCCUCAUCCAAGUCCUAACCUCGUGGAUCAUCUAAAAUCAUAUUAGAAACUAAGGGGUGAGGUAAUAAGCUCAGUGUGAGUCUUAUUUCAAAUAUAUAGUAAUAAUAAAUAUGACAGUCAAGCCAAAAAAUAUACAGAGUACUAUAAACAGUGCAAAUUUCACAAUGUGUACCAUGAAUAAUCAUGUCAAUGCAGAAUUUUCAGAAUUUUCCUACCCAGCUCAGCUACACACCAAUAUAAGAUUUCCCCAAAACUCAUCCAACCAACCAAAUUAUGGACAAGCCAUUAGAAUUACAGAUAAACUACCAGAUUUGCAGAUAAGCUACUAGAAAUAUGGUUAUGCCACCAGAAUUGUAGGUAAACUACCAAAAUUAUGUGGUUGAACCACCAUAAUUGCAAAUAAACUAUCAGAUCUUCCUCCUUACAUAUUUGUAACAUCCUUAACCCGUAUCCAUCACUAGAAUAGGGUUAUAGAGUAUUACCGUAAAAUCGUAACAUAAAAACAUACAUUUCCAAAUGUUAAUAUAAACAUAACAUAAUCCCUACAUAUACAUGCAUAUCAUCCCUUAAUCGAGCCAUCGAGGCCUUAAAAAUACUUUAGAAAUGAUUUGUAACUAAAUCGAGAUUGAGAAAAUAGUUAGAAAAAUUGAACUGUAGGGGUCACACGGUCGUGUGACUACAUAGGUUAGACACACACUCGUGUCUCAAGCCCUGUAACAAUCGAAAUAGGGACACACGGUCGUGUCCCUGCCCGUGUCCAUGCCCGUGUAACUCUUUGAGUUGGGUCACAUGGCCAAGCCACACGUCUGUGUGCUAGGUCAUGUAACACUUGAAAUAGCCUCACAGGCCUGUGUGCCAGGCCGUGUGCUAGGCCGUGUAAUUGCCUGACUUGUAACCUUUAAAACCUACAGGGGGCACACAGCUGUGUCGCAUGGUUUUGUGUCACACAUGGUUGAGACACACGCCCGUGUCUUAGGCCGUAUGAACAAGAAAUUAGCCAAAAUCAAGCCAUUUCUUUCACCCAUUCCAACAAGUACCUACAAGCCAUAUACACAUAUGAUCAAGGCACCAAAAAUCCUACCAAAACAUGCUUAAUUUAACCAAUUCAAAUUAUCUAAAAUCCAUUUAACCAAUAUGGCUUACAAGGCACGCCAAUCAAAAUCAAACAAACUUACCAAAACAUAUGCAUAAUUAACCUUACUUCCAACAUACAUUUCUAGUUCCAUAUCAUCUUAAAACAUACGAUAAUUAAGACCAUUUCUAGCAUAGCAACUUAAUUCACCAACAAGCCAAAACAAACCACAAGUGUAUACUUUUAUAUCUUUCUAAUUGUACCAAAAAGAUACCUAUUUACAAUCUUAGUAAAAUACUUAACAACUUAGUUUAGUAUUUUGUCAAAAAUGUACCAUAACAACCUCUAUAGCCAUAUAUACAUGCCACAACCCUAAGGAGCACAAGAACUACCAACAUCGGUGGAUAGUGUGAGCCGAAGAUUCGAUCUAUACAAAAGUCAACAAUAACAAUUUACAAAAAAAUACACGAAAACGUAUAAGCUUAUAGAGCUUAAUAAGAACAUAGUAAAUCUUUUAACUUUAACAAAAAUUGAAUGCAACUCAUAUUUUACUUGAUUUGAAGUUAUCAAAAUGUAAGCAAGGGCACGUAUGUGAAAUUUAAGGGUAUCAAAGUACAAACAGGGGGCACGCAUGUGCAAUUUAUGGGCACCGAUGUAACACCCCAAACCCAGCCUGGACAUGGUAGUGUGUUUGAAAACCGAAGCUCGUGUUGAAAACAAACUAUAACUUUGCUUAAAAAAUUUUCCAUUUAGAGCUCGUUGUUAUCUUUUGUUAAUCCUAAAAAAGUGUUUUUUAUUCAAUCGUUAGUUUGCAAAUCAUUAUACGUUGCGGAAGCUUUUUAAAAUAGUUUGUGUCAUUGUGGGUAUUUUGCUAAAACACAUGCAUUUCUUUUUAAAAACCCGUGUUUUAUCUACCUCUAGCAGAUGUAAAACAUAAAGCUGUGUUAAAUCCAAAUUUAAAACAAAAAUCUAUAGCAGCCAUUAUUACAGAUAAAAAAACCCCAAAUAAAUCUUUAAAAAUAAAUAUAAUUAGGUACGAAAUAGUAAAAAGGAGUCGUGUGGCCACCGCUGAGUCCUCCACCGCACCGAUCUACUUAUGACUGGGGAUUACCUGUACAGAUUAACAGAAGGGGGUGAGUUUUCAAAACUCAAUGUGUAACCCCUCUAUAAACAAGCAGACAGAAAGCAAUCAUAAUAUAGGCCUAAGCCCAUUUCAACAACAGUUUCAGUUUCAGUUAGGGCCUUAGCCCAUUACAAUACAGUAGCAGUCAUGUGUUUGGGCCUCGGCCCAUUACAAUAUCCAUAUUCAAUACAGUAAUAGAUAUGCAAUAUCAAAUCCUACCCAAUCAGCCUCUAUAUUCCAACUUCGUCCAACCCUACACUCCAUGUGGGGAUAUAAUCAACUCACCCAUCCCUACACUCCAAAAAGUAUCGAAUGUGGCACUAGACAGUGGUUUGCAGCUGAACUGCCAGUAAAUUAAGCUUGAGGCCUUUCAGUGCACUUCCUUCGAACAAUAUAAACUCCCACCCCAAUGCAAUGCAAUAUAUAUGACAUGCUAAAACAUAAUAUCAUGCAUAAAGUCGUGGCAUACAGUACCAAACCAGUGGGACAUCAUCAUGCUUAUUAACAUGCAUAAUCGUAUCUGUCAUACAGUCAUUUCAAUCAAUUAGGGGUCUAGGUAAGCUUACUAACCCUACGGUAGGUCCACAGUUGACUCGGGCGACCCAUGCAACCUUAGCCAUCAAACAGUGAAAAUAGGCCCACAAGCCCAUGACAUUUGCCCGUGUGGGCCCACACACCCAUGUGGCCCACACAACCCAAAAAAGGCCUUGGCCGUGUGGAUCACACAGCCUAGCCCAAUAAUCUCACACGCCCAUGUGGUUCACCCGUGUGGGCCUACACGCUUGUGUGGCCCACACAGCCCAAUUCGGUCCAACUCGUGUAUCGCACACGACCAACCUCGUCGAUCACAUGCCUGUGUUUAGUCACACGGCCUAUCGCAUGGGCGACCACACGCCCGUGUGGUGUCGACAGUCCCACUUUUUGGCUUUUCGCCAAUUACUGAUUUUCAAUGUUGUGUUUACACACCUUUUUUCAUUUGAAGUUAACCCGCACUCCGAGUACUCCAAAACCUAGAUUCAAUCAAAACAUCAUUCAAUCAACUACUUAACUCGUUAUUCAAUCAAGGCCUAACGAAGUUAAAAAUCGAUCAACAAUCGAAACCCCCUUACCGAAGUCAACCAGAAUUGCACCCUCAAUUCCUUAAAGAUACACCAACCAACCCUUGGUCUCCACCUAAAACGAGAGUCACAAACCUUCUCGUUAAGCCUUUAAUCGAAUUACACUACAAAAUUCAAUUACAUUAUACUUACCGAUCAUACACAACCCUUCAUUCAGUAUCUUAUAAAACGAGACAAUAAAACACCUAAAUCACUUACCCAACUGACGAAAGAACAUAGUGCAAUUUGGCAACGCAAGAGAGAACGAAUCGAAAAGGGGAAUCCAAGACUGAAAAGAGGAAAAAUAGAGGGGGUGACAGUAAGAGGAGGAAAAGGAAAACGAUGAGAAGGGGAGUGCAAAGCCGAAAGGGGACAGAAGGCAAAGCAGAACUCACCUAGCAAUAUUCGGCCAAGAAGAGGAGCAAGAUGACGCACGGUCGGCUUGAGGGGAAGGGAAACUAGGUCAAAAAUUUGGGAACAGAAAAGGGGAACCGAAUUUUUUUAAAAAAAAGGGCAGCAAGUGGGGAUAUUUCGGCUAAAAACAAAAAAUAGGUAGAAAAGAUGGAGAGUAGAAAAUCGACAGAACACAAAAAGAAAGGAGGAAGAAAACUGUUCAGCCAAAAAUUUUAUUCUGGCCGAAAUUCCUCAAGAUAAUGCCCAUAUCCCCCAAAACAAAAUCCCUAAAAUCUCCCCCCCCCAAACCGUCCGCCACUUCCCUACUACACCUCAAAUUCUCAGCAUUUGACUACAAUCCAAACUCCUUCACGACACAAAUAACAAAAAUAAUACUCAUGCCCAGACUUGAACACAAGACCUUUAGCACACUAACUCACCACUUAACCCCCAAACCAGCAGACCCAUUCUGUCAUAUUUUACCAACAUUUAUUUAUAAGCCAACUAGUUAGAGAUAAAGGUUUAUUCAUUUAAAAACCAAAAAUUUGCCCAAGCUAAAGCUUGAACUUAAGACCUCACACACACACCCAGAACACUUAACCACUGAAGUAGACAGAUAUUUGUAUCACAAACAUACAAAAAUAAAUAUACAAGGGAUUGUUGGGGUGUUACAACCAAAGUACAAAUAAGGGAACGUAUGUGUAAUUCAGGGGUACCAAAGUACAAACAGGGGCACGUAUGUGUAAUUUUGGGGUACCGAAGUACAAAUAGGGGAACAUAUGUGCAAUUCAGGGGUACCGAAGUACAAAGGGGCAUGUAUGUGAAAUUCAGGAAAUAAUUAAGUAUAAGCAAUUAAUUACAUAACUAUAUUGAAAACAUACAAGUAGAAAUUCAAGUACGUAUACAAAUACUAUGGCCUUCCAUUGACAACUAGAGCGUAAAAGUACGGUCAAGCUAAUUCGUGAUUUUUAUCUUUCCUCGGUUUAGAUCCUGUUGAGAUUUAUCUUGAUCUAAAUAAAUAAUUAUAUUCAAUUAAGUGUUUCAAUCAAUCUCAAACAUUCAAUUCAAUCCAUAAUCCAUAUUCAUAAAUAAUUACAAUUUUGCCCCUAACAUUUUAACUUUUUUACAAUUUAGUCCUUAAACUCAUAAAUUGAAAUCUAAGUAUUCUCAUCCCUAACUCAUGCUAAAAGAAUUUAUUAUGAACCCAUAUCAACUCAUACAAAUCAUCAUUUCACAAUUUAACCAUGAUAUUUUACUACUUUUACAAAUAAGUCUCUAAAUGAUUUUUUUUUAUCAAAAAUCACUUUACCAAACUUGUUUAUUUAUCUACAAGGACUCAUAAUAUUUUUUUAAACUUUAAGAAUCAUACAAAAAAUUCAUGGAAAACCCUAAAUCUUUAACAAUUUUGUAAAUUAGUCCUCGGGCUAACUAGAUUAAGCUACAACGAUCCCAAAAACAUAAAAACCAUUAAAAACGGGGCUUGAACACUCACCACGCACACAACCCUAGCUCAACCGAAAGUUCCCUCUUCUCCAAUUGCCAAAAUCAGUUUUGGUUCAUCAAAUAAAGAAGAUGGACAUUUUGUUUUAAUUAAUUUAACCUUUAUUUACUAAUUUACCUUUUUACCCUUUAAAAACUUUAAUAAUUUCAAUAAAACCAUGUUAUGGAUGUCCAACAUUUAAACCCACUCACAUUUAAAUUUCGUAGCAAUUAAACUCCUUUAACUUAUAGAACUCUAUUUUUGUACCUUUUACGAUUUAGUCCUUUUUACUAAAUUAAGCAUGCAAAUGUCCAAAUUUCUUAACGAAUUUUUUAUACAACACUACUAACAUACUGUAGACAUUAAAAUAAUAAUAAGAUAAAAAUUCUCUCAUCAAAUUUGUGGUUCUAAAACCACUAUUUUUAUUUUACUAAAAACGGGUUGUUACAAUAUUCAUCCCAACCCAAUGCAAAAUGACAUGUUAUAAUUAAAAAAUAGCAGAAACAAGGCAUGAUCAGAGCAUGAAAACAGUGGCAAAAAUAGUAGGCAUGAUUUAAACAUGCGAUCAGAGUAAGAACAAUGGCAUAAAUUCCACGCAAUCGGUAAAAUAGUAUAGCAAGCGUAUUUGAUGACACUUUUAGAAUUAUCAGUAUUAGAAUUCACAUUUUUAAUAUGACUAAAUUUUAGUUAUAGUGUGCAAGGUUUAUCAUGACAUCAAUCUCAAUAAUAUAUUUGCAACAUGGUUCAAACACAUAUUAUACGAAUAUCAUCAAAUCAUAAUACAACACCCAUACAUAUUUAUGACAUCAUGGAUUUAACAGGUUAGAGUCAUUUACUUAAAAACAAUCCUAUUGAAGGAUUUUAUCAAUCACCAUGAAUACUUAGCGUAUUCAAAUAACCACGUUUUGAAGUAGAUAAUAAAUAUUAAUCAUAAUUAAACAAUGAUUAAGAAAUAAUCAUAUAUAUUUUUAUUUUAUUAAAUCCACGCCUAAAAAUAAGCCUUGUCACUAAAUCUACACCUCAAACUCCAACGAUAACGAAUCUAAACAGAUCUCGUUUGAUCUGAUCAAGUAAUAAUAGUAUGAUACCAAUAGGACAUUCGUUAGUUUUAGCCAUAAACCAAAAUAUAAUUCUCUUAUGAAUUCAAAUAAGAAACUCACCCCAAUAUCUUUUUGAAAAGAGAUCCAAACGUUUUUCAGAUCCAAACGUUUUUCUUACGCUAAAGUAAAUCUAAAUGAUCUGGAUUAGACUUGUGAAGAAACGUGUAACACAAAUAUUAGACCAUAUAUUCAGAUCACAUAAGAAAAGAAAGGAUUUAGAUUAGAUUUACUAAUCGUUAAGCUAAACUGAUCAAAUUGAGAAGAUUAACGAUUCACUAGAAUUUUUGGUUUGAUAGAGGAGUAGUGGCUAAGGAAAAACAAAAAAAUGAAUAAAGUGAGUAUGCAUAUUAUUUAAUAAUUUAAGAAAAAGAAGAAGAAGAGAUGCUAAAAUUCAGUUAUGACCAAAUAGAUGAAAAGAGAAUAAAUAAGAAGAAAAUUGGUGGGCGUCGGUGGCGCGUUAGCAAAGACAGUGGAAUAGGUCCGACGGUGGCAAGAAGAGAGUGGGAGAAGAGGGAUGAUGGUGCAGUGGUGGUGUUUAGGUUGUGUGAUGUUGGCUAAAGGUGGUGAGUGGUGGCAAAAUCAAAUGUAAGUGGCGACUCAAUGUUGUGCAAGAGAAGGAGGAUGAGAGAAAAAGAAAGGGUAGAAAGGAAACAAAGAAAUGAAACAAAAUUAUUUUGUUUCUCUAGUUGCAAAGGACGAAUAAAGGGUUUGAAGGGGAGAAAAAUAGGAAGAAGGUGAAAAGAGGGGAAGAAAAAGAAAGAAGAAGGAACAUGUGGAGUGCAAAAGGAGAAAGAAGAGAAAUAAGAGUAAAAUAUGGGAGGAAAGAAUCCCGCUUGCAAAGAAACUAGAACGAAGGACAAUAGGGAGGUUUGAACAAAAAUUUAAAUGCAAAUUUUUUUUUAAAAAAAUAAGAAGAAGGAGAGGGAAAUUGAACUUAGAUCACCUGAAAAAUUUAGCUUGCUCUUAACCACUAGGCUAGAACUCUCACUUGUUUAAGAAUUAACGAUAACUUAAUUUAGAUGAGGUGUGACAUAACCUUUUUUAAUAUUUAUAUUAUAGAAAUAUUAUAUUACUAUAGAUUUAAUUUUUUUGUGCUACAAAUUACAUAAUAUAUAAAAAAAUAACAUAACAUAAAAUAUUACGAACUUAAAAGCGAGUCAGACUGGGCUGAUUCGAGCCUUGAAUGUUCAAGCCCAAGCCCGACCAAUAUUUUAAACAGGCCUAAUUUUUUUGUCAAAACCCAUUUUUCGGGCUUACUAUUUUUGUUCAAAUCCUCUCAAAUUUUAAGCCAGCCUUCAGGCUUGGGCAGAUAGCCUGUCCCAUUAACAAAUCUAGAGCUUUGAAAUUUAAGCAUACUUAGGGCUCGUGCAUUUACGUGUGGUUAGUAUCAAAACAGUACUGACGAUGAGAUUAGAUUCUAUAAUGAUGCUAUAACGUGAGACAAGACAGAAAAAACUAAACGUAUCGCACGAGAACUAAACGUCCAUCCAAAGGGAAAACUGAGUGUGGGUUUGGAUGGACGGUGCGGUGCGUUUAGCUUACUAUUUUUCUCACGCUAUAAUAUCUAAUUUCACCACCAAUGCUAUUUUUACACUAAGCGCAAAGUAAAUGCACCGUCCAUCCUAAUUAUCCCCUAAUUAAAAUUCCCUCCUGAUUUUCACCUAAAAACAAUUUUUGAAAUUGCGAUUCUCUUCCCUUUGGCAUCCCAAAAUCUAAACUCUAACCUUUUCCAACAUCCUCCAUCAGUACUUCCUUGAUGCUCUCCAGUUUUCGCUUCUCAAAUCCUUCAAAACCCACCAAGAAACCUAGCACCUCCAUGCAUUUUCCCUCAAAAUUGGCAUUUUCUCUCACCCCUACCCUCUUCUUGUCUCCUUUCUCUCUAUGCCGACCACAACAUUAGCAACCUCCACUAUGCUUGCUCCGCUUUCGAUCGAAUCCAAUACCCCUUGUUGAUUCUCUAGAAUAUCAUCCUCAAAUGCUACAUACAAAGGGUUAACAAGGGUUAUAAUGUAGGGGUGUAAGGUAGGCUGAAACAAAAGUAAAGAUCAGUUUAAAUGUGGCAUUUUAAGGAUGGGUAAAUAGGAAUAGUAUGAAACUCACUUGAUCGAGACUUACAAAGAAAGAGUAACAAGUAUUUCAACACUUCACUUUUUUUUAUACUCGAUUUUUUUUUUACUUCAUAUACUUUUUUUAAUUCAAAUACAAUUGAACAAUACAAAAGAACUUUGAAUACAACUUAUUUUUUUUAAUUCGAAAUUUUUUUUACAAACCUAUUUCGAGAUGAAUACGAACGUCGGUGCUCCUCAUUUUAAUAGCUCUGAUACCAAAUGAUAUGAACUGACUCAAUAAUGUUGAUUUGAAUCACUUUAAUUGCCUGACCAUCUACGAGAAGAGUCGUUUGUUUUGUAAAAUGAUGGAUUUUGGUUAACUUAUAAACGAAAGUUGGCAAAGGGGUUCAAAUGAUAGGCUAGGUUUGAUAUUUGAUAGGCUCGGUUUAACAAAGAAAUAAAGUAAAUAGUUGAUAGAUAUGAUGGAAUGGAUAAGUGAACUCAAGCUUCAAGAUCGAUUUAAUACUAUAAUGAGUAUUGCCCCGGAACUUAUAUCGCUUAAGGUGGGUUAAUGAAAGAUAGAAGAUGGACCUUGAACCGUUACCUAAAGAGGUAGGAACCAAAGGUAUAAUUUGAUGCAUGAGCACCACACCAAGGUUGGUGAUAAGUUCAAAGAGUUCGGGUUGACGCCACUAGCAAGCUAGAUAAGUCCAUUCGAGACUCAAACGAAAUAGAGAGGAAGAAACCUCACAGGAACAAAUGUUAAUUCAAUAAUUUGGCAAAAAGUUCCUUCAAAUGUUUACAAGAAAGCUAUUUAUAGACACAAAGAUAACUACUCAAAUUCAGAAUCUAUGUGUUCACACAAUAAUAAAAAUGUUCACACUAAAGCAUUAAAAUUCGAUUCAUGCUUGAAGAGGGUGCAUGAAUUGGCCGAACCAUCAUGUUGCUUCACUUGAUGCAUUCAUGCAUACUUAGCCUUGAAGAAUAGAAAUAAUUCGAUGAAUAUGCAGCCCUUUAAUGCUUCUACAUCUCCCAUGGCUGAGUGAAGCUUUAAUGUGCCUUGAAUACUUGAUGAUCAUCUUAAAUAUGCAUGAAACAUGCAUGAAAACUUCCCAAUGCAUGUUCCUCCAUAAAUAUGGUCCAUGAAUCUUCAAAUGGAUGAACAUUCAGCAGCUCCCUUGUAACACCCCCGAACCCGAGACCGUCGCCGGAGUCGAACAUGAGGUGUUAACAGACUUCAAACCACUUAUUAAAAUUUUUCCAGACAAGCUGCCAAUCUGCGUACUAGUCACUUUAAAAAUCAUAUCUUGAGCUCUGGAACUCGAAAUCCAGUUCCGUGAAUUUUCCCUGAAACUAGACUCAUAUGCCCUUCUACAUAUUAUUUUUCUAGAAUUUUUGGUCGGGCAAAUUAGUACAGUUUAUUAGUAAAAGUCUCCCAUGUUACUGGGGUCGACUACACUGACCUUUGCGCAUUACGACCUGGAUAUCUCCCUGUACAGAGCUUCAAUACUGAUGCCGUUUGUUUCUAUAGAAACUAGACUCAGAGAGGAAUCCAUAUAUAUAUGGAUUGACUCCUAAUUGUCUCUGGUUAAUUUGUAAUGAAUUUCCAAAAUCGGAACAGGAAAUCCAGAAACCGUUCUGGCCCUGUCUCACGAGAACCUGAAUAUCUCUUAAUAUACUGUUCAUAUGAUUGUUUCGUUACUUUCAUAUGAAAAUAGAUUCAUCAAGGUUCGAUUACAUAAUUUAUUCACUAUUUAAUUCCAUUCCUACAAAUUUUUGUGAUUUUUCAAAUCCACACCACUGCUGCUAUCAGCAUCUGUUUUCAAGGUAAACUUUACCUAUUUCGUGGUUACCACGGACCAACUAGGGUUUUGUCAUACAUAGGUCCGCAUAUGAUCAUAUUUAGCCAUUCCAAUGGCUGAUCAUUUGCUCAACACUUCCAUUCCAAACCAUAGUCACAUCAUGAAACCAUAUAUACAUACAUAAACACAAAUGGUCUAAUGCCAUACUCCACUUCUACAAGCCAUUUUCGCAUGGCUGUACACACAUACAUCACAAAAAGUACUUGAACAACAACAAUGGGUAGUCCUAUACAUGCCAUAUCCAGAGUUCAACUAAAAGAGUACCAAAAGGGCUUUGAUAGUGUGGAUGACUUCGACUUCGAUGAUCCCGAAUCCGAUAUCUAACGAACAAAAUCUAUAAAACAGAGAGCCAAAGCAACGGGGUAAGCAUUUUAAAGCUUAGUAAGUUUCAAGUAAUGAAAUCAGCUUUGACUAAAGUAUUACAUUCACAUAGCUAAAUGAACCACUUUAUUAAUACACAUUCUCAUAAUCAUGCUUACUUCACACUUCAUCAACAUAUAUACACACACAAGGUAUCAACCCAUCUAAAAGCCCAAAAGUUCGUUAGUCGAUUGAAUGAAUACUAUUUAAAACGAAUCGACUUUCCGAAGCACAUGCAAACAUACCUUAUCGUUUGGGUUUGUCGAGCGUAUUAAUUGAAUUUAUUACAGCACAAAACGCUCACAUUCAUACCCAAGUUUCUUCGGAAUUUAGCCGGGUAUUACCACAAGCACAAUUGCCUUCGGGUCUUAACCCGGGCAUAGCAACUCGCACGAAUGCCUUCGUGUCUUAGCCCGGAUAUAUCAACUCGCACAAAUGCCUUCGGGUCUUAGCCCGGAUCAAAUCACUAGCACAAAUGCCUUCGGGACUUAGCCCGGAUCAAAUCACUAGCACAAAUGCCUUCGGGACUUAGCCCGGAUCUCAUUCAAAUGCUCAUGCACACAUAAAUCAACAGUCUUGGCACAUCCAUAUUUCAUUUUCGUUACUAAGGCUCAAACACAAAACAUUUAUUAAACCUUUCCAAUUUCGGCUCAAUAGCCACACACAAAGAGCAUGAUUUCAAUUGGCUUUAUAACAUAGUCUCUAUGCACAUUCGGCUAUCCGUCAUAGUAUGACUAAUCAUUUCAAUAUAAUUCAAGUAGGGUCAUUACUCGAAGACUUACCUCGGAUAUUUUAAAUAGUUGUGGAUAGACUACUCGAUCGCUUUUUCUUUUCCUUUAUCAGAUUUUGACCCUCUUGGCUCUUGAGCUUGAUUCAAUAAAUAGAUUUUAUUAAAUAACUUAUCAAUUUAGCGAUUCGAUUUAAUACAUGUAUACCAUACAAUUAAGUACAAAUGAUGUUAUUAACUAGAUAUUAAACAUCAUACAUAUGCUCUACUCAAGUACUAAAGAACAUAAUACUAGCUUAAUACCAUGCAUAAUCGAAUUUAUUUAGCAUCAUUUAGUUUUAUAAAAAUACACAUAUCAUCCCAACUCGACACAAGAGUCAAAUUCAUCACUCAAACAUUCACACCAAUUUAUUUUAAUAUUUUGGCCGAAACCCUCAAUUGGCUAACAUAGCCUUAAUAUUUCAAUAUAAACACGUAUACAUCAAAGGCAAUUUAAAACACUUAACCCUUAUACUCAAUAAUGAAACCAAACCGUAUACCUAAUUUUUAAACACAUCACCUCCAAAUGCAUGUAUUAACUAACAUAUAUCCAAUCCACAUGCCAAGUUACCAUGAAUAAAUUAAACUUAUAUAUAUAUAACAUAGCUAAAUAUUCCUUAACAUAAAGGCAUUUAGUGACAUUUAAAAAAAAUAUAAUAACCAUUUCCAUAAGUAUAUUUUCAUGCAAAGACCGUACCUAAAUCACCAACAUUUUAACUCCCAACUACUUAGACUUAACCUUUCAUACCCUUAUAUCUAAUGUCAUAAGAAUAGCCGAAUGUCCAAAUUAACCAAGCUUAAAGAUUUAACCUUCAACACUUUAAUAUUCCACAACCUAUUCUUCAAGGCUUCAAAUAUAAAGUAAUUAACAUUUAUACUCUUAUGCCGAAUUAGCUAACACUUAUAAUCCAUAGCCGAAUGUCAUUAAACCUAAACCACCAUGAAAAUUUUACUUAUCACCUCAUACCUUAUUAUCAAAUUGAACUAAUUAUGCUUAUAAAAAUAAUAUCAAAACCGAAACCUUUUAAUAAUUAAGCCUCUAAUUAUUUAUUUCAAUUACCCAAACGAAAUUUUCUCACAUUUAACACUUAUAUACCCAUCAAUUGUUGAAGACAAACAAAAUCUCAUUUCCUCCCUUGACAACCACAACCGAAAGCUCAAACCAACAUCUAAAAUUCCAAGUUUUCAAAUGGGCUAAUAUGGAACUAGCUAAUUGACUUAAACUAAGCUUAAAAUUUCAAAAAACUAGCAAAAUUUUUACUAACCUUCUCAAGCUUCAAGUGACCGAAUGUUUUUGCCCCAAUUCUUUCUUUCAAUUCGGCCAAGAAGACAAAGAUGAAGCUUUGUCUUCAUUACUUUUCUUUUUAUUCUUUCUUUAAUUUAUUUCCUUUCUUUUGCAUAAAAUAAUGGCCAUUUAAUUAAGAUUUAGUACAUAUUAUAUAUAUAUGACCAUCAUGGCCGGCCGCCACUUAAAAUAAAAGGGGUAUUUGACAUGCAAGUACAAUUAUUUGCAACAUGCAUAAAUGGGCCAUUUUACAUUAGCCUAGCACAUUUCUAAAUUUUCUCACAUAAGUCCUAUUUAAUAAAAUUCACUUACAAUUUACAAAAUUCAACCAUGAAAUUUUCACACAUGCAUAUAUACAUAUAAUAAACAUCAAAUAUGACGGUCAAUUAUUUUUGUGACUCGGUUUAGUGGUCCCGAAACCACUUUCCGACUAGGGUCAAUUUAGGGCUGUCACAUCCCUCUUGCAUGAAUGUCCCAAAUACAUGUGCUCUUUUAAAUGUCAUCCAUUGAACCUCAAUUAUGCAUGCACCCUUCCAUACUUUGCACUAGGCCCUACAUGAAUCUUGUAUUAAAUACAUCUUCACAUUCGGCUGAACCUAGUUCAUAUCAAGACAAAUUAAUUAAAAUACUAAGAUAAAUUAAAAAUAAUUAAUUAUGGACUAGCUAGUAUAUUAAGUUCGGCUAGCUCAAACAUGUGAAAAUAAUUAAUGAACUCAUUUGAGCUAGGGAAUUCAGUCAUGAGCUGUAUCAAAUUAAAUAAAAUAAAACUAAUACUUCGCUUAUAAAAGAAAAGAGCUGAAACUAAGCUAGGUUGAGCUCAAAUGAGCUUAAAUGAGCUCAAGUGAACUGAUUCAAGCUGAAUGGAGCUUGGGGAGCUGAAGAUGAGCUAACAUCAGCUUGCACUAUGGUGCAAGGAGUCUUUAAGGUGCUAGCCCGACCUUCUCCAUUGACAUCGAGCUUGUUCUCUUCCCAAAAUUGAGUGAUUAAAGCUGAAACAGCUUCUUGGAAUUGCCUAGCUCGAGCUCGAGUCAUUGGGCCUUUAGGGACCUCAAUAGGUGCUUGGCUCAAAGUCCUCGAGCUCCCAACCGUGCUUACAUCAUCAUGCAUAACUUAUACCUUGUCAUUAGAACUUAUCAUUUGAACCAUAAUUUUCAUGCAUCCCAAAUAUACAUAUAUCUAACUUAUACAUACUUGACUAUAACUUAUCCAUAUAUAUAAUUUAAUUUCAUACCAAGUUAUACCACAAUUGACCACAUGCCAAAAUCACAUUCAAACAUACCAAUUUGGUUAUUCAAAACACAACUUCAAAUGACCAUUUCCACUCCAACCAUCAAGGACAUCUAAAUGACACAAAUCUAACCAUAUUUAGAUGGUUCCAACAAUCAACAUGUAUACAAACCAUAUUUCAAUCAUGCACAUCUAUUCAAAAAGCCUUACCAAAGCAUACUAUAUCUUGGCCAUGUUGAGGUUAAUUCAUCAUAUAUCACUUUGGUCAUUCAAACAUGCUUUAACACAUAUCAAUAAGGCACCAAAUGUACCAAGGCUUCAUCACCCAAAAUGACCUAUACAUGCCAAACUCAUCAACUAACAUUCGACUAAUCAUCAACCACAAGUUCACCUAUACAUGCCAUUAUAACCUUAACCAAGACAUCAAAAUCUACCGAUAUAAUCGAUGGAUAGUGUGAUGGAUCUCCGACUAGUUUCCAACCCGAUCGAGCUUUUGAUAAUUUGAAAAGUAAAGGAAAAACAACUACAUAAGCAAUGAAUGCUUAGUACGCUCGUAUAACUUUAAUCAUAUCAAUCCAUUUCAAAUAUGAAAUUUAUACAUAUCAAGAAUAAUCCUAUACCAAUACCACAAGAUUUAUGAAACCAUAAUCAACAACUCACACAGUGAAUAAAACCACAACAUCACAUAUACAUAUCAUCCCUAGCAUAGUAGGAUUUUUUAAAACUUUAAACCCUUUCAAAUUUUAUUAUUUUCAUUUACAUUUCAUUACUUUCCAUUACAUUUACUUUCUUUAGCUUAAACAACAACAUUAGUUUAACUCAUCAAUCCAUUUUUCAUCAUUUUACACUUCAAGUAUGAACUUACUUUUUCAUUACCUUUCCACACCCGUUUCAUAUGCAUAGCACACAAGACAUAAGCAUAUCAUCAACCAUAGCCACAAGCUAGUGCAUUUAAACAUAGCUCUUUUGGAAUUAACCACAUGAUAAACCAUUUCAUAAGAAAUUACAUAAUUUAAACCUUACCACUCUUUCAUGAACACAAGCAUAUUUCUAUUUGGGCACUUACAAUUUCAAUGCAUAACUUCUAAGUAAACAUAAUAAAAUCCAACCAAUAGCUUGACACAUGCCUAAGCAUCAAACAACAACACAUGUUAGCAUACUUGAACAUAUUUCACAUAAAUUCAACAUGGAUAACCAUUAUACUUGAAUACGAUUCAAUUUGGAUAUAACAUCCUUCAAAACAUAACAUGUUUUCCAUAUAUCUCAUCAUUUCAAUGUAUUUCAUGUAUACCUGUAUUUUCUCAUAUUGAACAUUUACAGUUCCCUGUCCAAUUCGUGUCCGUUGAACCGAAUAGAAUAUCAUUGGAUACUCGGGAUAGCUUACACAAAGUGGGCUAACUCAUAUAAUCGUAAUGCGUCAAUUCAUGUACAUAUAUGCUCACAUGAGCUGUGAAUAAGUAUGCUCACAUGAGCUAAGAAAAUAGGCCUACUCACACGAGCUGUGGGUCGGAACGUAGCUAUACGAUGCUACUCAUACGAGCUGUGGAGUAUGCGCAACACAUGCCAGACCUGAACCAACAGUAGGACAUUCAAGACCAGCACCUGAAUCAUGUAAACCCUAAUGACAUGUCAUUUGUAUCCUACGAAUUCCUAAGGUUUAAAUGGGGCUCAGUAGUCGUCGUACGCCGUUGAAUUUCUAUCGUUUCAUGACAUAAUAAUUUGCAUAAUAUCAUCUAUAUAUAUUAAUUCAUGUACAAUACAUUAAACAGUUAAUUUAACUCACAUUUAAGUGUUUAUAUUUCAUACGAACUUACCUGGCUAAAUUGCAGAAAUGUCAAAGUAUAAGGGCAUUUUGGUAAUUUUUUAUUCUCCUCUUAAUUUUCCACUUGAUCUUGAUCCAAAUUAAUAAUUUCAUUCAAUCUAUCAAUUUAGAUAGUAAAACAAUGUAUUUUAUGCACUUUAUUCAUUUUUUACAUUUUUACAAAAUUACCCCUAAAGUUUUACUUUUAUUCAAUUUAGUCCCUGAGCCUAAAACAUGCAAAUUAACCAUUUUUACCCAAAAUUUAGCCUAUCAAAAUUCUUAUGGCAUCCAAACAGCUCAUUCAUGCAACAAUUUCACAUCAAAUCCUUGUACUUCUACUAUUUUAACAAUUUAGUCCCUAAUAAAAAAAUUCAUCAAAAAUCACUUAAUAAAAUACUUUUAAAUAACAACUAAUAUUUCAAAUUCAUCAUUUAACGUCUAAAAUCACUAGGUUCAUCAAUGGAAACAUUCAAAAUCUUUAACAAUUUCAAAAUCGAAGGUACGGGCUAGCUGGACCUAGUUGCAAUGAUUUCAAAAACAUAAAAAUUAAAAGAAAUGGGGCUAAAACGGACUUACAUGCAUCAUCCAAAGCAAGACCGAAGCUUGAAGCUUCUCCCAUUCUUUUUCCAUGGAAACCUUCGGUGGUGAAAAACAAAUGGGGAAGAAAACAUUUUGUUUUCUUUAUUUUAGUAACAUUUAAUUUUAUUCUAUUAAAUAAAUAACAUAUAAAACAUUAUAAUUAAAAGAAAUUAAGCAUCCAAACUCCCUACCAUAUUUAGGAUGGCUAUUUUACUCAAUAAGGCCUUCCAAUUAUAAUUCUUUCAGCAAUUAACACCUUUAAACUAAUAGCAAUUGACUUUUUCAACUUUUACAAUUUAGCCCUUUUUGUUUAAUUAACUAUCGAAACGUUAAAAUUUUUUAACGAAACCUUAAUAGCACCUUAAUGACACUCUGUAAAUAUUUAUAAAAAUAUUUAUGACUCGGUUUAUAGAAACAAGGUCCCGAUACAUUAUUUUCUAAAACCAUUUGACCCUAAGGUCUUACCACUUGAACUUAAUAAAUCGCUUAAAUAACAUAAAUUAUCAAAUCAAAAACCUUUUUAAAAAUCACAUUUGACUCGUAAAUAUUAAAAAAUAACAUUUACGAACUUACUCGCCAGAUUUGGUGGCCCCGAAACCACUGUUUCUGACACCACUGAAAAACGGGUUGUUAUAGUACCCUAUAGGCGACACCGACCUGUUGUUUCUGCCCUCCUCUACUUCUCCGUGCACAAUGGGAUGAGACCUUUAAGGGUCUUGUGAAAAAUAUUUUUCAGGGACCUUAUAAUGGUCCCCUAAUGUGAAAAAAAAACAAAAUAGAAGAAGAAGAAGAUUUAGAGAAGAGAAUGGGAAGGGAAAAAAUAAAGAAAAAUGAGAGUAGAAGAAUAGAUAAGAGAAGAGAAUAAGAAGGGGAAAAAAGAAUAAAAGAGAAGGAAAGAAGAGAAUGAGAAGGGAAAAAAAAGAGAAAAGGAGAAAAGGAAGGAAGAAAGGGAAAGACAUUUGGGCUUUAAGGAGUUAAGUUUAGGGUUUGAAAAAAAAAGACUAGUGGGUUUUGUUUAAAGUUUGGAAAAAAGGAUUAAAGGGUUUUGUUUGGGGUUAUAUGGGUUUAUGAUUAAAAAGAAUUCAAAAGAGGUAUUUUUUUUAGUAUCUAUACAUUAUUUGUUAGUUUAGUAAUUUUUUUUUAUUUAUAGGUUAUAAAUGUUAAAUUUUUUUUGUUUAACCAUGUUAUUUUAGAAAUGUUUUUGAUUAAUUUAGAUUCUGAUUAAUUUUUUUAUUUUUGUAAGGUAUUAUUUCGGUAAGAAAUAAAGGUUUUUUAUAGGUAUUAUUUUGGUAAGGUAUGUUUCUAUUUUAUUUUUUGAUUUGUAUGGUUUUUUUAUGCUUUGUAUUAGAUUCAAAUAACAACAUUAAUCCCAUUAGGUUUAUUAUGUUGAGAUCAUUUCUACUGUUUCAACAUAAAUUUUUUGUUGUUUUAUAUAGGUAAAAGAUGAUACCAUUGAGUUGAAAUUUAUGAGAUAUUUUUUCUGUUCUUUAUUAACUUAAGUAGUAUAAAAAUGUUUAUUAUAUACUGAAAUAAUAUGGCAAAAAAUGUGAUGUGCACCAAACUCUUUAGCAUUUUUGUAAUUAUAUUAUUAGUGUACUAUAUUUAUUGUAUAAUAUUAAUGUGUUUUGAUAAUUAUUUAAGAUGUGAUAAUUAUUUUUUGUUAGGGUGUCUUAUUUCUGUAUUUUAAUAUUUCUUCUCCUAUUAUUGGGAUAAAAAGGCUCAAAUAGAAACUAAUUACCUACCGAAAUGUGUUUUUAACAAAAAACUAAUUACACUCUUUUUUUUAGGUUGCAAAUAUCAAAAUGGGUUCUUUGAUUAAAGAUGAUAAUCGCAUUUCAAAAAUGGUUAAUAUGAUGGUAAUAAAAUUGUUUUUUCUUACCUUAUAAAAUGUUCCACGUCAUUUACGAAUUUAAACUAGGUUAUAUUAACUAUUUCUGUAAUUUAAUAGUGUUAGGGCCUAUACCGCACAUUGAGGGGUCGUACGAAUGAUUUAGGAUAUCUGCUGGAUGAACGUGUAAUUCCAUACUUGGAGUUAGCCAGAUUCGGAUCAACAACAUUGAUCCGAACAUUUGAUUUACGGUACAACUUAAUAUCCGCUUUGGUCGAGCGAUGGCGUCUAGGGACCCACACUUUUCAUUUGCUGUGUGGGGAGUGCGCCAUCACUUUAGAGGAUAUUACACUGCAACUCGAGUUCCCAAACGAUGGGAAAGCGGUAACGGGCAUAAGUGCGAUCCUAGAGCCGUCCACCCUUUGCUAUAACCUACUGGGAGUCUCGCCCGGUGAUGUUAGGUCGAAAUUUUUGGGUUUGAGGUUUUCAUGGCUGAAGGCCAAUUUUGAGAAUAUACCGAUUAAUUCCACUGAUCGGGAGGUAAUGUGCGUCACUUGAGCGUACAUUAUGCACAUUAUAGGGGGUGUACUCAUGCCGGAUGCAGAUAGCAAUAAGGUCCAUUUGAUGUACUUGCCCCUGUUAAUUGGUUUGCAUAACGUCACUUCAGAUGGAUCUUUCUUUCGAUUUGCAGCCCUUGUUACAAUACAUACAGUGGUACUCCGAGAAGGGGAAAUCGUAUUUAUUUGGUGGGAAAUCAAUUCUAGUUCUUCUACACAUACCAUAACUUGGGCAACCCGCCCAUCCCCUUUCACAUCCGACUCCUGCACUCGAGCUAGAGCCCUAGUCUAAACCUGAGCCUACGCCCAAACCCGAGCGGUCUCAUACAUAGCCUGGAGAUAGUUCUUUUCAUUCGGACCUAGGGUUCGAUGACUAUUCCUCGGGCUCAUCAGGCCACGAUAUCAUUCAGGGUUUCUCGGAUCCAAUUCUGAUAUACCUAAUUCGAUAUCAUCAAUGACGUUUGAUAUCUUCAACCCUUACCACCGUAAUACCCUGCUCCUCCCAGAUAAACAUUUGGGGCAUACGCCCCUAGGUUUCAGUGAGGACCACAUUGAUAACCGCGAGCACCCUCAAUGUGAACACCAACCACCACAACAAUUUACCCCUAGGACCACACCAUCAAACCAUCAAUUUUUGGGGUUUCUAUCAUUUCAAUGAUCAUGUUUGUAUGUAUAUAAUUGUUGUAAAAUUUGUAGUAAAAUUUAGGCAUUUAAACUCAAUUUUUACUUAACCUUUAAGUUUUUGGUACUAAAUUUAAAUGAGAUGGUGCCUAAGGUAUAAACUAUCGAUUUAUAUACAUGCAAAAAUAUAAAUGCAAAAAUAUAUAUUUGGUAAUAUAAAUGAAAAAUACAAACUUUAUAAUAUAAAUGCAAAAUUACAAACUUUGUAAUAUAAAUUAGAUGCAUUGGAGUACAUUUGUAACACCCUUUAGCCGUAUUCGACACCAGAAUAGGGUACGAGGCAUUACCAGAACACAUACACUUGUAAAUGUAUUUAACCGAGUUAUAAAACUUCAUCUAAAUUAAAACUUUCAAAUUUUAUAAUUCUUCAUAAUAUAUCCUCAAAAUAUUAUAUUCAUAAUAAAUAGGACCUAUGAGACCCGAUACAUAUUCAUGCAAUUCACAAGUCUUAAUAAUUCAAUGCUUCAUUUCCAUUUCAUUCAAUUCUCAAAUUUCUCAUGUUGACAAUUCAAAUCAUUAAUUUCAAUACUAAUACGUAUUUAUCAUUUAACUCAACGUUCAUUGAUUAUACCAUUCAUUAACACAUUUAUGAAAUUCUAAAUUUUUGCAAUGAAAAUAUCACUUAUCUUAUAAAAAACAUCAAUUCAACUCAUCAUCCUAGUAUAAAUUCACUACCACUUAUCCAUUUACUAUAAUUCUUUUGGGUUCAUUUGUCACUUACCAUUCUGAAUCAAAUUAGGGAACGGUUACGGAAAAUUGAGUACUUCACUUCCACCUUGCCAUAGUAUAACUAUGAUCUUACGUAUGAUCACUUAUCACUUGUCCCUGAUCAGAUAAGUGUAGCUAAGCUACCACUUAUCACUUGCCACUUGUCACUGAUCAGAUAGGUGUAGCUAAAGCUACCACUUAUCACUUGUCACUUGUCACUGAUCAGAUAAGUGUAGCUAAAGCUAACACUUAUCACUUGUCACUUGUCACUGAUCAGAUAAGUGUAGCUGAAGCUAUCACUUAUCACUUGCCACUUGUCACUGAUCAGAUAAGUGUAGCUGAAGCUACUACUUAUCACUUGUCACUGAUCAGAAGUACUCAAAUCCGACGUUCCGCUCAAUUUGAUCAUUUAUUCAGUUUUCGUAUUGUUAUUUUAUUCUCAAUUCAUUAAAAAAUAUAUCUCAUCAUACAUUAUAUAAUUCAUGAAAUUAACAUGUAAUCAUUAAAUUUCAGCCAUAUGAACUUACUAUUUCAUUAACUUUCCACACUCGUUUCCUAUGCACAUCACACAAGGUAUAAGCAUAUCAUUCAACCAUAGUUGCAAGCAAGUGUAUUUAAACAUAACUCUUUUUGGAACUAACCACAUGAUAAACCAUUUCACUAGAGAUUACAUGAUCACAACUAAAUAUGUUACCAUUUCGACCACUACUUGGCCAAAGCCUAAGCAUGUACGCCAAAUAUGUUAGUCAAAUACACAUAUAGCAUAAACAUUAUAAGCAUGGAUGAGCACAACAUUUAUUCAUGUAUCACACUUACCAACAUGUGUUAAUUCAUAAAUCAUUCAUGACAUUACUUCAUGUCAAAUCAUAUACCGAAUAUACCAUACACACAUUCUAUGAAACUUUAUUUUCACACAUGAGCUUAGACCAUGACCAAUAAUGUACAAAUAUAAGCAUCAUUUCUAUUUCAUCGUUUAUCAAUUAUAAUCAAGCAUAUGACCAAUUAUACACAAAUCAUUCAUAUAUUUCCCAAUUUUCCUCCUCCUCCUCUCCAUUCCACAUCCUUAAUGUGUAUAACAAAUUUAAACAACAUUAUCCAUACUAUCACUAUUUUUCCUGUAUGUAAAUUCAAGUUAUCUGUCUAAGUUAGAGUCACUAAUUUAUUUAUAUCUCGAGAUAAAGAGCUCCAAAUUAAGAUCAGUUAAUUUUCCAUAAAACUAGACUCAUAUAUCUUCAAAGCAUAAAAUUUUAAAAAUUUUUGGUUCAGCCAAUAAGUACAGUUUAUUCUUUAAAGUUUUCCCUGUUUCACUAUUUGAUAGUUCUGACCCCUCUUCACUAAAAAUUAAUUAUCUCUUUAUAUAGAAUUUAGACGAUGUCCUCGUUUGUUUCUAUUGAAAAUAGACUCAUUAAGGAUUUUAAAUAUAUAAAUUAUAACCCAUAAUUAUUUUUAUACAAUUUUUAAUGAUUUUUCCAAAUCAGAAUAGGGGAACCAAAUUCAUUCUGACCUUAUCUAACAAAAUUCAUUAUAUCUCAUGAUUUAGAAUUCCAUUACUUACACCGUUUCUUCUAUGAGAAACUAUACUAAAUAAGAUUUAAUUUCAUAUUUUUUUCAUCCUCUAAUUCAAUUUCCAUGAUUUAUGAUGAUUUUUCAAAGUUAACCUACUGCUGCUAUCCAAAACUAUUUUAGUGCAAGAUGUUGAUAAUCAAAUUUAUAACACCAUCCUUUCCUUUCUCUACAAUAUUUUUAUCAAUUCCUCUUGUUUCCCUUCACUAACAUAUCAAGAACAUAGAACCUUAUAUAAUAAAGAACCUUAUAUAAUAAAACCCUACAUUAACAUCAAUUUCAUACUUUUUCAAUAAUAUCAAACUUAAAAAUAUAUUGAAACCUUGAUGUUCUUACCUUGCUCUAUUGAUUUCAAUCUUUAACUUGAUUUUCUCUCUCCUCCAGCUUCUAUUUCUCGAAUCUAACUUGAUAUUAUAGCUUCCCAUAGUCUCUUUAACAUUUUUCUCUCUUGGUAGCUAUGGAAAUUCUUUUAAUUUCUAGGUGAAAAUGGUAAAUUUUUGGUGAAAUGACCAAUUUGUAAAGAAAGCAAAACUUUCUUUCUUCCCUUCUCUUAUAACGUGAAAUGCAUGGGAAAGGAAGAUGAUUCUUCAUCUUUUCUUCCACAUAUAUAUAUACUAAAUAAAAUAAUAAUAAAAUGAUAAAAUGUCAUUUAAAAAUCAAAUUAAAAUAUUAAUAAACUAAUAUUUAUUUAUUUAUUUAUUUAAUCUAAAAUAUCUCUAACAUCAUCAUUAUUUUCUAGAUUUCUCUUUCUUCUAAUUGACCAUUUUGCCCUUUAGAUCUUUUAAAAUCCCAUCCUUAAGUCAUCACUUAAUUUGGUAAAAUUAUGAUUUAGCCCCUCAUAAUUCUUCAUCUAUUCAAUUUGGUCCCAAUUUAUCCAUUUUCCUUAGUUUCUAGAUUAUUCCACCCUUAAAAUAUUUACACUAUUGGUCCUUCAACUUUUUCAUAUUUACACUUUAACCCUUCAAAUUUUGAGUAUUUACUCUUGGAUAACAAAACUUUUCUCACUUUUGCAAUUUAAUCAUUUCUUUAAUUAAUAUGUCAGAAUAUACUUCCCAAUGUUGUCAUAACUUAAAAUUUUCCUUUUUGUCACUUUACUUCCUUACUAUAUCAAAGAUAAUAUCUUACUGUAAAAAUUUUCGGGGUAUUACAACAUUGGCUCAAUUUCCACUUGAUUGCGAUGAUUGACCAAUAUGGUAGGUUCGUUGCAGGCAUGUACUCCGAUUAUGCCCAGCUAAUCUACACACACCAAAAAGCUUCCUAUCAGUUUUCUCCCUAAUGUCCAUUUCAUUAUGAAUUCUAGUUGAUUGCGGACGACCUUUUGGAUUCCUACGUAACCUCUUGUCCAAGACAAGCUCAAAAGUCCUCGUAGGCACCUCAUAUAUAGACAGAUCAGGCAAGAUGGGGAGCUCAUUUUCCUAAACACACAACAUGUUCUUAAGAGUAUACACCUCAGUGAUAAACUGUUCAACAUUGAGCGAGGUGCGAGCACAUACUGUCACGACAUGCACAUAGGGAUAAUAUAGUGUUUGGAACCUUCCGUAAUCACACUGUCAGCUUCAGAGAUCAACUUCGUAGGACCUGGAUGGGAUAUCGGGCUGACGACCGAUGCUUUCUGUAACUCAAAAUGUUUCAAACUGUUGUGAAUAUAUUUCCACAUUCAUCGACCUCGCCUUACAACGGUUCACAUCCAUUGCAUCCCUGGCAUCUUCGACAAACACGUGUCCCGCAUUAAUCUGGUUGACUUGUUUUAGCCCCAUUCUUGGCAUCAAGGUGGCCAACCUAUAGAACGUACUCGAGAACACAGAUAAAAUCAAAAGAUGUCGUGUGUUCUUCAAUAUGGAGUUAACUGCCUCUGCCAGGUUGGUGGUCAAAUGACCAUAUCGAAACCCGUCAUUGAAACUUUGAGCCCAUUGCUACGGCUUCAUGGUACCCAACCACUAUCGGAAAAGAGUGUUCGUUUCACCUUGCAUGUCACCCUCAAGUGUCACCAUCCUUUACCGAAAAAGGUGUGGUUCUGGAUCGUACGCUGUGUAUGUAUUAAGAAAAGACAAGUUACAGUCUCGAAUUGUUCUAGUAUUGAUAAUAUUAAAACAUAUAUUGAAACUAUAUUUUACCUAUUUUCACAACUUGUCUCCGCAAGUUUGCAUUCUUGUACUACUGGUGAAAGUUAGCUGCUAUGUGCUGCAUACAAUAAACUGAUCUCCAUGGUACUCCAGAACACCUAAUGGCGACAAUUAUUCCCUUCCCUCUAUGAAAAAUUAUGCAAAUAUUAUUGUCACUAAUAACAUACCUUAGUAGGUUCGUAAGGAAGAAUUCUCAUGAUUCCAUGUUCUCUUUGUCUACAAUGGAAAAUGCUAUCAAGUGCACAUUUUUGUUCCCAUCUUAAGCAAUCGCAAUAAGUAGGAUCUGCGUAUAUUUACCAUAUGGUUAGGCCUUAUCUACCUGCACAAGCAGUUUGCAGUAGGGAAAUGAUCGCACGCAUGGAUCAAACAUCCAAAACAUCCGAUGGAAAAUUCUUCUUCUCGGUUGUAGUUGGUCAUUUGGAUCAUAAUAAGGUCAUGUCUCCAACUCAAUGACAGUCCCCGGACGUACUCUCGUAUAGCGGCUACCCACCCCCGUAGCUCAUUUUACGACGCAUCCCAGUCUCCGUACAACUACUCUAUUUCCAUUUGUUUAGCUAUCCAUGCUUUCCAAUAUGAUACUCGAUACUGGAAUCGUGCUUGCAUUUUUCCAAUCAAUACCGAAACUUUAAUGGUUGGCAUGUCCUUCACCAUUGGCAUGAUGCGUGUGCAAAUAGUUUUGGAAUCAAGUUUUCGAUGGUCUUUUGUCAUACAUGUUGAAAGGCAUGUGUGAUGCCAAACAAAUUUUAAUAUUUCUUCUCCUAUUAUUGGGAUAAAAACUCCCAAAUAGAAAUUAAUUACUUAUCGACACGUGUUUUUUGCAACAAACUAAUUGAACUCAAUUUUUUUUAGGUUAUUUGAUUAAAAAUGAUAAUCACAUAUCAAAAACGGUUAAUAUGAUGAUAAUAAAAUUGUUAUUUCUUACCUUAUAAAAAGUUACACAUCAUUUACGGAUUUAAACUAGGUUAUAUUAACCAUUUUUGUAAUUUAAUAUUGCCAGGGCCCAUACUGUGCAUUGAGGGGUCGUGUGAAUGGUUUAGGAUAUCCGCUGGAUGAACGACUAAUUCCAUACUUUGAGUUAGCCAGAUUCAGAUUAGCGGUAUUAAUCCAAAGUUUGAUUUUUCGUACGACUUAAUAUUCGCUUUGGUCAAGAAAUGGCGCCCGGAAACCCACAUUUUACAUUUGCUGUGUGAGGAGUGCACCAUCACUCUGGAGGAUGUUGUACUACAACUCGGGCUCUCAUUCAAUGGGAGUGCAAUAACGAGCAUAAGUGCGAUCUCUGAGCCGGUCACCCUUUGUUGUAACCUACUGGGAGUCUCGCUCGAUGACGUUGAGUUGAAAUUUUUGGGUUUGAAGUUUUCAUCGCUAAAGGCCAAUUUUAAACAUUUACCGAUUAAUGCCACUGAGCGGGAGGUGAUGUGUGCCGCUUAAGCGUACAUUAAGCACAUUAUAGGGGGUGUACUCCUGCCAGAUGCAAACAACAACAGGGUCCAUUUGAUGUACUUGCCUUGUUAAUUGAUUUGCAUAACGCCUAUUCGUAUAGUUGGGGUUUCACGGUACUAGCUAUGUUAUAUCGCGAGCUUUCUUGAACGAAAAAUCCUUUUGAUGUGGACAUAAAUGGAUGCCUCAUAUUUCUGCAGUCUUAGGCCCUUUACCGGCUGUCAUUCUUGGCAUCGGUUAGUCAUGAAUCAUAUGUCUUUCCACGUGUGAAUAGGUGACAAAAAUUUGACCCAUUAUAGCAAUUAUUUGACAUUUCAUUUUUAAUGAUAUUAUUCUAACAAGUUUUUGUUUUCGUAGAUGGAGUACUAAUUAAGGUAUCGAGAGGUUAUGUACGGUUCUGAUAAACCAUCUGAUGAUUGAAACACAUGCUGGGGAAGGGUUAAGCUAUUCCAAUAUUUAAGACAUGUAAUUACUUUAUCUGUCUUAUUCGAACCGUGUUAAUAUAGCCAUGUUAUUAAUUAUGCAGUUCAUCUAGAUGCACUAUUCCUUCCAUCAAAUUGCGACUAUGAUUCCCUUGUCUACCCACAUCCACUCACACCUGUGGUGCAUUAACGCACCCAUUAUCAAUGUCCAGACAGUGGAGUCGUAUAACAAGGAUUGAGUACUCUGAUAGUUUGGAUGCAUACAAUAUAUCCCGGCACCACUAGUGCAAUUGGAGAAGAUCCACGGGAGUAACAGGAGGGGAAAACAAGGAAAUAAUUGGACAAUAGUGCAUAAACAAUAUAUUGCAAUGUGGAACAACCGGAUGGGGUGGAGACCUCAGAUGGAUCUUUCUUUCGAUUUGCAGCCCUCGUUAUAGUACAAACAGUGGUACUCCGAGAAGGGGAAACUAUAUUUUUUUGUGGGCAAUCGAUUGUAGUCCCCUCGUACAUGCCAUGACUUGGGUAACCCGCCCAUCCCCUUCCAUAUCCGCCUCCUGCACUCGAGCCAGAGCCCUUACUCAAACCUGAGCUGACGCCCGAACCCGAGUAGUCUCAUACACAGUUUGGGGAUAGUUCUUAUCAUCCGAACUUGGGGUCAAUGACUAUUUCUCAGGCUCGUUAGGCCACAGAUAUCAUUCAGAGUUUCCUAGAUCUAGUUUUGAUAUACUUGAUUCGAUAUCAUCGAUGAUGUUUGAUAUCUUCAGCCCAUUACCACCGCAGUACUCUACUCCUCUCAGGCAAACAUUUGGGGCAUACAAUUUUUCCACUAUGUUUAGCACACCACCAGGUUCGAGUGAGGACCACGUUGAUCACUGUAAGCACCCGCAAUGUAAACGCUAACCACUACAACAAUUUACCCCUAGGACCACACCAUCAAACCAUCAAUUUUAGGGGUUUUUUUCAUUUCAAUGGUCAAGUUUGUAUGUAUUUAAUUGUAGUAAAAUUUGAGCAUUUAAACUCAUUUUUUACUUAACUUUCAGGUUUUCUGGUACUAAAUUUAAAUGAAAUGGUGUUUAAGGUAUUAAUUAUCGACUUAUAAACAUGAAAAAAAUACAAACUUUGUAAUAUAAAUGCAAUUGAAAUAUAAAUGCAAAAAUAAAAAUGUUGUAAUAUAAAUUAGAUUCAUUAUAGUACAUUGGCUCAAUUUCCACAUGAUCGCGACGAUUGACCAAUAUGGUAGGUUCGUUACGGGCAUUACUCUGAUUAUGCCCAACUAAUCUGCACACGCCACAAAGCUUCCCAUCGGUUUUCUCCCUAAUGUCCAUUUCAUUAUGGAUUCUAGUUGAUUACGAAGUCAUACGCAACUUUUUAUUUGGGACAAGCUCAAAAGUCGUCGUAGACACCUCCCAUGUAAACAGAUCAGGUAGGACGAGGAACUCAUUUUCCCAAACACGCAACAUGUAAUAACCCAAAAUUCAUGGGCAUCGGAAAAGCAUAAUAUUGGGCCUCCGUCUUAGUAAAUUGAGUUUGAAAAUAAUUAUUAGAAAUAUUUACGAGGCUAGUUGUGUGUUUAAUUAGAUUUUUAUUUAGUGAAUAUAGCUUAAUUAGGAGUAAUUAGCAAAAAGGAUUAAAUUGCAAUAGAAGUGAAAGUUUAAUUAUAGAUUAAAAGAAAAUAAUAGGGACUAAAUAGGAAAUUAUGCCAAUUGCCAAAUUUGAGGCGGCAUAAGCAUAAUAUCUAAUAUUUUUAUGUGUUAAAAUAUGUUAUUAAAUUAUUUUUAUUAUAUUAUAAAACAAAUAAGAUAGUGACAAAUGUAUGGUAAUAAUUUACACAUGUGUCAUGAUAAUGAUUGUAUAAAUACACUUGUAUUAAAAUUUUGUAAUUACUUAUUAUAUAAGAAAAUAUUAUUAUAUUAUAUUAUUAAAAUAUUACAUUUAUUAAAUAAUAAACAAAAAAUAAAACAAAAUAAAGUAAAAGAAAGAAACAGAAUAGCAUUCGAAAAUAGAACAGAGAAAGAAGAAAAAGAAAGAAAAAGGGAAAAUAGGGUUUUUAAAGCUUGGAAUUUAAUUUGGUAAGUCAAAUAAGCCAUGUUACUUAAUUUUGAUGUUUUAGAAGUUUUAAAACAAGGUUUGAUGGAAUUAAGUUGAUAUUUUGUAAGUUCAUAGGUUUUCAAGUACAGUUUAUGUUGAACAAAAGAGAUGAAUUAGGGAUUUAAUUGAAUGAAUUUCAAGUUAGAAUUGAUAAAAGGAUUAAAUUGUGAAAGAAAUUAUAAUUUUUAUGUUGUAGGGAUUAAAUUGAGAGAAAUUCAAAAUUAGGGAAAUAUGCUAAAAUUUUAAUAGUUAAAUUUGAGUUAGGAUGGAAUUUGAAUAAAAAUAAAGUGUGAAUUGAAUUAGAAAAGUAAGAAAACUUAGUUAGGAUUAAAUUGAGAACAAGGUAGGAAUUGAUUAGAAAUUUAAUUAAUUAUUAUAAUUAGUGCUGUAAUUAAUAGUAUAAAUUAUUAUUAUUUUCGUAGCUAACAAAGAACCCGAGCCAUCAGCAUCAAAAGGAAAGGAGAAAGCUAUCGAGGACUAAAACGUGAGAUUUACGGUUUGUAUUACUAUAAUUCAAGUUAUUUGUUAUUAAUUGUUAAAUUUAAAUUUAUGUGUUUGGUAAAUGAAAUGUGAGGUAAGUAUUAUUAUUAUUAUUAUUAUUAUUGUUAUUAUUAUUAUUAUUAUUAAGAUGAGUGGGAAUUAAAUUGAAUAGUUGAUAUGAAUUAAUAUUUGAAUUGUUUGUUGAUUGAAAGCGAGAAGUGAAUUUGAAUCGAAUUGUGACUGAUAUUAAAUUGAAUGAAAAUGUAUUGAGUUGUGAAAAUGUGUGAAUUUUUGGAUUAAUUAUUGAUUGAAAGGUGGAAAAAUGAUUGAACUGAAAAUGUGAGAAAUUGUGAUUGAAUUGGGGUUAUAUGUGAUUUAAAUACCCUAUUAACUAGUCGGGCUGAGUCAGAUAUAGUUGGCAUGCCAUAGGAUUGGAAGAGUUCAGGGAUACUUCGACCUCGAGUCGAUGAGACACUUGGUGUCACUAUAUUUCUUUGGAUAGAUUCGAUGAGGUACUGGGUACCAACUUUCUUCGGCUUUGCCGAUGAGACACUGGGUGUCAACUAUUGCUUCGAACUAUCCGAUGAGGCACUGGGUGCCAUAAUGGAGUGUUUGGUUGGAUCCGUGUAUCCGCCAAAGUCCGAGUUUUGUUAAUAGGGUAAAUAAUGAAAAGAUAAACUGAAUGAGUGGAUCAAUCGAGCUAUUGAAAUGAAAUGAAAAGUUGAAUGGUGAAUUGAAAUGUGAUAUGAGAUUUAAAAAUGAACCUAAGGUUCAUGAUAUGUCCAAAUUCAAAUUGUGGAUAUAUGAUAUUGAUUGAUGGAUUGCUAUUGUUGAGAUAAUGAAUUAAAAUUUGUAUAUACGAUUUAUGUAUUAUAUGUUUAUUAUUGUUAUAAUUUGAAUUAUGGUAAUAUCACUGAGUAUGAAAUACUCAGCGUACGGUUGCUUCCAUGCACAGGUUGAUAGAAGUAAAAAAAUUUCGGUUCAGCAUCUAGAUCAAUCCCGACUUCAGCAUAACUUUGGUGAUGUAUACUUUCUUUUAGUAAUGUGGCAUGUUGGAUAUGUAUAAAGGUUAUUAUGUUUUAAUAUAAAUGGUUAAAAAUAUUAGUAUUAAAAGUUUAUGAAUUAUAAUGAAAGAAGUUUAUCUAUUUUUAUUUAAUUAGUACAUUGUUAAAUUUAAAUUGAUAUUAUAUUAAUUGAGUUUGAUUAGAAGGAAUUUAGAAUAGAAAAUGAGAAUGUGACAUGAAUUGGUUGAUUUGAUUAUAUUUGAAAAUGAUAUGAUUUUAAAUUGCAGGGGGUUUUAUGUAAAAAUAAGUAGAAAUGCUGCCGAAAUUUAUAAAAAAAUGAUGUCAAUUGGUAAACAAACAUAUAAAUUUAUGAUUUAUUUUAAUAUGUUGGUUAAUUAUUUAAGAACUAUUUGUAAAUCGUUUGAAAUGUCCGGUAAUGCCUCGUAACCCUGUUUCGGCGACGGUUUGGGGUUAGGGGGUGUUACACAACAUGUGCUCAAGAGUAUACACAUCAGUGAUAAAUAGUUCAACAUUGAGCGAGGCGUGAGCACAGACUGUCACGACAUGCACACAGGGAUAAUGAAGUGUUUGGAACCUUUCGCAAUUGCAUUGUCUGUUUCAGAUAUCAACUCCGUAGGACCUAGAUGGGAUACCAGGUCCAUGACCGAUGGUCUCUGUAACUCAAAGUGUUUCAAACUGUUAUGAAUAUAUUUCUACAUUCAUCGACCUCGCCCUCCAAUUGUUCGCAUCCAUUUCAUCCCUGACAUCUUCGACAAACACGUGUCCCGCAUUAAUCUGGUUGACUUGUUUUAGCCCCAUUCUUGGCAUCAAGGUAGUCAACCUGUAGAACGUAGCCAAGAACAUAGAUAAAAUCGGAAGAUGUUGUGUGUUCUUUAACACAGAGUUAACCGCCUCUACCAGGUUGGUGUUCAUAUGACUAUAUUGAAAUCCGUCAUUGAAAAUUUAAGCUCAUUGCCACAGUUUCAUGGUACUCAACCACUAUCGGAAAGGAGUGUUUGUUUCACUUUACAUGUCACCCUCAAGUCUGGCCAUCCUUUAUAAAAAAAUGUGUGGUUCUAACUCGUACGUUGUGUAUGUAUUAAGAAAAGACAAGUUACAGUCUCGAAUUAAUUUUUUCUAGUAUUGAUAAUAUUAAAACAUAUAUUGAAACUAAAUUUAUCCAUUUUCACAACUUGUCUCCGCAAGUUUGCAUUCUUGUACUCUUGGUGAAAGUUAGCCGCAAUGUGCCGUAUACAAUAAACUGAUCUCCAUAGUACACCAGAAUGCUUAAUGGUGACAAUUAUUCCCUUCCCUCUAUCAGAAAUGAUACAAAUGUUAUUGUCACUAAUAACAUACCUUAGCAGGUUUGUGAGGAAGGAUUAUCAUGAUUCCAUGUUCUCUUUGUCCACAAUGACAAAUGUUAUCGGGUGUACGUUCUUGUUCCCGUCUUGAGCAAUUGCAAUAAGUAGGAUUUGCGUAUAUUUCUCGUAUGGUUAGGUCCCAUCUACCUACACAAGCAGUUUGCAGUGGGGAAACGACCGCACGUAUGGAUCAAACGUCCAAAACAUCCGAUGGAAAAUUCUUCUUUCCGGUUGUAGUUGGUCAUCCAGGCUGUAAUAAGGUCAUGUCUCCAACUCCCCGGCACAUACUCCUACAUAGCGGCUACCCACCCCUAUUACUCAUUGUACGACGCAUCACAAUCUCUAUACAACUGCUCCAUUGCCAUUUAUUUAGCUAUUCAUGCUUUCCAGUAUGAUACUCGAUACUAAAAUCAUGCUUGUAUUUUGCCAAUCAGUACCGAAACUUUAAUGGUUAGCAUGUCCUUCACCAUUGGCAUGAUGCAUAUGCAAAUAGUUUUGGAAUAAAUUUUUCAAUGGUCUUUUGUCAUAAAUGUUGAAAUACGUGUGUGAGGCCCAACAAAUUUUAGCAUCUCCCACAUCUGCGAGUUCUUGGUAAAUGUGGCUCAUACCCACUAAUUGCAGCCUUCUGUCGACCUCCAAUAGUUUCAAUAUACAAUGUCGGUUUAGACAUGACGACUUUGUAGUCUAUUCAUAUAUUCAUGCUAUACCGCUUAAUGGCAAAUACGCACUCUUCCUUGGUUUCAAAUUUUUGACCCAUGAAAAAUCCUUAGGUUCGGAAUCUACGACCAACCGAUGAGCAGGUAGUAUAUCAGGAUACUCCAAAAACUUGACUAGAUGCGUAGCAUCGAGGUCUAUUAGCGACAUGUGUGCCCCAGGAUCAUUGCAUAUCACAAUGUGUCGAACCAGGUUUUUGACUGAAGACUCAUUAACAUUUCCAUCAUCAUUCGCGCCUUCGUCGUGGAUAUCAUCUGAGACCUCGUACACAUCGAGAUCACUAUCACCAUCGACCUCAUGAUCAGAAGGAUCACUACUAUUAGUUCCAUCAUCAGCAUCAGUCUCAAGUGCAACAUUAAGAUCGAUGUCGAACCCGCGUACAAUCGAUUGACAAUCAACAUAGGAUAUCGAAACCACCAUACACAGAUCUUGAACUCUAUGUUCGUCACAUAAUGGAGUGGGAUCUUCAGCUUGCUCCACAUCAGCUAACUCAGCAAAUAACUGAAUCAGUGCAUUUUGGUGGCUCUAAUUCCCACAAUAAAGAGGGACCAUUGCCUCCACGUCUUCAUCGUUUACAAGUUCCAUCUCGGUGAAUUUGAUGGGAUCUGUCAAAACUAGAAACUUUUAGAGAAGUUUCGAAAUCUUUCUCCCAUAACGUCUAACAAUUUUUGCACUAAUCAUUUCAUUCAUAUCAUAAACCAAGACAUUUCUAUUAAAUCUCAUUGCUAUUUGUUAGUGACAUUCAAAUAUACGUCCAACUGUUGUUGUCAAAAUUACUCCAUCAAAAUAAACACAUACAAAAAAUUGAUUAUCUAUCUUCAAUAUUAGAUCUGUUAAAAAAGAAAUAAAAAUUCUCAAUACAAUUUCAAGCAAAAUAAUUACUGUAAUAUAAAAUAUGAAUUUCAUAUCUACUAACCUAGUGAAUUCUUCUUUGUUUGUUUACUAUUCUUCUACAAAUUUUUUAUUGCUGUUAUUUGAAUUCUCAAAACUUUUUUCCCAAACACUGCUUAAAUAAUGGUUGAGAACAGGUGAUACCCACAAGAUUGGCACCACUGGUGCCACCUAUAACAUUGGAACCAAUAUUUUGGUGUCACCUUUCCCAUGGGCACCACCACCAAAACUUGUCCCAAGCCCGUAGUUAACAAUGUAUUGGAACCGUAUGGGAAAAAUACUUUGGUGUCGUCUAUCAACAAGGCUACACCAUUAAAAAUUUAUUUUUUUUAGCUGAAAGUGAUGGGUGUCAAAAUAUAGGGGUGGUGCUGCCUAUGCACCACCCUCCAGCACCCCUGGUAUACCAUUUCCGUAAAUAAUUUAGAUGGUAUACCAUUUUGGAACUUUUAAUUUUUUUUAUAUUAUUUAAGAAAAAAACCCAUUUUUGAGCAUAAUCAAUGCAAUAUCUUUCUAUGGUCGCCUAGAAGUACACAACCCUCAUGAUUUGUCUAGCCAUCAUAUGUUCAUUUGCGGGUGCAUCAUAUACCCUAUCAUGUACUUCUUCUAAUAUUCUUUAAGCUUCCUUAAAAUCUACACAUCUCAAUAGGAUAUGAUCUCGAUUUUUUUUUAUAUAACACCUCACCAUCUAAGAAGAAACUGAUAGAUAGUCUUUUGAUAAUUUGCUUAUCAUUUUCAUAAGCAUGUUUAGGGAAUUUCUGAAAUUUCAAGUAUUUCACAAUAUAAUAAUACUAUGGUCGUUCAUCUACUUCUUCUUCAAUGUCAAGGCAAUGAUCAAACAUUCUUUUAAUUUCCAAUUUGGAUGGUCACAGCUUUACUUCAUAGUUCAAUUUAUGUGCUCUUUCUUACUUAUCUCAUUUUGCUGUCGUGCACCGCAUCGCAUUAAUCUCCCGAACACCAAUAAUUAUAAGAUCAAGACCUUCCUCACUUAGAAAGGAUUAAAAUUGGUGGCUUAGAUAAGUAUUUGUUAACUUUCUUCGGCCCACUCACCACUAUCAUCCUUUCCAAGUAAUUUAAAUAAUGGAUCACAUUUCAACGUUAAGUGUGGAUGAAAUGAGAGAUAUAAUUUAAAAGUUAAAAAAAAAAAAAAAACCCUGCUCAUUAACAAAAUAAAAUUUUAAAAUCUUACUGUAGUACUAUGGGGUACCUAUUUAAGCAUAUUUAGUUGAACCCUCCGCCAGCCAAAAUUCCCUCCAAAAUUUCACCUAGAAUGAAUUUGUGAAAUUGCGAUUCUCUUCCCUUGGCAUCCCAGAAUGCAAACUCUAACCCUUUCCAAUAUCCUCCACCAGCACUUCCCUGAUGCUCUCCAUUUUUCGCUUCUCAAAUCCUCCAAAACCCACCAAGAAACCCAACAGCUCCACGCAUUUUCCCUCAAAACCGGCGUUUUCUCUCACCCCUCACUCUCUUCUCGUCUCCUUUCUCUCUAUGCCGACCCCAACAUCAACAACCUCCGCUACGCUCGCUCCGUUUUCGAUCGAAUCCAACACCCCUCGUUGGUUCUCUGGAAUAUCAUCCUCAAAUGCUACAUACAAAACCAACAAUCCCAUGAAGCUAUCUCCCUGUUCGUCCUUUGCUUGGUCAUUUUCCGCCUGAUGAAUUCACGUUUCCUUGCGUGAUUAAGGCAUGUGCUAAGUUAACUGCUUUGAAAGAAGGCAAACAAAUACAUGGGUUGGUUUUGAAGCUUGGCUUCGGAUUAGAUAAAUUUGUGCAGGCUAGUUUGGUUUAUUUGUAUUCCAAGUGCGGCAAGAUUGGUUCUGGUUACGCAGUGUUUGAUCAAAUGGAUGAGAAAGAUUUGGUUUCAUGGAAUUCUUUGCUUGAUGGGUAUGCAAGGUGUGGAGAAGUUAAGGCUGCCAUGAAGGUGUUUGAUGAAAUGCCUGAAAAGGAUUGUUUUUCAUGGACGGUUUUGAUUUAUGGGUUGGCGAAAUGUGGGGAGGUUGAGACUGCUAGAAAGAUAUUCGAGAACAUGCCAAAUAGGAAUUAGUUUCGUGGAAUACUAUGAUUAAUGGGUAUAUGAAAGCUGGAGAUACUAAUUCCGCUUGUAAAUUGUUUGAUCAAAUGCCCACAAGAAAUUUGAUCACGUGGAAUUCAAUGAUAGGGGGAUUCAAAUUGAACUUGCGCUUUUUGGAAGCUUUGGAAAUGUUUGAGAGAAUGUUGGAGGAGGAAUUUAGGCCCACUCACGCUACGUUAGUUAGUGUGAUUUCUGCUGUCUCUGGAUUAGCUAGUCUUGGCACGGGAAGAUUGAUACAUUCGUAUAUUGUUAAAAAUGGAAUCGAAUUAGAUGGGGUGGUUGGGACAGUGAUGAUCGAAAUGUAUUCCAAGUGCGGAGGCAUUGAUAGUGCGGUAACUGUUUUUCGGACAAUAAGCCACAAAAAGUUGGGGCAUUGGACUGCUAUAAUUGUAGGCUUGAGUAUUCAUGGCAUGGCUGACCAUGCUCUGAAGCUAUUUCUUGAAAUGCGAAGAAUUGGUGUGAAGCCUAAUGCUAUAACUUUUGUUGGUGUGCUUAAUGCUUGUAGUCAUGUUGGAUUGAUUAACGAUGGUCACAAAUAUUUUAAUAUGAUGAUAAAUGAAUAUGGAAUUAAACCUGCUAUAGAACAUUAUGGUUGUUUGGUGGACAUAUUAUGCUGAGCUGGUUGUCUUGAAGAAGCAAAAGAUAUCAUUGAAGAAAUGCCCAUGAGACCAAACAAAGUAAUCUGGAUGACAUUGCUUAGUGGUGCUAGGAACCAUAGAAACACAAAAAUAGGUGAAUAUGCUGCUCAACAUUUGAUUGAAUUGGCUCCAGAGACUACUGGUGGUUAUGUUGUCCUUUCCAAUAUGUAUGCUGUAGCAGGUGAGUGGGAGAAAGUUUCUGAGGUAAGAGAAAUGAUGAAGAAGAGAGGAUUAAGAAAAGAUUCCGGCUGCAGUUCAAUAGAGCAUAAAGGUGUGGUUCAUAACUUUAUUGUGGGAGAUAAAUCACAUCCGCAAACAAAAGAAAUUUAUUCCAAAUUGGCUGAGAUGAGAGAGAAAUUGAAAUUGGCAGGACAUGUUCCUGACACAAGCCAAGUGUUGUUGUAUAUCGAAGAGGAGGAAGAGAAAGAAGCAGAAUUGGAAAACCAUAGUGAGAGGUUGGCUAUUGCCUUUGGUCUCAUCAAUACUGAAGCUGGAUGUCCCAUUCGCAUCAUGAAGAACCUUCGUGUUUGUAGUGAUUGCCAUUCUGUCACUAAACUGCUUUCUAAAAUCUACAGACGUGAGAUUAUUGUGAGAGAUAAUAGCCGGUUUCAUCAUUUUAAAGAUGGAUUGUGUUCUUGCAAAGAUUUUUGGUGAUUACCUCAGAUGUUGGCUGGUAUUAUUGCCAUCUUUCAACAGGACUGAAAGGGAAGAUCCGCAUAAUAACUUUAAGGUCUUCAGGUUGUGUUUUGUCAUCACUUUUGAGGGUUUAUAGAAAUGGCUAGAUAUAUUUCUUGCGCUUUAUUUAUAUCAACUAACUGAACCAGCCACUUACUACAAAAUAAAACAUUUGCUUUAUGAUCUCAUCUCAUUUCAAGAAAGGUGCUAUUUCAGGGAAAAAGGAUAUGGAUUUAAUGAUACAACAGCUCAAAAGACUAGCAGUGAAUUACAUCAGUACACAGCAACAGAUGCUACAUAGCAAUUAAUGUUACAGCUUUCAGAGACAUAUCUAUAAUCUAAGUUCAUUUUCCGGGGACAAAGUUAGUGGCAUAAGCCCAUGCGUUGUUGGCCACCGGAUCGGCAAGGUGGUCAAAGAGGUUCUCAAUGGGACCCUUUCCUGUGACAAUAGCCUGGACAAAGAAUCCAAACAUGGAGAACAUUGCAAGGCGGCCAUUCUUGAUCUCCUUAACCUUCAAUUCUGCGAACGCGUCAGGAUCAUCAGCCAGUCCAAGUGGGUCGAAAGCACCACCUGGGUAAAUUGGGUCCAGUCCUUCACCGAGUGGUCCCCCACCAACUCUGUAUCCUUCAACAAAUCCCAUGAGCACAACUUGGCAAGCCCAGAUUGCAAGAAUGCUCUGAGCAUGGAUAAGGUUUGGGUUGCCAAGAUAGUCAAGGCCGCCCUCGGAGAAUAUUUGAGAUCCAGCUUUGAACCAAACUGCCUCUCCGAACUUAACUCCAUUCUUUGAAAGAAUUUCAGGGAAGACACAACCAAGGGCACCAAGCAUUGCCCAUCUGCAGUGGAUCACUUCAAGCUCACGGUUCUUAGCAAAUGUCUCUGGGUCAGCUGAUAACCCAGCAGUGUCCCACCCAUAGUCACCAGGGAAUUCACCUGUCAGGUAUGAUGGGAUUUGGUCUGAGAAUGGACCCAAGUACUUUGGGCGGUCAGGGCCGUACCUGUUUUUAAAACCAAACCGUAGGUAAUCAGAUCAAGAAGCAGAAAUAUAGUUCCGUUGCAUGAUUUCGCUUGUACAUGUUAUUUCUCUUUAAAUGUAUGGCUUAAAAUAAGGCAGAUUGCUGCUAGAUUGUACUGUACAAAUUGAAAUUUUUAGUCUGUUGUUUCACAAUAUUUGGGUUAACCAUCAAUGAUUAGACUAAAAAGAUCCUUAUAACAAAAUGCUACUAGUUAGUACUAGGAAGUAGUAACAAAAGUAUACCAGAUGCUGGUAGGGGCACUUUUCACAGUUCUGCGCAUGGUAACACGACCACCAUCGAAAGCUCCGACUUUGCGUAAGAGCUCAUUGGACUGCUUCAAAGCGGUCUGGCCAACGAAAGCAGAUUGUUGGAUAGCAGAGGUUGCCAUGGUGCCUAAGGCUUUAGGUUGACUUGGUUUGUUUGCCGAUGGUUA